rnacentral:lncRNA from 1 species
AAAAAAAAAAAAACUACACUUCAUUUUCUUUGUUUAUUGUAAAAUUAAGGUCUAGAUUUUAUGAAAAAAAAUAAAAAAUAUAUCAAAAAUGAUACUUUUUGGUACUCUUUAAACAUGGAUGUAUUUUGAUGUAAAAAACAUUAAUAAUAAUAAAUAUAUCAAAAUUCAUACUUUUUGGCAUUCUUUAAACAUAGAUUCAUUUGAUGUAAAAAACAUUUUUUUUUUCGAAGUUUCAGUUCAAAUUCACAUUGUGAAGAACAUAAUCACAUUGUAAUUUUACAAUUCAGAUUCACAAUGUGAAUAAAUUCAUUUGUUGAUUUUACAAAAACUAAUUAUGAGUGAAACAUCUUAAUUUUUAAGGUAUUUUCUUUUGAUCCUUGGAUUAUGAUUUGUUUGCAACAUUGCUCCCCAGUGGCAUUUUCAUAAUUAUUGGCCAUGCAUGAGUAUAUUGGGCGUACUCUGAGUACAUUGGGCGUACGUAGCCAGGGUGCAAACCCUAAUUGUUAGGGUUUGAACCCUAUUUAAACAUCUUUAUGGUCUCAUGAAUUCUCUUAACUCUAGCCUCCUUCCUCAUUUGGCAACCCUAAACUGUGUGAGUGCCUUGUGAAGCUUGAAGAGGAUUUUGGUGCCAUUUUAGAGCUUUGGGAGAAGAAGGAAGAACCUUGAGGUUGUGGUGUUUCACUCAAGGCCUUGGAUCUAACAUUUGUAUUCCUUUGUGCAUCUUUUGGGGGUAUAAAGCUCCAUCCUUGAUGAGCAUUUCUUUUAGAUCUAGUUUUAGCUUAAAUUUGGCCCCUUUUGUCCCAAAUCUUGACCUUUGUGAACAUGGGAUGCUCCAAGACGUUUGAGUUGUCCUUUCAGAUGUUUAGGGGUGUGUUAAGUCAUAAAAAUGGGAUCUUGGACAUUGGUUUCUUACCAUGCAUGGUCUAGGUUGUCUUAAUGGGUCAAGAAGCUAGGGUUUUUGUUAUUAAGGUCUUAAUAGCCAUGCAAAACCAUAAAGUUGGAAAAUUUAUGGUUAAGAUCACCUUUUAGGGUCUGGAUCUGGAUUUGGGGCAAAGGUGCUUAAGGAUUAAGCACUUAAUAGGUUGAGUUGGUUGGCAGCCAUGUAUGUUGAGCGUACCAAAGGGUACGCUGAACGUAUGUGGUCAACCCCUUAUUUUUGGUCAAAUGCAUGGUACGCCGCACGUACCUGUUCAGUACGACUAGUGUAAUUACUGAGUCGACUCGGGUGACUCAGUUGACUUUGACCUGGAUUUUGACUAGGGUUUGACCUAGGGGUAUUUUAGGUAUUUUGAUUAGAUUGUUGUCAUUGAAUUCAUUAAGGUGAAUGGUAGAGUUGAUCUCGGAGCGGCGUACUAUUUAGUUUUCUCAUCUGUCUGUGAGGUGGGUCUCCUUACUAGAUCCAUGAUUCAAAGGCACCAAUGCCGACCCAUUACUUUGUUGCAUAGAUUUCUAGUUGUCUUUGUGAUACUUGCAUGAAAGACCAGGAUCUUGCCCCUAGCAAUUGUAUGAAAGACCAGGAUCUAACCCCUGGAACUUGUAUGAAAGACUAGGAUCUGGCCCCUGGCAAUUGUAUGAAAGACCGGGAUCUAACCCUUGGAACUUGUAUGAAAGACUGGGGUUUGGCCCUCAGCAUUACAAGGAAAGACCAUGAUUUGGCCCAUGACAUGAAAUGAUUUUAAGACUAUGAUUUGGCCCAUAAAAUUCAUUAUCUUAUGUAUGGUAUAUGGUACUCGGGGGAACUCACUUAGCUUUGUGCUUACAAUUUUUGUUUAUGGUUUCAGGUAUUUUUAGUCUGAAAGGGAAUGGCCCGACGUGGUGGAAUAACAUUCUUCCAAUCAUGAUUUUCGCAUUCUGAAUAAUUGUACUAUGAUGUUUUGAAUAUUAUAUCUUGGUGUUUGAUUUGAAAAAUUGAUGAAUGAAUUGAUGAACUUCCAAAUGAAAUUUUUUAUUAUUGUUUUUAGUGCAUUACAAGUUGGUAUCAGAGGCUUCGUUUGAGGGAUUUGGGCACACUUCCGGGUGUAUCAAAACUCAAACUAAGGAAAUGAUAAUGUUUUUAAAGAUAAAUGAAAUUGAACUUCCAAAAAAAUUGCUAACAAAAAAAGGGUGCGAUGUGUGGAAUCAGGCGAGCUCAAGUAAGUGGUUACAAAGAUUAACCAUACUUAUGUGUUAUGAGUAGUAUGCUUGACAUGAGAAUUUCAUGCUAGAUUAGGGCUAAGGAUACCUUUGGGAAUCAUAUGAUAGAAUUGCCUGAUUUAUGUGAUGCCUUAUAGCCUAGGGGAAUUUGAUGCUAUGUAUUACUUGAUGGGUUUUAGACAUAAGAACAAUCCUAUGUGCUCAUACAAACCCUAAUGUUUGGAUCUAGGUUUCACUAUUGUACAUGCAAUGUAUCCAAGACUUACAAUCUUAGAUCUAACAUAUUAUAAACUGAAAUUAGGGUUUAGAAAAUUACCUUUGAUUGUUAUGUAGCAAUAACAAUCUCAAUUCCUCCUUAUAAUGACUUUAGAAAGCUUAGAGACACAAUUGUCACUCCUCUAAUGGCUCACAAACACCAAGAGCAAGAAGAUGAAGAAUAAGGAGAGAGUAGGCUGCCCAAAACCGUCCAAAACCCUAAGGAGUUACUUCCACACGUUUUUGGUGCUCUAGGGAUCUUUAAAUAGUGAGGCUAUUAGGGUUAUCUAACAAGGAAACCCUAAUUUGGAUGCUUAGGCCCUAAGCAACCCAUGGACUCCUUCCUUAAAGGCCUAGGACGAUUUCUAAUGGGUUUCCCCAUAGAAUUCGUCCACCCCUCUAAUAUGGAGUCCAUUAGCUCAAUAUUCAACUAUCAUACAAUUGACAGUUCUAGUCCCUUAAGUUUAAUUAAUGUCUUUUAGCCACAAAAUUAAUUCCUAAUUAAUUAUUGACUAAUAUUAAUUAAACAAUAUGAUUUCUCCUUUAAUAUAUUAUUCUCAUAAUAUAUUAAUAAAUCAUAAUUAAUCCUUUCUCUCCAUAAUUCAUCCUAUCAAGUUGCUUUGGUGAAGGCAACCCAAAAGGACUAUGCACCAUCGGGUCAAGUACAUACCAAAAUAGUUAUGGAAUUAGACACUAAUCCAACAUUACUUGGAACUGAUAUCAGUUCAGUUAAUUGCUAAGUGUAUGCUUUCAAAGUUGUAUACGAUUAGGAUUAUACAGCCCUAGAAUGAUCGAUUUUGCCUCAUUUCCUGUUCCUUGUUUGGUUGUGGACUUAGGGUAGAAUCAUCAAUUGACACUCUAUGUGAUCCUAUUUUGUGUAUAACAUGCAUGCAUACAACAACCAGUGGUGUUGAUUGAGGUUCUUGGUAUUACGAGCGGUGAGAAUUGAGAUUUGUUAGGAGAGUCUAGGAUAUGUAUGAUGUUUAGCAUAAGAUUGUUAUAUGGUUAGUUUGGUGACUUAGAGGAAUCAGGCCUGCUCUUACGGAAGGUACAGGUAGGUGUGAAAGGUGGUAUUGGACUUGUAUUAUUGGAAACACAGGAUCUAUACCUGAGACGAUAACGACCCUGGGAACUCUAAGUAGGACUUUGUAGUGAAAAUCCCCUCGAGUCAUAUGCUGAUUGUUUAUAUGUUUUGUUUUAGUUUGAGGAUGGUGAUGAUUACUUGAUGAGGUCCUAACUCUGGUUCUGGUUCAGGUUCUGGCUUAGUUACAAAACUAAUUGAUGAGAGACUGUACGAGUUCAUUCGGCCAAGGUUACUCACGGUAUCUUGGAUGCUACUCCUGUGAUGUUCGGUAUCAUCAAGGAGGGGAUUAUGGAGCUGAUGGAUGAAAGGAUCAGGUCAUUUCAAGAUGAGAUUUCUGCAGGUUAAUUAGGAGCUCGAACUCCCUCAUUCCGGGAGUUCAAGGCUUUUGGAGCUCCUACGUUCUUUAGGGUUAACGAUUCCAUCGCUAGCCGACGCUGGAUCGAUGACAUGGAGAAUGCUGUAGAUGAGGAGAUGAGGAAGGGAGAUACCAUGACAUGUUGAGAGAGGAUAUCAAGAAGUUCAUGAUUUUUUCGGGGUGCAAGACCCUUAAUGAUAUGAUCGAGAAGGCCCUUGAGCGGGAGAUUAAGUUGGAGCUCUGGAUGAAGCGGAGGCCGGAGCAGGUACAUACAACAAUAGGCCAAUCUAAGAGGCCAAAGACUUCCAAUACACGCACAAGAGGCUAGUAGGGUCAGGGCCAUUGCGGAAAGUGCGACAAGCUGCACAGUGGGGCAUGUCGAGCAACGAGUUCAAGUUGUUUUAGUUGUGACCACCCGGGCCUCGUUGUAACGACCGAAAAAUACAACCAAUUUUAAUUUUUCAAAAACAUCUCGAUUCCAUUAAAUCUUUACAAAAAGGUUUUCAAUACAAAACAUUUAACGUGUUCCCAGAAUCACAAUACUACGAAAUCAUGAGGAGCGGUACGAUCAUGCCUUCGCCUUGCCACAGUCUCCUGAAGAACCUGAAAAACAUGAAACCACAACUGUAAGCCCGAAAGCUUAGUGAAAUAUCCCCAAAAUACCAACCACAAAUACCAUACACGCAUAAUAUGCCAUAACAUAUCCGAUCACAGAACAGCCAUGCACUUCGGGUCUACUGUGUGACUGGUCCGCUGCACCGGCCUACAGUCCACCUGNNNNNNNNNNNNNNNNNNNNNNNNNNNNNNNNNNNNNNNNNNNNNNNNNNNNNNNNNNNNNNNNNNNNNNNNNNNNNNNNNNNNNNNNNNNNNNNNNNNNNNNNNNNNNNNNNNNNNNNNNNNNNNNNNNNNNNNNNNNNNNNNNNNNNNNNNNNNNNNNNNNNNNNNNNNNNNNNNNNNNNNNNNNNNNNNNNNNNNNNNNNNNNNNNNNNNNNNNNNNNNNNNNNNNNNNNNNNNNNNNNNNNNNNNNNNNNNNNNNNNNNNNNNNNNNNNNNNNNNNNNNNNNNNNNNNNNNNNNNNNNNNNNNNNNNNNNNNNNNNNNNNNNNNNNNNNNNNNNNNNNNNNNNNNNNNNNNNNNNNNNNNNNNNNNNNNNNNNNNNNNNNNNNNNNNNNNNNNNNNNNNNNNNNNNNNNNNNNNNNNNNNNNNNNNNNNNNNNNNNNNNNNNAACAACUACCCGGAUCUCAAUCCGAUAAGGGCCGGCCUUGGUGCCUUAGACCCUGUUGAUAUAGUGAGGAUAACUCACCUCGAAACUGCCGACUGAACAGAUAACCCAAGCUGCUCCGAUCACUGAUACGAUCUCCACCACUGGACAACCACCAAUGCACUGAACUCAAAACAAUAAUCAACAAUUACCAAAAUGCCCCUGGAAACCACUGGUCAACCCUUGGUCAAAGACAAGGUCAAAGUCAACCCCUGACUGACUCUACUCGCCGAGUCAACCCGAUGACUCGCCGAGUCCCCAUACUCAGAACUUCCCUCAAUCCGCGACCUAACUCGCCGAGUCACCCCGAGACUCGUCGAGUUCAACAACUCUGAGUCCACUCGCACACAACUCACCGAGUCAUCCCUUGACUCACCGAUUCUCGACUCGACCAGAAAAUAUUGGGACUCUUCGACAAGACUCGCCGAGCCCAAGAACAGACUCGCCGAGUCUAAGGCUAUCUUCAACCUACUCGCCGAGUUGUUCAUACAACUCGCCGAGUUCCAGGCAAUCUUCAAGCAACUCGUCGAGUCCACCCAUGUGACUCGCCGAGUACCACCGGUCUGAAUCCAUACAGAAGCACUCCAGGCCAUGCAAUUGCUCCAAAACAUAGAUCUAGCCUCCUACAACUCAUCCAUCACGUAAAGUGGCAAACUUUACGUGAAUCCAAAGAGAUCUAUGCAUUUUGCACAUUAGGGCUAAGGUUUGGGACAUGAUAGCUUCAUCCAACACUCAACACAGGGACUUUCAUGCAUUCCAACUCUUCUCCAUUCCAGAUCUGAGGUAGCAACCUCAGAUCUAACCUUUAAACUCCAACACAUCCAAAUAUCUAACCUCUAAUACCCCCAAAAUUAAGAAACAACAUAACAACAGCCCAAGGAUGAGAUGUUACCUCCAAAGAACGUCCCAACUGCAAUGAAAUUCGAAUCCAAGCAAAGCCCCUUGUUCUAAGCCUCUCCUUCUCUAGAAUCUCUUCCACAAUCACCUCUCCAAGAUCCAAUUUGCUCAACAAUGGUUCUUCUCCACGAUUUUAGGGUUUCUGGGACUCAAGGGGGUGAUAAAGAGGCUGGGAGGAAGACAUAAUGUUCUUUAUAUAGGGCUCAACCCCGAGAAUUAGGGUUUUCUCCACUCAGCGUCUACUCGCCGAGUCCAUCUCACUGACUCGCCGAGUCCGGCANACACGCGACCCAGUCGCGACUCUACUCGCCGAGUCCCCCUAUGGACUCGCCUAGUCACUCUUUCCCAAUUUACUCUUUUAGCCCCUUCUACUCUACUCUUGAUAUUUCGGGAUGUUACACUCGUGAGUAGGGAUUUCCCCAUGAGUGCUCUUAUUUGCUUCCAUUGCAAUCAGACAUACCAUAAAAAGGCCGAUUGUCCUUGAUUGUCUAGAGGAGCAAUGGCGACGCCUAUGCCAGCCACCUUGAGGAUUAUUGAUGGUCGUCAGGGCAAGGCGGAGGCACCUGUGGUGAAGAGCAGGGAAUUUCAGCUGACCACUGAUGAGGCCCGUACAGCGCCGGAUGUGGUUACUGGUAUGUGAUCUAUCUGUAUCUUUUAUUACUUUCCUUAUUUAUGCUUUUGGUUAUUUUGAUCUUAUAUAGGGACCUUUUUGGUCAAUGGUGUGACUGCUUAUGUUCUGUUUGAUUCGGUGCUACCCGAUCCUUUAUAUCUCUUGCACUUAGCAAGAAGUUUUGUAAUGCUCCCGAGAUUUUAGAUUUCCUGCUGGAGGUUGAGAUUGUGGAUCACCAUACUAUGAGUGCUUCGAGGGUUCAUCGUGGGUGUGUGUUGAAUCUAUUUAGCGAGAGGUACUCUAUUGAUUUGGUGUCGAUCCCCCUGCAGGGAUCGAAGGUUAUUAUUGAGAUGGAGUGGUUGGAACCAAAUGGGGCCAUGAUUAACUGUGAGCAGCAGUUAGUGAGGGUUCGAAACCUAAGUGUGGGAGAACUGGUUAUUCCUGGCGAGGGAGCCUCGCAUGGACCGGCUCUUUGUUCACUUGCGAGGGGCAGGAGAUAUCUUCAGCAAGGUUGUUCUGGGUUCCUAGCUUAUGUUGCAGACACUCGGGUUGAGGGCAAGUCAGAGUUGAAUAGGAUGCUUAUUGUUCGGGAUUUUCCCGAUGUGUUUCCAAAGGAUCUGCCAAGAGUGCCUCCCGAGGGGCAAGUUGAGUUUCAGAUUGAUCUGGUUCCCGGUGCAGCUCCGUUAGCCAAGGCACCGUAUCACUUGGCACCACCAGAGAUGCAGGAGUUGUCUACGCAGCUUCAUAAGUUUCUAGACAAGGGUUUUAUUCUUCCAAGAAGUUCUUCGUGGGGAGCACCAAUUCUGUUUGUGAAGAAGAAUGAAGGUUCACACAGAAUGUGCAUUGAUUAAGGGGAGUUGAAUAAACUAACGGUAAAGAACCAUUAUCCACUUAUGAGGAUUGACGAUUUAUUUGAUCAGCUUUAGUGUGUAUCUUGGAUUUCCAAGAAUGAUUUCAGAUCGUGGUACCAUCAGAUGAGGGUCAGGGAUGGUGAUGUGUAGAAGACAGCCUUCAGGACUCGUUAUGGUCAUUACGAGUUCGUGGUGAUGCAAUUCGGUCUCACCAAUGCACCAGCAACAUUCAUGGAUCUCAUGAACCGAGUCUGUAGGCCUGUGCUGGAUCGGUCUGUGAUAUUAUUCAUUGAUGAUAUUCUGGUCUACUCCAAGACCAAUGAGCAACACGAGGAACAUUUUCGAGAGGUUUUAGAGACCUUGAGGAGGAGAGGCUUUAUGCCAAAUUCUCCAAAUGUGAGUUAUGGUUGUGCGAGGUGCAGUUCGUGGUGCACAUUGUCCAUCAAAUGGGUAUAUUGGUUGACUCGGCCAAGAUCGAGGCCGUGAUGCGAUGAGAGGUUCCGAUGACCCCUUUGAGAUUCGUAGUCUCCUAGGUCUCGUAGGGUAUUAUCGGAAAUUUAUCUAAUAUUUCUCCAACAUUGCAGUGCCUUUAACCCGCUUGACAAAAAAGAAUGUGACUUUUCGGCUGGGACCGGAUCAACAGUUGGCUUUUGAGACUUUGAGGCAGAGAUUGUGCGAAGCCCCAAUUCUCACGCUUCCUAAGGGUUUAGAUGAUUUCUUGGUUUAUUGUGACACCUCUAUUUCGGGUUUGGGAGUUGUUCUUAUGCAGAGAGGUCACGUGAUUUCUUACACUUCGAGACAGCUGAAACCUCAUGAGGCGAAUUAUCCUACACAUGAUUUGGAGUUGGGGGCGGUGGUUUUUGAUGGGUUUUGAGCAUUCUAACACUCCUAUGGUGUACAUGCAACCCUAUAUGCUUUGGAUCUAUGUUUUCUCUAAUAUACAUGCAUAACUUUGUUUUUCCAAAUCAUCAUCCUAACUAGCAUACAAUGGAAUAUCUUUACUACAAAUUCUAGUUAGAUGACAUACCUUUUGUUGUAGCUUGCUAUCCUUGAUGUAUUUGGCCUUUAAUAACUUAGCACCAAUAGUGUGAAUGCCUCAAAUGGAAUCACAACACACCUUGGACAAAGGAUAACUUGAGAGAAUGGCUUGCUCUAGAAAUCGGCUCUAUGACUCUUCCAAAGAUCAUUAAUGCCCAUUUCACCAACCAAGGGGCUUCUUAUAUAGUGUGGCACAACUAGGGUUACACCAUGCAAACCCUAAUGUGCAUGACUUUCCACAUUCCUUAGGCUCCAUGGGUUUUAACCUCCAUGGAGUAUCCAUGGGUCACCACAUGAGUUUAUCCCAGCAUAAAGAACUAUGGAUCAUAAGCCUACUUUAUAAGAAUGAAUGAUUUACACAAUCAAUCCCCAUAUAUUUAAUUAGUCUCUUUUGAUCACUAAAUUAAUUCCAAAUUUUUUUGUGAUCAAUACCAAUUAAAUAAUAUGAUUUCAUAUUAAUAUAUUAGAACUUAUAAUAUAUUCAUAAAUCAUAAAUAACCUCUUUUCAAAAGUCAAUCCAAUCAAAUUGUCCUGAUGAUAUGCAACCCAAAUGGACCAUGCUACUAUCGGGUCAAGUACAUACCAAUUAUAGUUAUGGGCUUAGACACCUAAUCCAACACUUUUUUCCCACAAGAUUUGUAGGCACUAUCUGUAUAGGGUUCAAUGUACUAUUUACACUGACCACAAGAGUUUGAGAUACUUGAUGGAUCAGCCGAAUUUAAAUAUGCAGCAGCGGAGAUGGAUGGAUGUGGUAAAGGAUUAUGAUUACGACACCCUGUAUCACCCUGGAAAGACCAAUGUGGCAGUCGAUGCUUUGAGCUGUAAGUUCAUGGGUUCUUAUAUUAUGGAUAUCUACUUUAGGAUGGUUGUCACUUCUCCUUUGUUGGAUUUUAUCAAAAAGGCCCAGGUAGAGAGAUAGAAAAAGGAGAACUGGAAGGCUGAGUGGAUCAGGGGACAUAUUCCCUUAUUUGUUAGAGAUAGUCGGGGCUGUUGACUCAGUGUGGUAGAGUCUGGGUUCUGACAACAGGUGGGGUGAGGCAGAUAGUUCUGGAGGAGGCGCAUAAGUCAAAGUUUUCUAUCCAUCCGGGGGCCACGAAGAUGUAUAGGGAUCUGAGGUUGAGUUAUUGGUGGCCCUGUAUGAAAAGUGAAAUAACUUGGUUUGUUGAGCGGUGCCUGACUUGCAGGAAAGUCAAGGUCGAACAUCAGAGACCCAACGACAAGAUGCAACCCUUACCCAUUCCCAUGUGGAAGUGGGAAGAGAUUACCAUGGAUUUCAUAACAAAGCUGCCAAGGAUUACACAUGGAGUUGAUUCUAUUUGGGUCAUUGUUGAUAGAUUGACCAAGAGUGUGCAUUUCAUACCGAUUGUCGAAAGCAUAUCUGCUGAGAAGUUAGCUGAAAUCUACGUUCAGGAGGUGGGAGUUCGACACGGGGUACCAGUUUCGGACCGAGAUGUUCGUUUCACCUCGAGGUUGUGGAGGAAGUUUCAUGAGGAAUUGGGUACUCAGCUGCAUUUUAGUACAUCAUACCACCCCCAGACUGGUGGACAAAGCGAGCGGACGAUUCAGACGCUCGAAGAUAUGCUCCGGGCUUGUUACUAGAUUUUGAAGGGAGUUGGGAUACUUACCUUCCACUGAACGAGUUCUCCUACAACAAAAAUUAUCAUGCCAAUAUUGACCAACCAUCGUUUGAGAUGUUGUAUAGAAGGAGGUGCAGGACCCCGAUUUGCUAGGGGGAGGUCGGACAUCGGGUCAUGGGGAGUAUUAAGGUUAUACUUAAGACCACUGAGUUGAUUUAGCAUGUGCAUGAAAUAUUGCGAGUCACGCGGAGCCGAAAAAAUAGUUAUGCAGAUCGGAGACGUUCUGACCUCGAAUUUCACAUAUGAUAUUUGGUCCUUCUGAAGGUGUCGCCUUGGAAAGAUGUCAUCCGAUUUUGGAAGCGCGACAAGCUGGGCCCCAGGUUCACUGGUCCAUUCAAGAUAUCCACCCGGGUGGGCAAGGUUCCAUACCGACUGGAUUUGCCUGAUGAGCUCAGCCAGAUCCACAACACUUUCCAUGUGUCUUAGUUUCGGAAGUUUGUGGCCGAUGAGUCCGCAAUUCUCUAGAUCACAUUCAGGUUGAUGAUCUCCUGAAUUAUGUAGAGAGACCGGUGGUAAUUUUGGAUCGGAAGACGAAGGCUUUAUGCAACAAAGAGGUGUCUCUGGUUAAGGUCCAGUGGCAACAUCAAAGGUUCUGAUUGGACGUGGGAAACUGAGGCGGAGAUGCGAGAGCACUACCCUACUUUAUUCGCGACAAUAGACUUCGAGGAUGGAGUCUAGUUCAAGUGGGGGAGAGUUGUAACAUCUUAAUUUUUAGGUAUUUGCUUUUGACCCUUGGAUUGUGAUUUGUUUGCAGAAUUGGUCCCUAAUGGCAUUUUCAUAAUUAUUGGCCAUGCAUAAGUACUUUGGGCGUACUCUGAAUACGUUGGGCGUACGUAUCCAGGGUGCAAACCCUAAUUUUUAGGGCUUGGACCCUAUUUAAACAUAUUUAUGGCCUCAUACACUCUUUUAACUCCAGACUCCUUCCUCAUUUCGACACCCGAAAGUGUGUGAGUGCCUUGUGAAGCUUGAAGAGCCUUUUGGUGCCAUUUUAGAGCUUUGGGAGAAGAAGGAAGAACCUUGAGGUUGUGGUGUUUCACUCAAGGCCUUGGAUCUAACAUUUGUAUUCCUUUGUGCAUCUUUUGGGGGUAUAAAGCUCCAUCCUUGAUGAACAUUUCUUUUAGAUCUACUUUUAGCUUAAAAUUGGUCCCUUUGUGUACAAAAUCUUGACCUUUGUGAGCAUGGAAUGCUCUAAGACAUUUGAGUUGUCCUUUCAGAUGUUUAUGGGUGUGUUAAGUCAUAAAAAUGGUAUCUUGGACAUUGGUUUCUUCCCAUGCAUGGUCUAGGUUGUCUUAAUGGGUCAAGAAGCUAGGGUUUUUGUUAUUAAGGUCUUAAUAGCCAUGAAAAACCAUAAAGUUAGAAACUUUGUGGUUAAGAUCACCUUUUAGGGUCUAGAUUUCGAUUUUGAGAUAAGGUGUUUAAUGAUUAAGCACUUAAUGGGUUGAGUUGGUUGGCAGCCGCAUACGCUGAGCGUACGUGGCGAGCCUCUCGUUUUGGGUCAAACGCGUGGUAUGUGCUGCAUACCUGUUGAGUAUGCCCAUCGUACUUACUAAGUCGACUCGGGUGACUCAGUUAACUUUGACCUGGAUUUUGACUAGGGUUUGACCUAUAGGUAUUUUAGGUAUUUUGAUUUGUAUGUUGAGAUUGUUGUCACUGAAUUCAUUAAGGUGACUAGUAGAGUUGAUCUUGGAGCGGUGUGCUAUUCUGGUUUCUUAUCUGUUUGUAAGGUGAGUCUCCUUACUAGAUCCAUGGGUCGAAGGCACCAAUGUCAGCCCAUUACUUUGUUGUGUUGAUUGUUAGUUAUCUCUGUGAUACUUGCAUGAAAGACCGGGAUCUGGCCCCUGACAAUUAUAUGAAAGACCAGGAUCUGGCCCUUGGAAAUUGUAUGAAAGACUAGGAUCUUGCCCCUGGCAAUUGUAUGAAAGACCAUGAUCUGGCCCCUGUCACUUGUAUGAAAGACCGAGACUUGGCCCUCGACAUUGAAAGGAAAGACCAUGAUUUGGCCCAUGGCAGGAAAUGAUUGUAAGACUAUGAUUUGAGCCAUAGAGUUCAUUAUAUUAUGUAUGGUAUGUGGUACGUGGGGGAACUUACUAAGCUUUGUGCUUAUAAUUUUUUUAAUGGUUUCAGGUACUUCUUGUUUGAAAGGGAAGGAUCGGACGUGAUGGCACAACAUCCUCCCAUCAUGAUUUUCACAUUCUGAAUAAUUGUACUCUGAAUCUCUGAUGUUUUGAAUAUUAUAACUUGGUAUUUGAUUUUGAAUAAUUGAUGAAUGAAUUGAUAAACUUCCAAUUAAAAUUUUUAUUACCGUUUUUUGGACGUUACAAUGAGUAAUCAAAACAUUAAAAUAUUAUAAAAUUACAUAAAAAUAUAUUUCGAUUCAUAUGUAAAUUUUACUAAAUUAAUUUGUGAAUAAUCAAAGAGUUGAAAUAGUAAGUCAGAUUCACAUUGUGAAUGUUAAAACCGAAGUAUUUACAGUUCAGAUUCACAGUGUGAAUCUACACAGAUCAAAGUGUUUUUUAUUUUAUUUUUUAUUUUUUAUCAAUGCUGAUGUUUGUUAAUAGAGGACAAAAAAUGGUGAUUUUUGCUAUAUUUAGUUUUUUUUGGGAUUAAAAUAAACCUAAAUAUUGAAAAGAAAAACGAAUUGGUUUUUUUUCAAAAAAGAAUGUUUUUUUUAUAUAUCAAUAUGAAUAUUUUUGGAAAAUUGACGGAAAAUCGUAAACAAUGGCAUAUUCAUUUUUUUUCAAUAAAAAACAUUUCCUAAAAAAACUUAAACGAAAAAAUGAGGUGAUUUUUUUGGUACAAUCCGAAGUAUGUGCGUCCAGUGUACAAAUCUACAACCAUUCCCCUGGCCAUUGAUCAUUAUGAUUUCUAACGCUCACGAUUCGUUUCUUGGUUCCUUGUUAAUAAUGGUUCUCUGUUACACCUCACUAUAUAUAUAUAUAUAUAUAUAUAUAUAUGGCNNNNNNNNNNNNNNNNNNNNNUUCUUUACUCAUCGCUCAUCGCAUAGGGCCUUCAAGAAUAAUGGACCAACCCUGACAAGGUGUCUAAGAAGGAGGUUUUGGGUUCAAUACCAUGCAUAUAUUAACUCGUCAUCCAAAAAUAAAAUGAAAUAUGUGACAUGCCUUUAGAAGGCCACCAUAAGCGACUGUAAGAAGAUCAGAGUCAAUGACAAUUGAUGGUAAACAAAAGAUGGGACGUCCUAGAAUGAANNNNNNNNNNNNNNNNNNNNNNNNNNNUAUCAGACUAAUGAGGAGAAACUUGUUUUAUCCGAAAACAUGUCCUCAGAACAGAAGAGGUGUUGGCAAAACAUCGAGGUUGAUGGGUAACCUCAUUUCUUUGAUACAAUUUGCCCAUGUGCUUGUAUUGUAACACCCAAUUUUCACCUUUCAGUAGGAUUCAAUAUAAACCGUUGUUUAUAAAAUUAGAAGUAGAUAUAUAACACUCUUUAGACCAAAUAAUCUUCAGAAACAUGUAGGAAACAUCGAUACGGUUUUCAUAGAUAUAUAGAACACUUAAAUCCGACUUCGUUUGAAGAAUUUAUGCUUCUUCAAAGUUUCGCGAUUAAACCGACACAGCUCAGCGUAUCAUAGAAAGUAAAUUUUAGAUAGAUUUCUUAUUAGCCAAAGCAAUAUAAAUUCUAAACGAAAUUCGUAGUAGUCGUAAAACCAAGAGUGUGCAUAUAGAGAACGUCCAAAUCUCACUUUAUAUGAGGAAGUUAUGACUUUUCCAAGUUUCAGUUUAGCAGUGCGGACAUAGAAAACGAAAUUCAAAUAUGUUGAUUUUUAGGAAAGACAAUCUGAAUGAGAGUUGAAGAUCUCGUCCAUGCUUAUCCAUCGGUAUAAACACACUAGAAAAUGGAUAUCGUAUGAGAGAGUUAUGAUUCUUAUAUGGGUUUUAACAGUCUAAGCUUGCUAAGAAUAUAGCUAUAAGGUAAAGUGAGAAUUAACAAAAGGAGUAUAAAUAAAAGUUGUCAAUCUCGUUGAUAGUUAUGCGUGGAUAUAAAAUACGUCGAAAACGGAGCUCGGACGGAAAUGAUAUGAUUUUUUAAAGAAAUCAGAAGUCUUUGCGUGCAGCCAUAUGCACAAAGAAGAGGCGCAACGUGCCCUGACGCUCCAAUAACAUUUCGCCACAUGUCACCAUCCACAAAAUGUCACGUCACCCUCCCCGACACUGUGCGCAACGCACCUAGACAAGGUGUGCGACACACCCUCAGUUUUUGGCUAUAAAUACUUGCGAAUUUCAGCUUAUUUCUCACACACUUCCAACACAUUCUCUUUGGAACUUCUAAUAGCCCUUACUCCAUUUACUCCCAAGUUCCCGGCUACUAUAGCGAGACCUUGCAGUGUCAAAUAGCCGAUAAUUAAAAGCUCUCAGAUCAAAGUUCUGCCCACAUAAUUCUAGGUUUUCGCUAAGAACUCUCUAUAAGUCAAACUAUACUUAGUAUGAUUUAAGUGUAACUUGUAUUUAUAUUUAUAGUCGUUGUUAUGAAUAUAUAUAAAUAAGAUUUAUUAGUAAUUCUAGUCAUAAUACUAAUUGAUAUACUUACGAGAGAGGUGUCCAGAAUGGUUUCGUUGGUUUGUUUGUUGGAUUUCAGAAAAUUUAUAUGUCGAAAUGAUCCUGCCUCCCAAUAGUCCUGUCUGGUUGUUCCUUAUUUGAUAGAACUAUAGAUAUUCAUUGAGAUUAUUGAAAGAUCUAGCCCUUCAUUAUCAGAUUCCCAUAAGGACUAAUAAGUAAUAAUAUUAUAGGUUAAUACUCGUUAGGCGUGAUUCCCACCAGUAGGAUCGCCAGAAAGCUGUUAUCUUUUUUUAAGAAACUGUCCAAGUGAGUUAUCUUACUAUACGAUAUGUUACAAUAUAUAUAUAUAUAUAUAUAUAUAUAUAUAUAUAUAUAUGUAUGUAUGUUAGGACAUAUGAGAUACUAGAGUAGAGCUGGUAGUAUAAGGUUCUAUGUGCUUGUAUUAAUAGAACUUAAGGUAUAGUCUCUAUGUAUGGUUGUGUAUGUCAGGCGGGACCCAUCAUAUAGUUUGAUCGGGGCUCGUUAUGUAUGUUGGGCGGGGCCCAUUAAGUAGUUUGGGCGGGGAUCGUUUGUAUGCUUGUAUAUGUAUUGUAGUAUAUGGUAUUUUGAGAAACUCACUAAGCUUCAUGUUUACCCAAUUGAAUAUUAAUGUUUUUUAGGUACUCAUGUGAAGGGCAAGGUUCGACUAUACACAUGCGCAUUCGCAACGUGUUUCCGUACAAUGUAAUCAUACUUUGAUAUAUAUUAAUAAAUAAAAAUAAAAAAUUUGGAUUGAAAAUUCGGGACGUUACAUGUAUCCUAGUUAUCCAUGUUUUGUCCCGAUCACAACCGACUUCCAUCCUAUUGUUUUCUUCUUUUGUAGGUUAUUGGAUCUAGAGGCUUUUAAUUUGAUUUCUUCAUGUUUACAUCUUACUAAUCAGAUUGAAUUACUUUUUGUAUUUGCCUUCUUUGCAGAUUAUAAAUAGUACACGUCAUCUUGAGACAUAGUCAAUUGAUCCCUUAUGGAGGAACGACUAUCGACACUAGUGACACUACCUCACUGUAUUCCAUUCUAAUGAGAUUCAUGGGGUAUGUUGUUAAACAAUUUGUGGCUGGCAACUUUUUGGAAUUGCUAAAAAACUAUAUAAUUCAUUAUUUCGUAUGAUUGAAAAAAUAAAAGGUGGAUAUUUUAUUUUAUUUAUCAAAAAAAUCUCACGAGAUGAUAUGAUAUUUAAUUAUAUGAAAUGUAUUUAUAAUUUUCGAGAAAGAAUAAAUAUUUCAAGGGUUCAAUAGAAAAGGAAAAAUGUGACAUCCCCAAUUUCACGGCCAGAAUAGACCGAUUUGUUUAUGUUUUGUUUUAUAAAAUCAGAGUAAAUUCUUUUGAUUUAAAAGAGUUGCGGAAUUUGUUCCCAAAACAAAAUAUGAUAAAAUUUAUCAAAACGUUUCUCAAAGAGAACAUAUUUUCAUUAAAUAAUAAAACCUCAGGAUAUCAUGUUUCGAUACAGACCAAAAGCAUAAACAAUAUAAAAUAGACCUUACAACAGUUAUUUAUAACUACUGAUUUAUAUUCCAAAAUCUCUCGUCAAGUCCACCAACUUAUACUCUUGUGUCAUUACCUGUAAUGCAAAGAAAACUGAAGGGUCAGGCUUGGGAGUCUGGUGAGCGUAUAGGGUUUUCAACCCACAAUAAUAUAAUUAUUAUAUUCAAUCAUCAAACAAUCAACCCAAUUACCCAUCCUCAUUAUCUUCGUUUAUUCUUAAGUACCUUCCCUAAGGAAUUAUCCUAAGGGUCAUCUCCUACAUCGUAUUUACCUCUCAUCUUCUUACAUCGCAUUUCCUUUAUAUAUAUUCGUUCCUAAAGCAUGAAUACGCAGUCACAACAUCGCCUGGACUCGUAACUCAUAGUAAGGGUUAGGCUAUCAUCGCAUGAAUACGUAGUCACAACAUCGCCUGGACUCGUAAUUCAUUGUAAGGGUUAAAGUAUCAUCGCAUGAAUACGUAGUUACAACAUCGCCUGAACUCGUAAUUCAUCACCUACAGGUUAUGAGUCUGCUGGUGUUUCCACGGGGUCAUCUAGAAUAGUCCGUGGUCGCCAUCUAUACUCUGGUAGAUGACUACAUUGCGAAAAUUCCAAAUCGCCGGUCAAGGUUAUGGUAUCUCCUCUCAUCUCACAUCACUUAUUUAUCAUCACCUAUCUAUCAUCACCUAAUUAUCAUCACGUUUCUAUCGUCACCUAUCUCUCAUCACCUAAUUAUCAUCACCUAUUUCUCAUCACCUAAUUAUCAUCACACAUCAUCUAAUUCAUCUACCCAUGUUCUACCCAAUAUAUUUGUAGAUAUAAAUUACAUAUAUAGUUUAAAUCAUUUAAAAACCUGUUUAAAACAUUCAUUCAACAACCAUCUCAUGUAAACAAACAACGUAUAAACACGUAGCACGUAUUUCAUAGCAAAUACUGCAUAUCUAUGCGGUAGAAGUAAGUAACUAUACACUCACUUGAUUAGAAGAUGAUCAGACAGCACUACGGCUCUUCAAAUAGAUAUUCUUUGGUUAAACCGGGACCACUUCACACACCAGGUUUCUCGCGGACAGAGCUUCGGCUCGGAAACACUUUUCUUCUCGGGAUCUUCGGGUUUCGGUACUUGAUUCGGGUCUCAGGGUUGAUACCGGGGCUUCGGGGGUAUUUCUUUGCACGUAAAUCGAUGCAAUACAGGUGAGAGAUGAGAGAAUGAGCCACCAAACUCGGCUGGCCCUUCAAAUCUAUUUAUAGGGCAAAACUGGCCCUUGCCACGUUGUGGGCUUGGUCGUCACUACAUGCGUCAUCGCAAGUUGCAUCUGCGGGACUCCCAGAGGUGUCAGAAGACUGGCCACGUCGUGGCACUGCUUGCCACAUCGUGGUAUCUGACAGUUUUGGGGUUUCACACCCCGAACUUCAGAAAUUCAUAACUUUCGCAUACGAACUUCGUUUUCGACGUUCUUUAUAUCGACGCAAAGGUGAGAUUAUACUCUACAACUCUCGUUUAGACUCCAUUGGCUAAUUUUGACUUUAUUUUUAAUAUAUUAUAAUUAUAUUACUUAUAUAUUAUUUUUAGUAGGCCGGGACAGGAAAACUCCGUUAUAAACUCAUAACUCCUUCGUCUGACGUCCGUUUUCAUCCGUCUUUCCGUCGUUGCACUACUAUCGAUGAGAUCUUCAAUUCUCAUUUAGAUUUUUUUGGAUAAAUAUCGCUCUAACGUAAAUUCACUAUUUACGUCGCGCUGUGUCGUGCCGGUUCUGUCGCGAAACUUCGACAAGUCAUAACUUCUUCGUUAUAACUCGGAUUUCGACGUUCUUUAUAUAUUCGGAAACCUCGUAACAUAUACUAUAGCUUAGUUAAGAUUAAUCCUUCUAAAUAAUCUUCCAUAAAAAAAUCAUUUUUGAUGCUUAUCGUCUCUAAAUUGACUAGCCCUGAUCUACGGGCGUUACAAUUAUCUCCCCCUUAGGAUGAUUACGUCCCGGAAUCAUCAACGAAACAUGAUUCGUAUACUGACUCCAUACGUUAUCUUUCCAUCCUAAGUAAUAACCGUGAUGCUCAGUCCUUCAUCUGCUCUUCUUACUAUGAUGGACUUUCAAUCGUUACCUUCAAGUUACAAAAUAAAUCCUUAUUGUGAACUCUCCUUCUUCUUCUUAGGAUAAAAACAUUCCUUUAUCUAUUGUAAUAGACUGAUGGGUUGUGUUCUAAUGACCUCUCAUCGUAUGAUGCAACGCUUAGACUCAAAUCUCUUAGAGUCAAAUUCCAGAAUGGAUUAUACCUUCCUUCAUAUUCUAACGUGAUAUAAUCACAUUUAUGAACCACGUAACAAAAUCAUCGUAGUCGGACUCAAUUUGUCAUGACCGCUAGGGUCAGAAUAACAACCCUCUUACUAGUCAUUAUCGAAACAAUGGUAAUGACAUACAUGAAUAAAACGGAAUCAAUUACUAGUUUCUUGGUAACCUUGUGACUUUCCCUUAUCCAAGCGUGAGUCCUGUGCUUCCAGUAGUAUAGAUCUCUACUACUAUUCACACCUACUCAUACUCGUCCCAAGUAUUGUCCCUCAGUCAACCAAGUCACCAUACGAAAUCACACAAUCACAUCAGAUAACAAAAUCAGGGUUUAUAUUAAAUCUUGAAACGAUUACAUAAAAGUUCAAGUUCACCCUAUACUAUGCCUCUAAUAGGCUACAUCAUAAGUUACUAUUCGCACUGCUACUUCAUAACUUGAUCCUUGGAUAUAAAAUCCUCAUCCUUGAUUCACUUCGUCGAGGAUCAUGUGGAAUGCCCUUGGCUGGGGCGGUACGUUUUUCUUUGCGGCUUUAUCCUUCUUUGGGCAGUUCUUCGAAAUAUGACCACCAUCUCCACAUUCGUAACACUUCCUAUUGUCGAACGUACAAUCUCUGGAAUAGUGACCGGUCCUACCAGACUUAUAGCAGGUCACUUCUCCAUCACAUCUUCCGAAGUGCUUCUUCUUGCACUUUUCACACCACUUGGUUUCAUCUCUUCCUCCUUCGAACUUCUUCAAACUAGACUUCGAUAAUUUUCUCUUUUCGUCGGAUCUUGGGGAUCCCUCAAACUUUCUUUUCUCACCAACUUCAACCUUGUUGGCGGUUCUUCCCUUGAUCAUGUCCUCAACAAACUUGGCAUCCCAGAUAGCUGCUUCAAGAGUAGGUGCCUGACAUACUGGCACUGCGUACUACCAUGGAAGUCCCUUUGCGUAUCGGUCUACCUUUGUCAGCUCAUCUGGGACGAUGCGCAAAGUAAAUUCCAUUUUGUCUGUAAAUGCAUUGGUGUAUUCAUCAACUGACAUGCUGCCUUUUUUCAAUGUCAGAAAUUUGUUCUCCAAUUCUAGCAGAUUUUGGGCGGAGCAGAACUUGCGCUUGAAUUGCACCAAGAACUCUUCCCAAGUCAGUUGUAGCGGCUCAUUAGGGUUUAGGAUCUUUCCCAGAGUGUUCCACCAUCAAACAACUCCACCCCUGAACUGACGUACUGCAAAAGUGGUCUGCAACUUGCCUCUGCAACCGACGUACUGUGAAAGUGGUAUGCAACUUGCCUCUGCAACCACAUGUCAUGAAGGCUAGCUCCAUCUCUGAGAUCCAAUCCAUGACUCCAAUCGGAUCUUCCUUUCCAGUGAAGGUCGAUGGUUUGCAAGUUAAUAAAUCUUUGUACUUGCAUCCAAGGCCAUCAUUCCCUCCAUCGUGGUUAUUCUGCCUAACAAUUGGCGGGUUGGCUUGACCAACAGUCCCACUGAAGUUACCUCCUUCCAAUGAACCUCCAUUCACUUCGGGCUCUUCAACUUGAAUUGAAAGUUCUUCACGAUCUUGUUGAAGCAGACGUCUAGUUUCUUCCAUCUGACGAUCCAACAUCGUCUGAAUCAUCAAUUGUACACCAGCCAUUGUCACUGGCUCAGGUGCAGUAGCUACAACAGGUAUUUGCUCGAUUACAGGUGGUUGAUUCUUGUUUUCGUUUGCAUUUCCAACUCCGCUUCUUGUCCUUGCCAUUCUUGAUCUAUACACCGAAUAAGGUGAAUUUAGAUCCUCAUCCAUGAUAGAUAAUUAAAUCAUCAUUAUCACUCCAAAAUGUUUACAUGCUAGUUCUAAUACCGUCGUCAUACGUUUAGAAUCCUAAACACAUAACGUUUCCAGAUCCGGUCGGCAACACACCAUAGAUCCGAACAAAUAACAUCAUAUAUGGCAAACAUAUAACAUUUAGCACAUAAAAGCAUUUUAGGCAAGUUUCCUAAAAUAUACUAGUGCUUGUGCCAAUUUAGGUGUACUACCUAACAUAUUUUAGACACACUCCUCACGAUCAUUACUUAGCAUUCUAAGUUUAAGUCUAGAAAUUUCCUACAAAUUCCUAGUUCGCUUAAACUAAUGCUCUGAUACCAACUGUGACAUCCCCAAUUUCACGGCCAGAAAAGACCGAUUUGUUUAUGCUUUGUUUUAUAAAACAGAGUGAUCGUUUAAAGAAAACGGUUGCGGAAUUUGUUCCCAAAAUAAAAUAUGAUANUGUUCCCAAAACAAAAUAUGAUAAAAUUUAUCAAAACGUUUCUCAAAGAGAACGUAUUUUCAUUAAAUAAUAAAACCUCGGGAUGUCAUGUUCCGAUACAGACCAAAAGUAUAAACAGUAUAAAAUAGGCCUUACAACAGUUAUUUAUAACUACUGAUCUAUAUUCCAAAAUCUCUCGUCAAGUCCACCAACUUAUACUCUUGUGUCAUUACCUGUAAUGCAAAGAAAACUGAGUGGGUCAGGCUUGGGAGCCUGGUGAGCGUAUAGGGUUUUCAACCCACAAUAAUAUAAUUAUUAUAUUCAAUCAUCAAACAAUCAACCCAAUUAUUCAUCCCCAUUAUCUUCGUUUAUUCUUAAGUACCUUACCUAAGGAAUUAUCCUAAGGGUCAUCUCCUACAUCGUAUUUACCUCUCAUCUUCUUACAUUGCAUUUCCUUUAUAUAUAUUCACUCCUAAAGCAUGAAUACGCAGUCACAACAUCGCCUGGACUCGUAAUUCAUUGUAAGGGUUAGAGUAUCAUCGCAUGAAUACGUAGUUACAACAUCGCCUAAACUCGUAAUUCAUUGUAUGGGUUAGAGUAUCAUCGUAUGAAUACGUAGUUACAACAUCACCUGAACUCGUAAUUCAUCACCUACAGGUUAUGAGCCUGCUAGUGUCACAACUGGAAAUUUUGUGUCAUGUAAUCUAUACAUUCAAGCUAAUGUGAAUCAAAAACUUAAGAACAUGUGUAACACCUAUGAUUAUGACAUCAAAAACUUCAAUCAAAUACAUCAUGCAAGUACUACAAAUAGUCAUCAAACAAUUGGAGACCCUAGAAGUCCUUGUUUAAGUCCAUUUUGGACUAGGACUUCCUUAUUGGAUCCAAAUGGACCAAUAAGCUUCCAAUUAGACUAUCAUGGGCUUAGAACCCUAAUUGGGCUCUAAUUGGACCCACACUAAUUUAUUUCAACAUUUUGGGCCAUGUUGGGCCUAGAAUGAAAUAAAUUAAANNNNNNNNNNNNNNNNNNNNNNNNNNNNNNNNNNNNNNNNNNNNNNNNNNNNNNNNNNNNNNNNNNNNNNNNNNNNNNNNNNNNNNNNNNNNNNNNNNNNNNNNNNNNNNNNNNNNNNNNNNNNNNNNNNNNNNNNNNNNNNNNNNNNNNNNNNNNNNNNNNNNNNNNNNNNNNNNNNNNNNNNNNNNNNNNNNNNNNNNNNNNNNNNNNNNNNNNNNNNNNNNNNNNNNNNNNNNNNNNNNNNNNNNNNNNNNNNNNNNNNNNNNNNNNNNNNNNNNNNNNNNNNNNNNNNNNNNNNNNNNNNNNNNNNNNNNNNNNNNNNNNNNNNNNNNNNNNNNNNNNNNNNNNNNNNNNNNNNNNNNNNNNNNNNNNNNNNNNNNNNNNNNNNNNNNNNNNNNNNNNNNNNNNNNNNNNNNNNNNNNNNNNNNNNNNNNNNNNNNNNNNNNNNNNNNNNNNNNNNNNNNNNNNNNNNNNNNNNNNNNNNNNNNNNNNNNNNNNNNNNNNNNNNNNNNNNNNNNNNNNNNNNNNNNNNNNNNNNNNNNNNNNNNNNNNNNNNNNNNNNNNNNNNNNNNNNNNNNNNNNNNNNNNNNNNNNNNNNNNNNNNNNNNNNNNNNNNNNNNNNNNNNNNNNNNNNNNNNNNNNNNNNNNNNNNNNNNNNNNNNNNNNNNNNNNNNNNNNNNNNNNNNNNNNNNNNNNNNNNNNNNNNNNNNNNNNNNNNNNNNNNNNNNNNNNNNNNNNNNNNNNNNNNNNNNNNNNNNNNNNNNNNNNNNNNNNNNNNNNNNNNNNNNNNNNNNNNNNNNNNNNNNNNNNNNNNNNNNNNNNNNNNNNNNNNNNNNNNNNNNNNNNNNNNNNNNNNNNNNNNNNNNNNNNNNNNNNNNNNNNNNNNNNNNNNNNNNNNNNNNNNNNNNNNNNNNNNNNNNNNNNNNNNNNNNNNNNNNNNNNNNNNNNNNNNNNNNNNNNNNNNNNNNNNNNNNNNNNNNNNNNNNNNNNNNNNNNNNNNNNNNNNNNNNNNNNNNNNNNNNNNNNNNNNNNNNNNNNNNNNNNNNNNNNNNNNNNNNNNNNNNNNNNNNNNNNNNNNNNNNNNNNNNNNNNNNNNNNNNNNNNNNNNNNNNNNNNNNNNNNNNNNNNNNNNNNNNNNNNNNNNNNNNNNNNNNNNNNNNNNNNNNNNNNNNNNNNNNNNNNNNNNNNNNNNNNNNNNNNNNNNNNNNNNNNNNNNNNNNNNNNNNNNNNNNNNNNNNNNNNNNNNNNNNNNNNNNNNNNNNNNNNNNNNNNNNNNNNNNNNNNNNNNNNNNNNNNNNNNNNNNNNNNNNNNNNNNNNNNNNNNNNNNNNNNNNNNNNNNNNNNNNUUGCGAAAAAGAAGGGUUAUAACCGAGAAAACUGAAAUUUCAGGGACUUAAACUGUUUUCUAUGAAAAAUAUGCUGAAAAAUAUUAAUUUCAAUAAUUUUUGGUGUUAAAAUGUCAAGAAAAUUGAUUUAAGGACCAAACCGGAAAGUAUUUAAUUAAAGGGUUGAAAAAGUAAAUUUUACAAACAAUGAGGGGCUGAAAACAGAAAACUUUCAAGGCUAAUUCAAUACACGCAAUUUGAUCAAAUAAUGGCACCGCGACUAUCGACGAAAUACAAUACAUUACAAUACCAAAAGUCGUUGUUAAACGAAUUGGUUCGGUCUCGAACCAAUAAAAAUUCCGAAACUACGACACUACGACACUACGACACUAUGACACUAUGACACUACGACACUAUGACACUAUGACACUACGACACUACGACACUACGACACUACGAUUCAUACAAGUAACGUUUGGGAAUUCAAUAUACAUGCGAGUGUGCACAGACGUCUACGCACCAUCUUUGGGCCCCAAAAGUGUAAAAUCUUGUUUGUUGGGCCUAGCUAGCCCAAUGACCUGAUCUUAAGGCCCGAAGACCUCUAUCUUACGAAGUGUUGGGUUUUACCGAUCUAACACAACGUAAAAGGACUUUCAAUGGCUUGUAUACUACUGGUCCCCAAGGGUCCUUUGGUAUUGCUAGUAAAGUCUACAUUUCAUGCGAGGCGGGUCUGGGACCCCUCGUUCCUUUUUAUCCCCAACCGGUUAAUGGAGUCAUCGAGGUCUUCGUGUCCUCUUUCUCUUCGGAUGUGGGACUACACGUAGUCAGGGCGGUUGGAUAACGUGAUUAGUACGGACGACGCCUACGGGAUCGUUAGUAUAGCUAUAAACUGGUCGUUUGUGUAAUGCGUGUUUGUAGCAAUUAAUCAUGCUCAAAAAUAAUCCAACGUCGCCUGGGACUGACACUACACGCUAUGCAAUGGUUUCAAUGUAACUUCAUGGAAUUCAAGGAAUUAGGAAAACAUCGGGUUUUCCUAGGGUUUUGUUUUAAUACAUACAGAUUCAAAACGCAUACAACCUUAAUGAACAAAUUUUCUUUAAGUAUAGAAACAAACAAGCAUACCUAUGGAUCUUCACAACAUUUUCAAAAGCUUUUCUUUUCAGAAAAUAUCGGAUUUUCUGGUGGUUUUCAAACAAUACAAAACAUUGGAUUCAAAACACUACUUAUGAACUCACCAACAUUUCAUAUGUUGACGUUUUUCAAAAUACUUGUAUUCUCAGGGAACCAGUGAAUCAAAGGAAAUCAUAUUCAGUGAUGGCUUGCAGUUUAUUUAUGUACGAAUCGAACAAUUUAUUUUUGGGAAUGUAAUGUUUAAACAAUGUAUUUCAUGUAAACGCUACUGGUUGUACUAUAUUAAUGCAUGGUGACGAAUGUUGUUAUGUUUCAUAUAUAUUCAAUGUUAUGGUAUUCAAUUGAGUCACAACAGCCCCCGGACGUUUCCGCCGUCUGGUUCGGGGGUGUGACAACUAGUGUUUCCACGGGGUCAUCUAGAAUAGUCCGUGGUCGCCAUCUAUACUCUGGUAGAUGACUACAUCGCCAAAUUGCCGGUCAAGGUUAUGGUAUCUCCUCUCAUCUCACAUCACAUAUUUAUCAUCACCUAUCUAUCAUCACGUUUCUAUCAUCACCUAUAUCUCAUCACCUAAUUAUCAUCACCUAUUUCUAAUCACCUAAUUAUCAUCACACAUCAUCUAAUUCAUCUACCCAUGCUCUACGCAACAUUUUUGUAGAUAUAAAUUACAUAUAUAGUUUAAAUCAUUUAAAAACCUGUAUAAAACAUUCAUUCAACAACCAUCUCAAGUAAACAAACAAUGUAUAAACACAUAACACGUAUUUCAUAGCAAAUACUUCAUAUCUAUGCGGUAGAAGAAAGUAACUAUACACUCACUUGAUCAAAAGAUGAUCGGACAGCACUACGACUUUUCAAAUAGAUAUUCUUCGGUGAAACCGGGAUCACUUAACACACCGGGUUUCUCGCGGACAGAGCUUCGACUCGGAAACUCUUUUCUUCUCGGGAUCUUCGGGCUUCGGUACUUGAUUCGGGUCUCGGUGUUGAUACCAGGGCUUCGGGGGUAUUUCUUUGCACGUAAAUCGCUGCAAUACAGGUGAGAGAUGAGAGAAUGAGCCACCAAACUCGGCUGGCCCUUCAAAUCUAUUUAUAGGGCAAAACUGGCCCGUGCCACGUCGUGGGCUUGGUCGUCACUUCAUGCGUCAUCGCAAGUUGCAUCUGGGGGACUCCCGGAGGUGUCAGGAGACUUGCCACGUCGUGGCACUGGUUUCCAUGUCGUGGUCUCUGACACAACUUUGGGGUUUGUGCCUGAACUUCAGAAAUUCAUAACUUUCGCAUACGAACUCCAUUUUCGACGUUUUUAUAUCGAUGCGAAGGUGAGAUUAUGCUCUACAACUCUCGUUUAGACUCCAUUGGCUAAUUUUGACUUUAUUUUUAAUAUAUUAUAAUUAUAUUACUUAUAUAUUAUUCUUAGUAGGCCGGGACAGGAAAACUCCGUUAUAAACUCAUAACUCCUUCGUCUGACGUCCGUUUUCAUCCGUCUUUCCGUCGUUGCACUACUAUCAAUGAGAUCUUCAAUUCUCAUUUAGAUCGUUUUGGAUAAAUAUCGCUCUAACGUAAAUUCAUUAUUUACGUCGCGUUGUGUCGUGCCAGUUCUGUCGCGAAACUUCGACAGGUCAUAACUUCUUCGUUAUAACUCGAAUUUCGGCGUUCUUUAUAUUUUCGGAAACCUUGAGACAUAUACUACAAAUUGGUUAAGAUUAAUCCUUCUAAAUAAUCUUCCUUCAAAAAGUCAUUUUUGAUGCUUAUUGUCUCUAAAUUGACUAGCCCUAAUCUACGGGCGUUACAAAAAGCAAGAAAAAAAUCAUAUUUUAUGGACAAAACACCUUUCUCUCUCUCUCUCUCUCUCUCUCUCUCUCUCUCUCUGUAACAUCGUGAGACAUUAUCUCUCACGUCGUGAGAACACUCUAAUGCCAAAAAUCUAACUUUUAAGUCCUUAAUCCAUUAAGCCUUGAACUCUUAAUUUCCAUAAGGUCUUAUAACCUCUUAAUACAGUAGAAAGCCGAUGCUUUUAAGACAUAUAUUUCCAAUACAUGUCUAGAUCUUAUUUAGGUCCAAAGUUGAAGAAAGACCUCCAACUUUCAUGCAAUGCUCCAAAACUCAACCAUUUCCUAGAUCUGAACUCCAAGACUCUCCUAAGGUCCUUUUAACUCAUAAAGUUUACAGAUUUUAGAUUUCUAUUCACUCAACAUGCUCAAUCAAAAAGAAAAGUGGGAUAGAACUUAGAUCUAGCCUUAUAUAACCAUAAUGGUAGGAGCUUUAUCACUUGCAAUGGUCCAAAAACAAUGUAAGGUGAUGUUGAUGAUGAUUCCUUGCAAACCAUAAGACAAGACCACCUUCUUCUUCUUCUUUCCUCCUUUUUCCAAUCCAAGAAAGCUCCAAAACCACCAAAGAUCAAACAAGGAUGGACACUUGGAUUUUUUUGAGGUGAAAGAGGUUUCGGGACUGAUAAAAAAACCCUAAAACGAGGUUAGAGAUGCUUAAAUAUGAAGGAAACCCUAAAAGAUCAUGGGAUUGGGCUGCAUUGCUCUUUACAUCGUGAGCUCUUAUUGCCAACAUCGUGAUCUCAGUCCCGGACAAAAUCUUCAUGCAACCCGUCUCACGUCGUGAGGGUCAUUUUUCUCCAAAAUCCAUCAUUUUGACCCAUGAAACCCUAAUUCGAUUCGUCCUGGAAAAACGGGUGUUACAACUCUCUCCCACUUAAAUUAGAUUUCGUCCUCGAAAUCACUCCUUACUACAUACGGAACGCCAGACACCUAGGGAGAUACUCCCAUAAACCCAGUACCAACUGAGAAGUUGACUUAUACAUACGACGACCUUCCAAAUCUAUAACCGAACCUAGCCUUAGCAGGGCUCCCAAAACCUUACAACAAGCGAAUCUUUACCCCGCUAGGGCUAACCACUGGAGAAUAACCAUUACUACUCUGUCAAAAAUCCGAAAUCCAAGAACACUAUCUGACUCCCCGAAAGACAGCUCACUCUAAAUCACUGUCAAUUCAAAUCCACUUCGUAUUCCAACUUAUCUUAAUACUUCCAACCCUUUAUUAUCUUGUUGUUUCCACUGAAAACCGAAUCAUUGACCAUUUAUUGUUGCCAAAAACUUUUCUCUUGGAAAAAUGCUUAGAUAAUCCUUCGAGUCAAAGACUCAUCCCUACAACGGUUAGACUCAAAUGAGAGCUACGCAGUAAGGUCAAAUCAAUUACUCUGAUAUUAUUUAACCCAUACAGAAAGUGACCUAACAUAUUCACUUAUUGACAAGUCAACUCCCAACACGAGUCCCGAUCACUAGUACCACCUCAGGCUUAUCUUGUUGCCCCAUAAUUACUUUCCAGAUGCAUCCGAGACCUCCCUGGUCUCAUACUUACCUAUCAGUUAACCAAUAUACCAUAUUUCAAAUUGGUUACUGAGACUAAUAGCCUCACAUAGUCGCACCACGCGACUUCCAAAUGAGAUGUCCUAGCAUGCAUGCCAUAAUGGCUCUAACAACCCUCUUAAUCCAACCUAGCAUAACCAACCAUCACUAGUACCACCUUCCUUAUUUCCAUGAAUGAUGUGGCCUUCCCACAGUCUCACGACCUGUCCUACCAUGGUCUAAUCCCACUUAGAGGAACUAUAGGCCAAUCAUAGAUAUACCAUGCUUUCAUAGCUGCUCAAGAAUCAGGUGGAUGCUACAGGCCACCCCGCAGUCCUAAAACACUCUUAUACUACCAUGGUCACCGCCUAUGCUCUUACCGCUCAUCUAUCAUUCCAAACAUAAACAUCCUUAGUCGAACCCGCAUCUGACUAUACCCCAACCAGGUGAUUGGGGUAUGCCUCGAACCCUAAAGCCUUAAUCAGAAAAGAACCGAUAGAGAGGCUCUAACACAACCCUCAACUUGUUCCUGAUCUCACAACCACGGUCAAAUCCAUUCCUUAUUUCCUCUAAACCAUAAAGAACCCAUAUAUACCCUGCAUUUGAACCCGAUGUGCCUACCUCGCAAAUUCCCUGAAUCCUUGAUGAAACUACCAAAGAUCGAAGCAACUGGUGGUCUCUUCUCACUUAUGCCUGUUUCAACGAUGGCCAAUGCCUCCUAGAUCGAAAUCCAAAUCUGGCUCACCUAAACAUCCCCUAAACAAGGCUCUUGGCUUGCAAAUGGCAUAUGAAGAUUCUUAAGAUAAAAUGUCUAGACUAUUGAAACAUUAAGUGAUCCUCUUAAACUAAAAAGAGAUCCGUAGAUACUCAUGGAACCGCAGUUAACCUCUCCCUAUAGUCAGAUCAUCAACAGUAGUCUUUGUCAUCAUUUUCUUAGAUUCGCUCUUUUAUCUGUUCUUUGUAUGCGUACUUUUUUUUAUCCAUAGUGCCCUGCGUGACAACUCAAACAGAUUAGGUUGUAUGUAAUCUUCAAGACUCUAUAAAUAGAGUUCUUUAUUUCUUAAUGAAAACACCUCUCUUACACAUCUUGAAUCUUAUCACUUAUCUUUCUCUCUACUAUCUCAUCACCUAAAUAUAAUCGUAACUCCUCGCAAUCUCUCUUUGGAGCAAGUCUUUCUAGACUUAAUCACUAAGUUUGAUCUCACUCACUAACUUGGUCUAACUGUAGUCCUUGUUAAGAAUCAAAUUAAGUGUGUACUUGAUAUAUUACUUGUUGUCUUUUAUGUUUCCUUAUAUUUCCGCAACUAAUCAUCUAACUAUCUAACUCUAACUUAUAUUAUUGUUGAGCUUUAUGAUCCUUUGAGAUUAACUUUAAUUUCCACAAUAUAUACUUAUUCUAACGUUUGUUCAAGUGUGUCUCUCAAGUUUUUAUCUCAACAAUUGGUAUUAGAGCCAAAGUGGUUACUUUUUGAAGCAAAACUCUGAUUUUCAAAAGGCCUUCUAUACCACUGAAGCUGAUUUCUUAAAAGAAAACAAAAAAAAACUUAAAAAAAACAAGGAAAUAUGGCACAAGCAUUAUCUCUUAAUGUUUCCAACAGUGUUGGUGGUUCUACUCGAGCCCCAAUAUUGGUGGCAAAUGAAUAUCAUCACUGGUCUCAGAGAAUGGAAAGAUACUUAAGGAGACUUGGUACAGAUGUAUGGCGAUCCGCAGAAGAAGGACCACAUGUCCCUGUUCUUACACCAGUUCAAACCGACAGCGCCACAACCAAACUAGGUGGAGGUCAACCAGUCAUGAAUCUUCCCACCAAAGACGAUCUCGAUAAAAUGGAAAAUGAUGUUGUUGCUUUUUAUGAAAUCUCUUGUGGAGUUGCUCCUGACAACUUCGACAUUAUCAUAAACUGCAAAUCAGCAAAAGAGAUCUGGGAGGUUCUCAAAAAAUUAUAUGAGGGCUCAGAACAAGCUCAAGAUAAGAAGCUCAUAACUGCACUCAAUGAGUUGAACAAUUUCAAAGCUCAUACUAGCGAAAGUUUGGAAGACUCCUUCAAAAGGUUCAACCUGAUAGUCACUAAGUUAUCUAAUUUUGGCACCAUCCGCAACAACCAUGAAACAAACCUUCAGUUUCUUAAUGGUUUGGGAAGACACUGAACUACUGCUAAGAUGAUAGUCCAAGGAGAUAGAAAUAUUCAUUAUUUGUCUCUCUACAAGCUCUACGGGGAACUGCAAGCACAAGAAUCCACUGUACUCAAAGAUUGUGCUGACUACGGAGGACCACUUGCUCUUAUAGCACAAGCUCCACACACUCAAUCAUACUCUCCCUCAUAUGACAAUCCUAUGCGGUCAUAUGAAGCUGACUAUGAGUAUGAUGAUGAAGAAGAAUUUCAGAAGGCUAUUGAUCUUUUUAGCCAACAGUUCAACCGGCUACCACCUCCUUCUUUUCGUAAGAAUCAGCAGUUCAACAAAACUUCAUUCAACCGCAAUUUCAACCCGCAGAAUAGCCACUCUCGAUAUCCCAAAAGCUCUCGCCCACCACCGCAACCUCAGACUAAUCAACCCAAAGAGGCACCAAAUCCCAUCAAUCCAACUGACUUUGGUACCUCUUCAGAAGAUAAAAAUGAUGUUGUAAUUUGCCACAAAUGCAACAAGCAUAACCAUUUUGAAAAAGACUGCAAGGCUAACAUAGUGAAAGACGGAGCAUUCUACCUUAGAAUGGAUCAAGAAUUGGAAGAAAAGGAAAAGGCAAGGGAAUACAUAGCCCAUGUAAAAAGAGACCAUCUAGUUUGGUCAUCCGGAGAUGAAGACGAAGACAUCAGCAACAUCAAAGGAAAAGGCAAGAUCUGCAUGCUGGCAACUGCGGAUGACGAUGGGUCUACAAAGCUGGAAAAGAACUACUGCUACAUGGCAAAGGAUGGAACUCUAAGCAUCGUCGAACAGGUAAAACUUAUGAUUCAAACUCUAAACUAUAACAUGCAUGACUGUCAACCCUUCAUAGACAAUCUUAAUGACACAUGUGCUGCCAUCCUUACAGACUAUAACAAAUCCCUAGAUGAGAAGAACAUAGCGUCCCAAGAAAUGUUUCAUGUAAGAGGAUGACUGGAUAACAAAAGACUCAAUGUAGCUAUGUUAGAAAAGGACUUAGAGUUAGAAAAAGAUGCAAGAAUGUUGAGUGAAACACAACUAGAGAUAGCUUUGAACUAAAAAGAUUUAGCUCAGAGUGAUAUUGUACGUUUAAAUCUAUUAAUAUAAAAACUGUUCAAUGAAAGUGAAGCUAUUGAAAAUUGGUGAAUAAUGGAACCGUGGAUAAUACCUACAAUUAGGGUUGGUCCAAUGGAUAUCCUACCACAAAGGAUUCCUCACCCCGGUUUAACAAAGAUCGAGUUUAUGUACCUCCGGACCGAAGGUUUCAUUUCCCAGUCAAUGACAAAACCUUUCCCUAAGACAUCAUAACUCACUUCGGUAGACUUCAUAAUCUAAGUAAUAAUUGUGUCAUUGAGGAAAUUGUGCCUGAAGUUUCGGGUCACAAAAGUGAUCAAAUUCCUAUCUGUGGCACAAUCUAUCCUAAUUCUCAGACUUCAUCAGUUGUUGAUGGGGAAAUUGUCAUAGAGAGUCCCGAAUUCUCAAAGGACUUCCCAUCUCUGCCCUCAAACCGCAGUGUCCCUCACUGCAGUCAUGAGCCACAUAAGUCCCACAUCAAUCCCACAGAAGUCCCAACUCAGUCUUAUUAUGCGGUAGUUAAAUCAUCCUUACCGUAGUCCUCAGUCAAAAGCUUUGUGACUCUUCAGCCAAUUCAUCAUGAAUUACCCAUAGAAAACUUUGAAGUGUGUCAAUGCUCUCAAAGCCCUAAAUCUUCUAGUUCGGAUGAAUCUAGCCCUCGUUUUCAAAAAAUUUCAAAGGUUUCCAGGAAACUGCAACUGAACACCAAUGACCGCGGUUCUCCAAAAAUCUUAUUCAAAGAGGAAAUUCGAUCCCAAGGCAAAAAUCGGCAAAUCUUUUCAAAAAAAAAGCAUGUCAGGUUUCCAAAAUCCAAGAGUCCAGAAAAGUUUGUUUUCUCUCACUAUUUUUCAAAAAACUCUCCAAUCAAGAAAACAUACAAAAAGGAAUGUACAGUCGCAGCAGCCAUCUCAAAAACAUCUGACAUAACCCAAAAGAGAGUACAGUCUUUUCGAAGCAAUGGUUUUCAAAUCUAUUACUUAGAUGACCCAAAAUGGAAAGGGAUUUUACCAACUCCAACACUUUUAAUAUCACAUCAAAGUUUUCAGAAAUCACUCUCCAAGAAAUCCUUCCGUGCUCUCACAUCUGCAAACCUUCCUUUUUCAAAGAUCAACAACCCUCAGACUGCUCAAAAGUCUACCUCGUCAUUUAGACCGCUGACCAAACAAAGUGUCAGGGUAAAAGACAAAAUGCCAGCAUGUCAGUGUCAGUGUAGUUGUCAAAAUGGUUCAUCUCAUGUCAAAUCUGGUUCUUUUCAAAAACCUCGUAACUUUUCCAAAUCUCACAACACUCCAAAAACACACAAACACCCAGGACUAGGCAUAAAAGUUGACACGAAACCUGUCCCUGCAACCUUGGUUCAUGCAUAAAUCAGAAAGUCAUCUUUUGUCACAGGCUCCAAACUAGUUUGGAUGCUUAAACUAACCGUGUAAUUCUUAGGCUUUGUGUAAGGAGGAACAAGAAGAAGAAUGGUUAAUCGACAGUGCCUGCUCCUUGCACAUGAAUGGAAGGUUAGAAUACCUUCGGGAUUUCAAACCAAUUUGCAACGGUGGAAAUGUCACCUUCGGCAACAAUGCCAAUGGGACAAUCCGAGGUUAUGGUGUUCUUACUACGGGAACUUCUCUAUUCUAAAGGUUGCUUUUGUAGAAAGCCUUAAACACAAUCUCAUUAGUGUAGGCCAACUAUGUAAAGCAGGCCACAGGGUUGAACUUGACAAUGAAUAUUGCUAUGUAAUCACCAGCGAUAGAAGCACUUGUUUGAUCAAAUCCAAGUCCGAAGGAACCAUGUAUCCUCUGGACGUCUCUCUGAUCAUUGGGAAACCGCAACUAUGCUUUCUAUCCAAAGCAGUAUCCGAAGUCAGUUGGCUAUGGCACCGCAAGCUAGCUCAUCUUAACUUCAGAUACAUCAACAAUCUGGUCACCGGAGAACUCGUCUGAGGUCUUCCAAUCCUCAAGUUCAGCAAUGAUACACUCUGUCAUGCAUGUAAAUGUGGCAAGCAUUCCAAAGCAAGUCAUCCAAUGGUUAUUGAUUCUUCAAUUUCUGAACCACUGGAACUCCUACACAUUGAUCUCUACGGUCCAUCUACCGUAUCCAGUCUUCAUCACAAGAAAUACAUACUGGUUAUAGUUGAUGACUUCACUCGUUUCACCUGGGUCUUUUUCUUAAUACUCAAAUCCGAAACUCCGCAGAUACUGAUCAAUUUUAUCAAAGAAAUUGAACUUCAGAUCAAGUUACCAGUACGACGCAUCCGAAGUGAUAAUGGAACUGAGUUUAUCAACCAUCUCUGAAAUAGUUUCUUAGUUUCAAAGGGCACCACUCAUAAUUUCUCAGCUCCCUACACACCGCAACAAAAUGGGGGUAGUAGAGCGAAGAAACCGAACUCUGGUAGAAGCAAUCAGAUCUAGGCUCAACUUCACACACCUUCCUCUCUACUUCUGGGCCGAAGCAGUGGCCACGACUUGCUUUGUUCAAAACCGAAGCAUCAUCUGCAAGCGUCUCAGUAAAAAUAUGUAUGAGGGCCUAAACAACCGCAAGCCAAAUGUUCGAUUCUUCCAUAUUUUUGGAUGUAGAUGUUUUGUGAUCAACAACACAGAUCAUCUUAACAAGUUCGCACCAAAUUCUGAUGAAUGCAUCUUUCUUGGAUACUCAACAAACAAAGUUGCUUAUAGGGUUCUUAUCAGACGCACAAGGAUAAUAGUUGAAAGCUUCGAUGUCAAGUUCGAUGACUAUUACGUCCACAACACCGCUCCAUCAACCGAAACCAAAGCAAUUGUAGAAAGUGAUAUUCCUGAUUCUUCAGGGACACUAAACAUAGUUGAAGUAAAUGAUGACGAUCUCUUCGACCCUGUAGAAACAGCCAAGUUAUCCAAAGUUCUUGUGUCCCCAUAAGCUCAACAACAGUAUGCUGACGUAUCUGGUCCAUCUCUAUCCGAUGUAGUAUCACUCGAUACUUCCACCUUGCCGGUUAAGGGGGAAAGCUCUACUCUGGAUCAAGUGACAACCAUCGAUGUUCCAGUACUUGAUAUAGCUCCAGUUCCUAUCCGCAGAGAAUCCUUACCAUCGAAUGUCUCUUUUGACUCAGAUGAUGAAAACAUAAAGAACAUCGACACAUGAACAGACUCGAAGAUUAUCACACUUCCAAUAAUCCAGGGGGAACCUUCUCAAGUUCAAAGGGAACUUCUGUCCGCAAUCUAUGGGGAACCUUCACCAUCUGCCCAAGAAAACUUUGAGACUACCUUUCCAAUUCAAGACAAUUCAGCGGGCUGCUCACAUGUCUAGGGGGAACUACCGUUCCCAACCGCAGAUUCUUCAGAUAUCGUAGACAUUCCUUCCACUGCAGCCGCUGACCACCUUCAACCCCAUCUACACGUAUGGGCAAAGGACCAUCCACCAUGUCAAAUCAUCGGAAACCCAUCAGCAGGCAUUCAAACUCGAUCUUCACAAGACUUAUCCGAUAAUUGUCACUAUGCAACAUUCAUGUCUUUGGUCGAACCCAGAACCAUCAAAGAAGCAUUAAAGGAGCCUGAUUGGAUAGCAGCAAUGCAAGAAGAACUGGAAGAGUUCAAAAGGAACAACGUAUGGCAACUUGUUCCGAAGCCAAAAGGUCACACUAUUGUUGGUACCAGAUGGGUGUACAAGAACAAACAGGAAGAAUCCGGUGCGGUAGUCCGAAACAAGGCAAGAUUAGUCGCUAAAGGGUAUAGUCAACUUGAAGGUGUUGAUUAUGAUUAAACAUACGCCCCAAUAGCCAGAAUGGAAGCCAUACGCAUCUUCUUAGCGUAUGUUGCUCACAAGAAUAUCAAGGUACAUCAAAUGGAUGUAAAAAGUGCUUUCUUGAAUGGUGAAUUGAAAGAGGAGGUUUAUUUUCAGCAACCUCCGGGCUUCGAAUGUCUUGAAUUCCUAGAUUACUGCUACAAGCUUGAAAAAGCAGUCUACGGUCUAAAACAAGCACCUAGAGCAUGGUACGAGACUCUCUCUGAAUUUCUUGUCUCUUCCGGAUACAAAAGAGGAAUGAUUGAUCCCACCUUAUUUAGAAAGGCAAAUGGUAAUCACCUUAUGCUUGUACAAAUGUAUGUGGAUGAUAUCAUCUUCGGAUCGACUGAUCAGGGGAUGGUGGAUGAAUUUUCAAAGCUCAUGACCAACAAGUUCCAAAUGAGCAUGAAUAGAGAGAUUAAUUUCUUUCUAGGACUUAAAGUGAAACAAGUCCCUCAAGGGAUAUUCAUCCAUCAGGAGAAAUAUACCUCUGAACUACUGAAGAAAUAUUGAAUGGACAACUGUUCUUCUGUCAAGGUACCCAUGGCCUUCGGAUAUAAGAUAUUUGUUGAUCCUUCCGGCGAAUCAGUGGAUCACAAGACUUAUAGAGGAAUAAUUGGAUCAUUGAUGUACCUCACUGCAAGCCGACCAUACAUUGUCUUUGCAACAGGAGUAUGCGCAAGAUACCAAGCCGAUCCCAAAGUAUCUCACAUGACCGCAGCCAAGCAGAUUCUUAGAUACUUAAAAGGCAGCAAAUCUCUAGGCCUCUGGUAUCCCGCAGGGAACAACUUCAGCCUUGAAGCAUUUACUGAUGUGGAUCAUGCUGGAUGUAGAUUGGUCAGAAAAAGCACUUUCGGUGGAUGUCAAUUUCUUGGUGGAACACUCGUCAGCUGGUCAUCAAGGAAACAAAGAUGUGUCUCACUGUCCACCACAGAAGCUGAAUAUGUGGCAGCAGCCAGUUGUUGCUCACAAGUCUUGUGGAUGAAAACGCAACUUAUGGACUUCGGAUACAGAAUGCUGCGGAUACCGAUUUACUGUGACUUAGAGAGUGCCAUAGCGAUUUCUCAUAAUCCUAUUCAUCACUCCAAAACAAAGCAUAUUGAACUACGGUACCACUUCAUUAAAGAUCACAUCCUGAAAGGUAACAUUGAACUAAUUUUUGUCCAUACUCAUGAAGGGAUUGCUGAUGUAUUCACAAAGGCACUUGACUCUACAAAAUUCAACAGUUUCUUACAAAUGUUAGGAAUGAUGAAUCCGGAUUCGCAAUUCUUCUUGAAUUGAUAGGUACCGCAGACCACUCAUGGUCACCAUUGCGGUCCUAACUGAAUAUAUCUAUCUUACACAGUUAUGGCAUAUCUUGUAUACUGCAGUACAUCUCUUGUACCGUAAUAUACGGUAUAUACCGCAACUAUAUAUUAUACUUAUAUUUCAAGGGUUCUUUUUUUUUGUUAUUUCUGAUUAUGUUCCAAGUGUUCUUCUCAGCUUCUCCUACUGCAGUUAUCUAACUACUCAUCCGCAAUGAGGUCUCAAUCCGCAAUGAAGUUUUAAACCGCAAUCUCAGUGAUUGAACUUUCAACUACUUCAUAAACUCGUGAAACAAUGUGUGCUAUUUAAUGAUCCUUCAUUAAAUAAGAAAAACAUUCUCAAAAAUAUUCGUUUUGUCGCAUAUGAUUGUUUCAACUUCUUUUUUCAAAUAAACCUUUUGUUAGACCUAUUUUAGGUGUGAUGCCAAAAUAAAUCCGUUUCCCAUAAAAGAAAUCUUUUUGGAAAAUCUUUUCCUUAAACUGUCUUUUCCACUUACCCCAUAACGUCAAAUCCGUUACAAAUUCCUCCUUUAUUCAACGGUUUGUCACCCCCACCACACGUUCAGCAGACAUGGGGUAUCGAGUCUGACACUUCAUUAAAUGCUCCAUUUUGAAAUAAACAAAAAAUAAUAAUCUUUUGCAAAAACAAAUUUGUGGCAGAUAAUAUUUUUUUUAAUAUUUUUGUUUUUACCCUUAAUCACCUUUUAGGGUAAAAACAAUAACUUUUGGAAUCCGCCACUAUAAGCCUUUUUCCUUCUCCAAGAAAGCUUUACGCUCUCUGAUCUCUCAAGACGAACUUCAUCUUCUUCCCUCUUGCAACCCAAACUUUUUCUGCAAGUUCUUCAACUUCUUUUCAAAAUGGUGAAAUCUGGAAUCUCGAAGAAACAAUCGAAAGCAUCAGCCUCUGUUCAACCCACCGGUUCCGAUUCUGCUACUCGGAACCAAUCGCCUACCAUUGCAUCUAGCAAUUUUAGGGCAAUCUUCGAUGAUAACUCUUCAUACAAUGACUCGAUUCGCCUCAUGAUCAAGUUCAUCUCCAAUCAUCCUCUGUUUGGACCUUUCGACGCUUUCACUGACGUGGUUCCCAUCUCCACAUUGUUCAAGUGCGCCUUUUCUGUACAUCGGCCUCUCAACAACCUUCAAGAAGUUCAUCUGAACUUAGUCGAUGAUUCUUUGGUCAUCUUGACCAAAGACAAGUUUCUUAAUUCAAUCAACUUACUGGUUCAUCCCUCGAAAAAGUUCUUCUCACCCAGUGUCACAGAUAUCACCUCCACCUUGUAUCAAAUGGGAUACCAGAAGCAAAUCAAGGGCAUAGGAGAAUUCAAGAAGAACCAACUGCCUGCGGUAUGGAACUUUGUGUGCCACUAUGUGAUCCGCAACCUUUCAGGAAGAACCGAAGGCAUCGACAACAUGGGCCUCAAGCUUCUUGAGCUCGUAUGGAGCAUCUUCUCAGGCCACGAUGUUAACUACAGUCAAAUUCUUUGGGAUGAUCUUCUUCAUUAUAUCCCUAAGGAAAACCCAACCGAGCUUACCUUUGCAAGAUUUUGGGCUCUCUGCGUCUCAGACCUUCAUUCAGACGCCAAGGUCAGUAUGGGCAACGACAUCAACCUUUUCAUCACCCGCAAUCUCAAACGGUACAAUCCCUCUAAAGAUCAAUCUAUUUUUGGACCAAUCAGACGUUUACCCAUCCACAUUCUGACUACGGUGGGACUUGAGACCCAAAUUGUCACGGACCACAUCGAGGCUACGGAAGGUAUUGACCCAUAACUUUCUACCCCGCCUCUUCCUAGUCAAAACAUUUUAGUCUCAACCACACCCAAUCAACCAGAGUGAUCCGCAGUCCCAUCUUGUACUAAUCUCUCCAAUACCUCAAGGCUCAAGCAGCUAGUUUCUCCAAAGAAAGGCCCCCGCAGCAAAGGAAAAACACUUUCUACUGAUAAAACCCGUAGGAAACAAAAAGUAUCCAAGAAAGCCAAAGCUCCCAAGGAAACAGAACCCUCAAAGAAAAGAAAAAUCCAACAAGUUGUAUCAUCAGAAAGUAACUCUCAAUCCAAUCACUCUUCUGACGAUUUUGAUCCUAACUCUGCUCUUAUUUCCACUCUCAAGAAAAGGAAAACCAAAUCCACUAGCCAAAUGCAUGACCGGACCGAUACCGAAGUCUCUCAAAAGACUCUGGUAGUCCUUGGGGUCCCCGCAGACCCAUUCGCUUCUACCCUCUCCAUCCACUCUAACACAGAAAGUGUGCUAGUUUCAUCUCAACGUGGAGACUCACCCCCAACUAGAUCCCAAGAGGAUCUAAUUGGUUCUUCUCGCCCUAAGGUCUCCAGGGAUUCCAGACUACAUUUCUUUCAAGAAUCGGAGUUGCGCUCCAUUUUAGACUCUGUAAUCCAAACACUUACCCAACCGCACGGCGAUUCUUCAACCCAUGCCAGAACGGAGCCGAGGCCAAACUUGACCAUGGGUCAAGGAGACCAAGGAAGCUCCAGAAAUCCUACUCUACUUACAUCAAAUCCAGGUGGUUUAGCCACAGUGAGCACAAAUGUGCAAGGAUCUGUGAACCCGAGGGACACCUCGGUUCGUUUUCAAGGAUUUGACGAUGUCGAAUCAAAUGAUUCUUGGAGGCAUUACACUCCAGUCUCAGAAUCUGACAUUCAGAAAUAUGCCGCUUUCCAUAGGGCAUUUCAGACAAGAAAGGAUCAACAAACCAAGCAACUUCAACAGAAGCAACAGGAUAUUGAAGUCGUAGCUGUAACAUCCCGUUCAUUGAUUAAAUAAGUAGAUAAAGAUUUAUAAAUAGAUAAUAGUUCUAAAUUAAAUAAUAUUGAGCGGGGUGUUGGAGUUGUAGAGCAAAUUGAUAUAAUUAUGGAUUUCGAGGGUUAAAGUGUAAUUUCCGGGCCACUUUGUAAAUAUUUCUAGAGGCGAGGGCUGGUUGGUAAUUGUCAGAACUUCCAUUGUAAUGAAUUAUUAAUGAUAGGGGGUUGAUUGGUAAAUAUGGUAUUUAAAUUGAAAGAGAAAUUAUAGGGAGGGACUAGAAGCGGAUAUUAGAGAAAAGUUUGAAUAGGAGCACGAGAUUAAACUCCAUCCGUCCGUUUCCUUGCAUGGAGUGGAAAAUCCUAACCCUAAAGCAUGAGACCAGCCGCUACCCUCUCUACACUCAUCUUCCAGCCGCCGCCACCAUGUCAUCGGCGACUUCACCAUCGACACGCCACCAUUGCUUCUGACGCCAGGUGACGUGUGUAGUCGAGGAAAAACCCACCGAGACCGACGAUGUGACAGUGGGAAGACCGGACGAAGGGGUGCUGUUGGAUCCUGUUGUUGCGUUGCCACCAUCCGCCACCGGGACGCCAUCAUGGCUGCGGGACGACAUGAAAUCGUUGAGCGUCGCAGGCUCGCCGGAACUGUGAGGUGUGAUCAUGGCCUCCGUUCGUUGGGAAGAAAUCAGCCUCGGUCCCCUGCUGUGAUUACUUCCUUCCCCUCAGCUUAUUCUGUCACUAGGCUGCCGUCUCCAUCUCUUUUCCAAACAGUAGUCGCAACAGACCUUCUUCUCCUUCGACUGCAUUGUGCCGCCAUGAGGGUGGUCGUGUGCAGGUAUGGUUUUUCAAUGCUGGAUCAUGAUUUUUAGCAUGCUGGGUUGUGUUGGGGUAUUGUAAGCGAGUUUUUGGAUCGGAAAAAUCCUCCACCACCACCUCAAGGUGGUGGAUGCCACCCAUUUCUGCCUUCUGUCGUCCUUUUGCUGCCACCAACCACCGUGGGAGGUGGUUGUGUGCGUGUGUAUUUUAUGUGUGAGAUUGUUAUGCACUCUUUGGGCAGGAACCACCACCACCACCAUUGGAAAUGGUGGCUGUCGCCAGCCCGCUGCCAUGAGCCGCCAUGACCACCACUACCCGGGGUGAUAGUGGGUGGUGCUUGGCAUAGUGAACCCUAAUCGGCCCAAAUGCUUGAUCUGGGCUUGUUGGAUGGUUAUUGGGCUAGAAAGCCCUAAUUUUGGGUUUGUUGGUUUGGGCUUAUUGGGACCCGCAUUUGGACCAGUGGACUGAAGAUAUAACUCAUGGCAAUUCUAUUGUAUGAUGGCUUAGUGUAAUAAUGGACUUAAUGGGUUAAGUAAGAAACACUUAACCCUAAUUGUCAUUUUAUGUGAAAACCCUAAUUUUUGCUUAGGCCUUAAGUUGGGCCUUUUUAUUGGGCUUUGGUGUUUAGGCCAUAGUUGAGCCAUCCAAGAGCAGUCAUGUGGACUAGAAUAUUUUCAUGGGCUUUAGGGUAAGGCCCAUGUGAGGGUUUGGGCCUAAUUUGGAAAAUUGGGUCAUAGUUGGGCCAUUAGAGGACUUUUUGUGAACCCAUUCGGUAUUGGGCCUUGGUGGGCCCAUUGGGCUUGGGUUAUUUCUGGACCGGAUUGGUGGACCAUAUUUGGACCUAAUGUGUGAAGGUUUGGUCUUAGAUUCUAAUGGGGUUAAUUAUGGGUUUGACUCAGUGUUAAAAGCCGGAGUACAACAGCAGCAUUUAUAGGAUCUGUCUGCCAUCUGAGGUGAGUCUUCUCACUAUACUUACCCGUAUUGUAAUUUAUGUGUGACCGUAGGGUCUUAUUCGUGUUAUUGACCGAAGGGUCUUAAUUACAUUAUUGACCGGAGGGUCUUAGUACAUUGUAGACCGGAGGGUCUUUGUACAUUAUCGACCGGAGGGUCUUAUUUGUUUAUAACGUGUUAUGUGUUAUCGUGCAUACUGUCUUUGUGACUUAUGUUGUUAUAGUAAUUUGUGUAUAUGUUGAUCUUAUGUGUUUACUUGAGUUGUGCACUUGUCUGUGUGAUACAUGUAUGCUAUAUUAUGUGAUACUGAGACCGGACCGGAGGGUCCAACGAGCUGUGAGACCGGAGGGUCCUCACUGAGACCGGACUGGAGGGUCCAACGAGAUGUGAGACCGGAGGGUCCUCACUAAGACCGGACUAGAGGGUCCAAUGAGAUAUGGGACUGGAGGGUCCCACUGAGACACAUAGAACGGAGGGUCUUACUGAGUUAAAGCUUCGAGUGGCUAAUGUGUUGUAUGUAGUAUUUUUGGGAACUCACUAAGCUUCGUGCUUACCGUGUUAUGUGUUAUGUGUUUCAGGUACUUCUCAGGAUCACGGGAAGGCGCCGAUUUGAUUGUACACACGAGAUGGAGUUGUGUUCGAGGAUCCUGGAUUUUAUUUAAAUAAUUAUGAACACGUGUUUUUGAUAAUUGAUAUAGUGAGAUUUUUGUGAUAUGUGUUGUUGAUGUUUAUGUGAUUUUAAAAAUGAAAAUUUACGGUGUUACAGUAGCCAAAUACUGGGCCAACGCCAUCAGCAAUGCUAAUGUGGUUGCCACAAUCCUCAAAGUUCAGAACUGGAUGGAAGAAAUGGCUGAGACAAUCCGCAAAGCUCAGGCCAAUCCAGUUGGUGCAGGUACAUCUAAGCCCCCUCCAACCACUGCUGACAACAACUCUCAAGAGGAUGACACUGCAAUUGAAGUCAGUUCAGCACCAACCUUUGGCUUCGAUGACUUCAAUCCAAAUGAAGUCAAUCAAUCGGAACAGUCAGAAGAUGUUAUGAUGUUUUUCGAUGAAGAAGAAGAGUCUAGCGGAUCUCAGCACUCGACGUCAAAUCCCAAAGAAAAGAAGAAGAAAAAGAAACAUGCAGUCUCCCGAAAAGAAUUUCUAUCUCUACCAAACAAAGUAGAUCAGAUUCUGGCUGCAGUCAAAUCUUCUCAACCGCAAUCUGAAAGAUCAUCUGGCCCGCAGUCUCUCAUCGACCGCAUCGAAAGACUGGAAGCCAGAUAGCGUCUUGCUGUAGAAGGCAUCUCGCUCAAAGUAGAAAUCGGGAUCCGGGCUCUAGACAACAACCGCAAGGCUGAUCAUCAACACUUCAUUUCUACUGCUGAAAAGCUCAUCUCUGAAGUAUUCUCCAUCAAAUCGGGUCUUCAGACCAUCAUUAAAGACAAGUAUGCUCAGUUUCAGAAAGUUGUAGAAGAAACGCACAAUGCGUAUGAAUCCGCAAUCUCUGUUCUACAGUCCACAAUCAACAAUCUCCGCAGGUCUCUUUCCUCCAACUUUCAUGGUCCUGACAUCCUGCAACUCACCAAGGAGAUCCAUCGAUUGCUCUUCAACCCCGCAAUCCCAAACAACCAACAACUGGCUGAUGCUCUCAAAGCUCAGUUUAAUGAAGUUUGUGGAAAAAUCGACGGUCUUCGUCAAUGGCUUGAGGAAGUACCAGUGGCUCCUCCUUCAAGAGGGGGAAGUGAAGACUCAAAACAAAUCUCUCAUCAGCAUUCCCAUCCGCACUCACAUAGAAGAUCUCCCAUCAUCAAUAAAAAAGUUCCUACUCCUCCACCUUCACCGCAACCUUCUCCUCACAAGAGUCCAAGUAAUCAAUCUCCACCGUAACAACCACCAGUUCAAACUCCACCACAUUCUCCUAAAAGACCCGAGACUCCCCCUCACUUCAAAAACUUAGCUUCCCACAUGUCAUCAGAUCACUCAAAUGACUCCACCGCAACCAAACAAAAGAAAGCGGACUGGAGAUCAGCUAAAUUCGCUGAGAUGAUCUGGAGGGAAAAUGGAGUUGAUAUUACUAUGGAUGAAUCCCUCAUCAACUCAUGGGUCAAUCCGCACAAAAGAUUACAAGAUGACGAUUACAAGCCUAACCUCACAUACGUAGAACCCCCUAUUGACGGUUAUUGGGACAUUCCUAUCUCUCCCAAUGCAAAAUACUUUACUGUGUUUAAACCCAUUGACCGAAGUAUCCCCGAUGAUAAGAGGUUACCCUUAGAAUUUGAGAGGCUCAAUAGAUUUCAUGCCAAACAUGGGUCAUCUAUAGAGAAAAUCUGGUCAAAUGACAGACCCUCUGCAUUCAAGAAUUACAAGCCUCAAAAGUUCAUGAAAGCAGAGUUCAUCCAGUACACUUUCACCAGAAGAAGAUCAGACUAUGUCUGAACCCAAGCUGGCUUCCCUUGCAUGAACCUGAAAGAAAUCUUCCUGAUUGCAAAGGUAUUUCAAAAUAAGUCUGAAAAGCACCCAAGGAUGAAGACUGCUUUUGAAAGGGCUUGUACCUUUCUCAAAGAGACUGUGUGUGACUUCACAAGGAUCGAUGCUGAUAUCCACCCUACUCUUGCUCAGAAAUUCAACCUUCCUCCUCUUGAACCAUCUCCGGUCCUACCUGAACGUUUUCGAUAAAGAUCCAUUGGAGCAACCAACUUCCCAGAUCUUGGAGUCAUCUUCAAACGAUUAAAUGAUGAAACUAAAUACUUCAUCCCGAUGACUGUCAUGAAUCGUAUGACCCGGAAGCAGUUGGAGGUUAUUCAGGCUGCAGUCAACAAAUCCAAACAUACGAUUGCUGAAGUGAAGUUUGAGAUAUCAAGGAGGAUCGCAUGGCUCAAGGAAGUCAGGAAAUUCUGUUAGAUUCUUAUCAAGUUCCUCAAGCUCAACACUUGAAAGAAAAGUUGAAUAGGUCACUUACGGGGAAAUUGUUGAAACAUUAAGUGACCCUCUUAAACUAAAAAGAGAUCCGUAGUUACUCAUGGAACCACAGUCACCCUCUCCCUACAGUCAGAUCAACAACCGCAGUCUUUGUCAUCAGUUUCUUAGAUUCAGUCUUUUAUCUGUUCUUUGUAUGAGUACUUUCGUUUAUCCAUAGUGCCCUGCGUGGCAACUCAAACAAAUUAGGUUGUAUAUAAUCUUCAAGACUCUAUAAAUAGAGUUCUUUAUUUCUCAAUGAAAACACCUCUCUUACGCAUCUUAAAUUGUAUCACUUAUCUUUCUCUCUACUAUCUCAUCACAUAAAUAUAAUCGUAACUCCUUACAAUCUCUCUUCGGAGAAAGUCUUUCUAGACUUAAUCACUAAGUUUGAUCUCACUCACUAACUUGGUCUGACUGCAGUCCUUGUUAAGAAUCAACUUAAGUGUAUACUUGAUAUAUUACUUGUUGUCUUUUAUAUUUCCUUAUAUUUCCGCAACUAAUCAUCUAACUAUCUAACUCCAACUUAUAUUGUUGUUGAGCUUUAUGAUCCUUUGAGAUUAACUUUAAUUUCCUCAAUAUAAAACUUGUUCUAACGUUUGUUCAAGUGUGUCUCUCAAGUUUUUCUCUCAACGUAGACCAUCAUCAAGAAAACUAUAAUCCUGGCAGAGAAUUAGAUACACCCUACAUAGCAUCUCACACAUACAUUGAUGAAAACAAUCAAUAAGAGCAUGAAGGAAAUGAAUACAAUACAUACAUGUGGCAUCAACUGACAGAAAUCAAAUCCCAUUGACGUGUGACUGCAGUGCUUGGCUCCUCACCGCAGGAGCCUCCACUCUACCCUCGUGACCAUCAACAAUCCUAAGAGUGGCUGGAGCAGGUAUGCUCACUUCCCUUCUCAUUAACUCCAGACAAUCGACCUUCAUGUGGCCCACUUGGUUGCAGUGAAAACAUAACAAAAUUGAUUCUAGAGGGUACUCCCUACCGAGAUGACCCAUAUGACCGCAAAUGAAACAUCCCUUCCUUAUUUCCCAAAAUCCUCCCACAUGGGUCCUCCCACACUUGGCAGAAUGGCCCUGGCCCUACUGGCCUCCUAAACGCGAACCUUGAGUCCUGGGCCUCUUCACCUGGUCUACUACGGUUUGAAUCUGUUCUGCCUUCAUCUUCCCAAGGUGCUCCAAAUCAAUAUCCCACUAACAGGCUCCAAGAAUCACAUACUUCAGGGUCUUGCACCCUAACACGCUCACAAACUCUCAUGCCAACGACUAUACUAUAAUAGCUGGCACAACCUCCACCCUAAGCCGAGUCACAAACUCUUCCCAAGACAUAGUCUCCAACUCAGUAGGUGUAGUAGAUUGUGCAAUCAAUUUCCAAUAGCUCCUUUCCGUGUGAUACAAAAGAUCCAAGGCAAACUGAAUCUUGGCUCCUAUGGGAUAAGGACUAGUGAGGAAGACACCUUCCAUCUCCUCAAUCCAACGUGAACUCAAGACUUUGGUAGUCUUCCCAGCAAUUGGCCCUUCACCCGAGCCUGAACCGGAACCUGAACCUUCCUCAUGUGUGCUCAUCACCCUUCUGAAAAAAAAAACAUACACAUGAUCAAAACAUAUGCAAAUAAUCCUCAUCUACCGGUUUCCUAGAUUCUCUGUGACUCUCCUUGAGUCGAUUAUGGAUCUUGGGUUUUCAAUGGUACGGGCCCAAUACUACCUUCCACACCUCUCCAUACUUUCCUCAAGAAUCAUCUCGAAUCCUCUAAGUCAUGUUCUCAUGCUGGUGUACCAAGUACUCGCUAAGCAGUGCAUCUGAACCCGCUAAAAACACUACCUAGGCCCUCCAAGGUUCCCGACCUCACCCUGCCACCAGCUGCUGAAGAACUCCCAAUAAUGUCAGCUAACCACUUCAUGAAUAUAAUAACAUACCGUAAAGCUUAUAUAAUCCUUCAAGUAACAUGCUCAACCCUACAACGGUUAGAAUCAAAUGAGAGUUGCACAAUAGAGCCAAAUCCAUCACUCAAAGAUUAUUUAACCUUUGCAACAUGUGACUUGACAUAUUCACGUAAUAGUUAUCUCACAUCACCAAGAGUUCCACAAAGCACAAAGAAAGAAACAUUCGUGCCGUAACACUCCAAUCCAUAGUACCAACAAGGAACAUCCGAAACUCAAUUACUACAACUUCUGCUAGUAACUUCCACUCUCACUGUUGGUUGCCUUAUGCAUGCAAAUUAUACACAAUAUAGGAUCAAAUAGACUUUCGAAAAAAGACUCUACCCUAGGACCACAACCAAAUGAGGAACAGGAAAUAAGGCCAAAUCAGUAAUUAUAAGGCUAUAUGAUCCUAACUGUAUAUAAUUUAUAAAGCAUACACUUAACAAUUACUUCUACUAAUACAUAUUUCCAAAUCUAGCAUGAAAUUCCAUAAGCUCAAACAAUCAGGCAUAUAAAGGCAUCUCUCCUAACAUGGAAUCCUUUGUAGAUCCUUAUCAUUAAUCUAGCAUGCAAUUCUCAUAACAUAUAUCAUAACAAACAUGUAUGAGUAUUCUGGGAAUCACUUACUUGAGCUCGACCAAUUUCACGCAUCACACCCCCUUUUCUUAUAAAAAAAAUCAUUUUAUAAAAAAUUAUUUUCUUUCAGAAAGAUUACCACUUCCUCAAUUUGAGUUGAGACACACCCGAGAGUAUGCCCGAAUCCCUCAAACCAAGGCUCUGAUACCAACUUGUAACAUCCCAAAAAUUUCAAGGUAAAAAAUUCAUUUUUAAUUCAACCAUAAACACCAUUUAGUAUUACCAAACAUUCAAAAGUAUUUUAAGGUAAAAACAGUUAUCAGAGUACAAUCCCAAAAUCAUAAAGUUACGGAAACAUGAGUGGAUGCAGUGCAGUCAUGUCGGGCCCUUCCCUUUUGUACCGGAAGUACCUGAAACCAUAAACAAAAAACCAUAAGCACAAAGCUUAGUGAGUUUCUCCCAAAAUACCCCAUACCAUACAAACAUACAGCCAAACAUAUUUGGGUGCUUGCAAUCCCUUUCGAUCUAUUUCAACCGGAUACUAUCAAACAUAUCUAGGUGCUUGCAAUCCCCUUCGGUCUAUUUCAACCGGAUACUGUCAAGCAUAUCUGGGUGCAUGCAAUCUCCUUCAAUCUAUUUCAACCGGAUACUAUCAAGCAUAUCUGGGUGCUUGCAAUCCCCUUCGUUUUAUUUCAACUGGAUAUUGGGUCUAUUUCACCCCUACCCCUACCACAUAAUCUCAUAACAAAAGAAUCACAUAGAUAUCAAACAAUUAAAUGCAUAAGUCAUAACAAACAAUUAACACAAAGACAAUCAUUAUACUACACACAUAACUUAGUGGGCAUACAGUGGUGCCUUCGAUCCACCGAUAAAAUGAAGGAAAUCACCUCACACUGGUGAAUAUCUCAGAUCAAAGCUCGGAUUGCUGAUCCGGAAAAUCCCCGCGCUAACAUCAUCAAAUAAUACCCAAUUAAUAAUUGGUCCAUAACCCAUAGCUAGAAUCCUAGUCCGAUUGUCCAACACUCAAGGUAAAAGUCCAUUUUAUCCCUUUCCUUUAAUUGGCCCAAAAUCUGAGGCCCAAACCAAUAACACCAAAAAGCCCAAUAUGUUCCAACUUCCUUAUUGGGCCCAAAAGCCGAAAAUCAUAUCUCACGUCGUGACCAGUCCUUGGUCACGUCAUGAGAGCUCACCCGAUCAGAUCCCAACUCAACACGACUCAAACUAGCCAAAUUAGUGAAGGAAUAACACCUGAUCUGACCUCACGACGUGGGCAACCUAUCCUCACGUCAUAAGCCCCAAUAAGCUCAUCAGAAACGGGACCGACUGCUCCUCACAUCGUGAGAUCUUGCGUCUCACGUCGUGAGAACAAUCUGAUGCCAAAAAUCUAACCUUUAAGUCCUUAAUCCAUUAAGCCUUAAACUCUAACUUUCCAUAAGGUCUUGUAACCUCUUAAUACACUAGAUAGUCGAUGCUUUUAAGACAUAUUUCCAAUACAUGUAUAGAUCUCAUUUAGGCCCAAAGUUGAAGAAAAGACAUCCAACUUUCAUGAAAUACUCCAAAACUCAACCAUUUCCUAGAUUUCGACUCAGUGACUCUCCCAAGGCCCUUUUAACUCAUAAAGUUGCCAACUUUAUGGUUUUUAUUCACUCAACAUGCUCAAUCAAGAAGAAAAGUGGGACAAAACUUAGAUCUAGCCUUAUAUAACCAUAAAGGUAGGAGCUUUAUCACUUAUAAUGGUCCAUAAACAAUGUAAGGUAAUGUUGAUGAUGAUUCCUUGCAAGCCACAACACAACACCACCUGCUUCUUCUUUUUUCCUCCUUCUUCCAAUCCAAGAAAGCUCCAAAACCACCAAAGAUCAAGCAAGGAUUGGCACUAGGUUUUUUUUUAGGUGAAAGAGGGUUUGAGGCUGAUAAGAAACCCUAAAAUGAGGUUAGAGAUGCUUAAAUACGAAGGAGACCCAAAAAGAUCAUGGGCUUGGGCUGUAUCGCUCCUCACGUCGUGAGCUCUUAUUGCUCAUGUCGUGAGCUCGGUCUCAGACAAAAUCUUCAUGCAAUGCAUCUCACGUCGUGAGCCUCUAUGUUUCACGUCGUGAGGUUCAUUUUUCUCCAAAAUGAAACCUUUUGACCCCUUGAAACCCUAAUUCGAUUCGUCCUGGAAAAACGGGUGUUACUCCCUCUCUCUCUUUCUCUCUCUCUCUCUCUCUCUCUCUCUCUCUCUCUCUCUCCCUCUCUCUUUCUCUCUCUCUUUCUCUGCAUAACCUAUAUGUCACACUCCUAUUGUCUUGUCAAUUUUUUCAGCCACUUUGAUUUUCGACAAUAACCUUUUUUUUUUUUGAUAAAAAAAUUUCUUAAAAAACAAAGUUCUUAAAAUUUAAUUCUCUACAAAAUGAGUAUAAUUAUUAAAAAUUGAUUUUUUUUUUUAAUUUUAAAUUUAAAAAAAAAAACCCAUAUUUUUUUUUCCAAAAAUCAUGAAAAUUUAAGGGAAACUUCUACUCAAUAUACUAGCGAUUUUAUAAAAAGAAAAUUAAAAAUAAGUUUUUGAAGUGAUCAUAUUUUAAGUUUAAUAAAUACUAGUUUUUAUAAAAUAUAACAAUUUUUUAUACAAAUUCAAAAAAAAAAAAAAAAACAAAUGACAAAAUUAUUCCUAAUACUAUUUUAAUUAGUUUGUAAAACAAAAUUUUCAUAAAAUAUUAUUAUUUUAAGGAAACUUACAGUUUGUUUAAAUGAAUUGAACUUUUUAUAAAAAUAAAACAUGGAAAUUUUCUUUCUUCAAAUUAAAAAUCAUUUCAAAUAUUUAUUAUAUAUAAUAUAUUACGAACUUUUUGAAAAUAAAACUUAAAAAAUAAGGUUAUUUAGAUACUAAACUUUAUUUUAAAAGAUUUAUGUGGUUUUAAAAAAAUGUUGAAUAUAAUAUGAUCUAAAACGAAAAGAUUCAAAAUAUUUAUGAUUCAAAAAAGUUAUGAUUCAAACAUGUUUAUGGUCUUUAAUUUGUUAUGAUAUAAAAAUAUUUUUAUUCAAAUAUUUUAUGAUAUUAAUUAUAUAUUUUAUGAUUUAAAAUGUAUAGUGAUCUAAAAUUUAUCACGAACAAAAAUUGUAUUUAAUUGAAUAUAUUAUUGAUCCAAAAUCACGUGAUUAGAAAAUGAUAUCAUCCAAAUUACUAUGAUUGAAAAUAAAUUGAUAUAAAAUUUUAUGACACAAAAAUAAUAUAAUCCAAAAUUAAUAUAGCCAAAAAAUAUUAUAAUAUUUAAUAUCUUUAUGAUUCGAAACUUUCAUAAUUGUUAAACAUCAAAAACUUGAACCCGUAUUUAGUUCAAAAAAUUAAAAAAAAACACAAGUAACUUUAAAGAUGUACUAAAUGGACGAUGAAAACCUAGCAAAUCGAUUUAGAUGCAAAUCGAAAAAUUGGUUGUGAAAACAUACACAUACGAAUAAUGAUCCAUAUAAAGAUUGGUGAUUAAAAACCUAGAAACCGGUUGUGAAAACACACAAUAAUGAACAUACACAUACGAAUCUUGAUCAAGAUAUAGAUUCUUCAACGAAAACCUUGUAAUAGUAGGAGAAGAAAGGAACAAUUUCUAAAAAAUGAUGGGAGGCAUGAUUUUGAAUAUCGAUUUCCGGGUUGUUUCCAAUGCGAGGUUUAUUGAUCUCUAAUCCAUGUCGUUGUCGUUCAUGGCCACCAUGAAUGUGCAUAUGUCCGGUGACUUUCAUUAGUUGCCACUUUGAGUUUUCUAUUUCCUACAUAUGCCUUCAUCAGCAAUCGCUCAUGAGCUUUAUUUGUUUCCUUCAACUUUCUAGGUUUUCACUAACUUUGAGUUAUUACGAGGAAAUGUAAUGAUAUAGAAAGGGGGUGUAUGGUGGAUGGGUUAUUUGAAUAUGAGGUUUAUGUAAUCAAUUUCGAUUUUUGGUGUUGGGCAUAGAUAUCUUUGAUUCGGGUGUUUGUCGAUUUCAUAUUAGUUUUAAAACAAAAUUCGUUAGAGUGCUCUUCACUAGAAAAAGUAUUGGAGAUCGGUAUAAAGGUGAUGAACUUAGUAUGUGAAAAUAUAAGAGAGAGAGAGAUUAUUUAUUUGUUUUUAUUUUGUAAAUAUUAAAAUAUAUGUUAAAAAAUAUAAAAUAAAAAAAAUUCAAGUCAUUUUUAAAUUUAUCAAGGACUAAAACCACCAAAAAAAAAAAUCCAAUUACACUAAUAAUAUAAAUUAAAAUUUUUAUACUAGUAAAAAAAUACACAUGUUUUUACAAACCAUAAGACCAAAUUCGCACUUUAAUCUAUUUUUUAUGCAACAAAAUUUCCAAAUAUCAUUUUUUACACACGUCAACAGGUGUAUCUGAAUUUGAUAUACGAUAAGUCAAAAUUGGGUUUUUAUUUGACUUUUACAGAUAGCCGCCUCACCCGAAAAUCAAGAGCCCUUCUGAUCGGCGGCACUGCCGGCGGAGCCGUUAUUAGGUCUAGAUUUACUCCUCCAAUUCUCCUUCAAUAUCGAUUCAAUUAUUGUUUCUUCAUAGACGCCAUCAGCUCAUCACUGUGGAUCACCCCCUGUUCUCCUAACCCUAAUUGUAAUCUUAGGGUUUGCGAUUUGUGUUUCUCUUUUCUUGUAGGGGGUGAUUGUUGAACCAAUCCAAUCAUUUUUUGACAAAAAUGGUGAGGAGUUGCGUUCAAUCGUUGCUGAAACUGGUCAAUUCGUUCAUCGGAAUGUUAGGGAUCGCGAUGAUCAUUUACGGCUUGUGGAUGAUUAGGGCUUGGCAGCGGCAAAUGGACGGCUCAGAUUACCCUACUCCAUGGUACAACAUCUCUUUCACGUUUUCACCGAGAAAAAGCUUUUACUUAAUUGUUAAUUGAUUACAUUAUUUCUAUCUAAUCUAGUCAAACACAUUCAGUUCAUAAUUACGAUUCGAUUGGGUAUCAAACUCCCUGAUUUUAUGCUUAAUUUGAAUCAUAAUCGAAAAAAAAGAUGGAAGUGAUAUGAUUGCAAGAAUCUUGCUAUGUGGAAAACGAUGAAAAAGCUUUUCUUUUUCAAAAAGUCAGGCUGUUAAAUGCUAGCAUUUAUGUCAUUCUCAACUUUUAUUUAUGAGGAGGCUUCAUGGGGUCUGUAGAUUGUGGUCAGUUUUGUUGUACCUUUUUAAAAAAAAAUUUUAUUAAAGUUUGAUGAUUAAAUUUUAAAGUAUAUAUAACAUCCUAAAAAUGCGGAAAUAAUAACUUUAAAAAACUAAAUUUUAAUGACAUAACCAAAAGAUCCCCGAACAUGAGAGUGUCCUAACAAUAAGGAGUUGACAAUACAUUACAUAGGUUUUUUUUUUUCUUGGAAAAGACCUAAAUACCCUUUCUUUAUAACUUUAACAAUGUAGGUUCAUAUACGCCACGCUUGGACUUGGUGCAACUUUGUGUGUGAUCGCAUGCUCCGGUCACAUCGCCGCAGAGACCGCAAACGGAUGUUGCCUCUAUUGUGUAUCCUUAUUUUAACGUUACUCUAUAAAAAAAUUAUUUUUUCAGUAACCCUGAGCUGACCCACAGAACCUGUUCCAAAAACAUCAUCUCAGAUGUAAAUAAGUGGCCCGCCAGAUAGCUGACAUAAAAGUCCAGAGCCCACAUUGGAUAUAUAUGACAAUAGUGCAAUAGUUUUAGUAGAAAUGAAUAUUACGAUUAAUGGCCUUAACAUGAAUGUAGUAUUUGGUCUUUAUCUUUUUGCUUUUGAUGGUGGAAGGUGCGGUCACAACGGAUGUAUUUCUAAACCGGAAUUGGGAAGAGGUACUUUCUAGUGACGAAAGCUUUACAGUUCUUUACCCAUAAUAGCAAUGUACUUACAUUUAUUAUUUUCUUUAUAUAAUAUUAUUAUUUUCAUGAUUUCAGGACUUUCCGAAAGAUCCAAGUGGGAAUUUCCAUGAGUUUAGGGAUUUUAUUAAGGAGAAUUUCGAUAUAUGCAAAUGGGUCGGCUUGUCCAUUCUUGGUGCUCAGGUUCGUGUGUUGACGUCAUCUAAAAAUAUUUGCGGCGUUUAGUUUGUUAAAUAUACCGAAAUAUUUUUUAAUUUUUUUUUUAGAACGGUAAUUUAAAUAUUUUUAAUUUUUAUUUUUAUUAUAAUUAAUGGCAGGGGUUGUCUAUAUUUUUGGCACUCAUUCUCAAAGCUCUUGGGCCAUGGCCAUAUCAUGAAGUAAAUUAUGAUAGUGAUGAUUAUGCAACCAUUGAAGAUUAUCCACUUUUAAGAAAUUACCCAAAUCAACCCCGUUAUGUUGUUGGUGCUCCGGUCUAUGGCACUAGAUGAUUUUUGAUAUGGACAAUCAGGUAGCUUUUCAGUACAGUACAGUAUAAUUUUAUACUGUGUUUGACAUGUAUUGGACUGUAAUAUAUAUUGUUGUGACUUGUAAUGGAUAAAAAAAAAUAUAUAUAAAUAUUUUGGUAUUAUGGGUAAAAAAUAAAGUACUUCCAUCAUGGUUUUUAAAUUUGUAGGUUGUUACAUGGAAACAUGUUGUGGGAGCUUCGGGAAGAUUCGUUAUUUGGUUAAGUGUAAAACGAAAGAUGUUUUGUUCGUGGAAGGUUAAAUAGAAUUUAUUCAAACAUAUUUAGUGUAAAAUGCUGUUAAUUAUUUAUUAUAUAUAGGAAAUUAAAAUUGAGGUAGCAAUUAGCAUUCUGUUAUAUCAUGUUUUGUUCGUUUGAAAAAAGAGAAUUAGUUUUUUAAACAUGUGGGUUUAUUUUGCAUAAUUAGACAUCUGAAAAGUUAAAUUGAUAAAUUAUGAUCAUUUCGUGUGUAGGAGUUCAUUUUGAUUUCAAUUUUGUAUCGCCCUUAUAUAUGUUUUUAGGAGUUCAUUUUUAUUUCGAUUUUGUAUGUAUUAUAUAUUUCGGUUUUUGUGUAACUUUAUUGUUUUAUAAAUUCGUUUUUACAUAUUUAUUACAACUUUAUUUUGAACAGGUUCACAAUUCUGUUUUUUACAAAUUCGCUUUUUAGAAAAUUGUAAAAUCAUGUGUUGUAAAAAACUAAAAACAAAUUUGUAGAAAAAAGAAUCAUAAAAGAAUAUGUAAAAACGAAAUUGCAAAAAAAGAAUUUAUAAAAAACAUAUUUAUACAAACGGAUUGGUAAAAAUGAAUUCUAAAAAAUGUAUAAAAAGAAAGUUAAAAAUUUAAUACACUUGUUUUACUAAAAAUGAAUUUUAGAAAAUGUAUAAAAAUAAAUUAAAUAAUUAAUACAAAACAGUUUUACUGAAAACUAAAUUUUAUAUAAAAAAUGAAAUAUUAAAAAAUAGAUUAACUUUUUUUCAAAGCCGAGUAUAAAUAUGGUACGAAAAAUUAAAAUCUAGUAUAAGUUUGAUUUUUUUGGUAAAUAAGAAGUAUCUUGACAAAUGGUAUAUCGUUGGGUAUAAAUUGUAAUAUAUAGAAAGAAUGUGAUUGAAUUAUGUUAUGUUUGUAAAACUAAUGGAAAAAUUAAUUGACUGUUGGGAAGUUAGUGGUUGAAAAAAAUUUCGAUUGGUAAAACAAUGUUAUAAAAAUCAUUCGACGGUAGUUCGAAGGUAGACUGAUGUUAAGGGAUUAAUUGAUCUUGAUGCGGAUUAAUCGGAGACCAUAGAUUAUUAAUAAAAUAUUAAAAUUAAUCAAAGAUUAAUAUAUUUUAAGAAAAAUAAGUACUUCAGAAUAUGAAAAUAAGAGAAUUCGUAAUUUGAAAAUUUGAAAAUACCAAAAUAUGUACAUUUUGGUAUAAUAUUUGUAAUUUUGAAAAAUUUGGGUUAAAAAAAUUUAAUUUUUUCAAUUUUUUUGACUAUUUUUUUUUUCUUUUUUUGCCUUUUGUUGACCGAUUAAUCCUGCCUAGAUUGAUUAAUCCCGCCAAACCAGAUUAAUCCUUAAUUUCCAUCAAACACACUAUCGUAGUCAUUUGCAAAAUGCCAAAAAAUUGUACCCUUCAAGAAUAUUUCAUUUUACUUCUGCAUAGUAAAAAAUAUGAUUUUUUUUUUCUUUUAAAUUAAUGGUAAUACUUUAUUUCAUUACACAUUUUAUGAGAGUAUUACUACAUUAAAUAGUCCUAUGAUGCAUUUGCUUUUAUAUUUGACUAAAAAUUGCCUCAUUGCUGUUUGGUAGGGAACAGGUAAUUUUCAAAUUGUCUUUGCCAAAUUAAUAAGUUUCAAUGUUUGUUUUGCGGGGGAUUAAUCUGUAAUUUUUUUUAUUAGACUGACUAUUUUUAAAAAAAAUUUAAACCCAUGAAACAUUUGCUAUAAAAAAUAUUGACAAGGGGAACUUUUUCUUAAAUUGCAGGGAGAAUUCUGCAAUUUAUUUUCUACAAAUGGACUAAACAUGGCAGGAUACAAAAGUAUUAUGGUGAAAGUGUAAAACCCAAAAACUUAUUACACAUGGACAAUUUAAGUAAAAAAAAUACAUAAGGAACUUUUAUAUAAAAUACGAGGACAAUUUUUGUAAAUUAUUUUUCUACAUACAGACCAAACUUAUCAAAAAACUAAAGUAUUGUGGCACAUGAACAAUUUGGUAAUUUAUUUCCUACAAAGAGACCAAACGAUAACAUUAUAGCAAAUAUUUCAAACCUAAAAAGUAUACUAUUUAAACAAAAUGAACAAUUUCUGUAAGAAAAAAAAAACUGUAUAAGGAUCUUUUCUAUAAAUUACAUUGAUUGUUUUGUAAUUUAUUUUUUAAAUAGGAGCCAAUGGGCAUAUUAAAGUAUUACGGACUAAAAUAUAAAACCAUAAAAUAUACUAUUAAUAAGACACUUGCUUUUUUAUUAUAUAUAAUAAAAUAAUUCGUGCAUUUCCAAUAGUCCAAUCUUUUGAAAAAAAGAUGAAUUGUUGCGUCAAGUUAUACUUUUACUUUUUAGCAAUCAUAUACAUAGUAUACUUUGUUUCAAGUCUUUCUUUCUGAUUUUGCAAGUUGAGAAUUUAUUAUAUCAAUUUCGAUAAAUAAAUAGACAAAAUUUCCCUUUGUAUAUCUUAGUUCUUAUCACUCAAAUUUAUUCAUGGUCAAUUAACAAAGACACAAUCAAACACUAUAUGUCAUAUACGUCUUGAUUCAUCCCAAAGAACAAGAUGUAGAAGCAUGUCUUGUUUUUCUAAGAAAUAUAUNNNNNNNNNNNNNNNNNNNNNNNNNNNNNNNNNNNNNNNNNNUAUAUAUAUAUAUAUAUAUAUAACAUACCAUUUAAAAUUUGAUUUAAUUGAUUUAUUGUAUCAUUAACAGGUGUGCGAGAGACAUGUUAUUGGACACAAAAUUAGGCAAAAUUCCAUAGAAAUAGAAAGGUGAUUGAACACUUUAAAAAGGGAAGAUCGCAAUAUCGCAUAAGAAAAUCUUUAUGAAAGUUUGCUUUUUUUUUUUUUUUUUUUUUUUUUUUUUUUUUUUUUUUUUUUUUUUUUUUUUUUUUUUUUUCUUUUUUGUGGGGGGGGNUUUUUUUUUUUUUUUUUUUUUUUUUUUUUUUAAUCUUUUUUUUAGUCUUUCUUUCUUUUCUUUAGUCCCUUUGAUGGAGGAGGGGAUGUCUUUUCAUUAAAAGCAUGGUUCAGGUUGUUAGAUGCUUUGAUUUUGAUGGACAACCAUGUUAAGAAUAUCAAACCUUAAGUAUCGAGUCCUCUUUCUUAUAUGAUAGAUAUAAAGUACUAAAAUAAUCAAAAGAUAGCUUGAUAACGAAUAUAUAUUAAUUUUCAUAACAAAAGUUUAGUAAAUCUUUUUGAACCGAAAUAUAUUGCAAUUAAUAGGAGCCAGUAAAAGAAAUAUGUCACAAUGAAAAGAUAGAUAAACUUGCGUUAUACAACCAACCAAUCAAAUUACUUUGUACAAAUUGCUCCUACUAAAAAUCUAAAAAAAAAGCUUUGCGAGAUAACUUUAACAAAAAUUACUUUGUACUUCUGAAAACACCACAUCGCUCACAAAGAAGUAACAACGACCAUAUCAAACACAUCUUUUUGAACCAUAUUCAGAUUUGUAGUGCCCAACUACUUUAGCAAGUGUUACAAUAUGGCGAUUUGUAACCAAACAUCCUUAGUCAUAUUACAAGAAAUGAAUAAAUAAUCUCAUGUUUCGCUUGCAAAGUCGUAAAAAGGACAAAAAAUUGAAUUCACAUCAAUCAUUUUAUCCAUCAAACUUCAUUCUAGUAGGAAGAUGAUUUAGACACAACCUCCAAAACAAAAUGUUUGAUGGGAAUAUAAGAAUUUAAACUAGCAUGCAAUUUUAAUGUACAAAGUCGCACUAUCUAAACACGAUCUAGUUGAAGCUAUCGAGAAAGAACCAUUUGAAUCAAUGUUCCAUGCCCACGUAUCCAUCUGAUCCAAAAUAAAUACGAUUGAAUCAAGAGCUUCAUCUCAUUCUUAUGCAUAAGUUUGCCCCUCUCCAUUUAGCAAUCUUCGAAAAUAAUUAGGCUAAUCUUCCAACUUUAAACGAUAGCUAACCAACAGCAUUUUAUUCAAAUCUAAUGAAUAAACAUGAUUUUUUUUGUUAUUUAACGCCGUAUCCCCACUCAAAUAUCUUCUCGAAAAACAGUUUGAUUUCCAUUACACUUUUAGGCUACAAAACGAAUCCAAAUGUACCCCGUUACUAGCUAGAUUAUAAAUUUCUUUCAUAAUGUUACUCCAAAAACCAUUACUUUAAGCCUUGAAAGGAUAUUCAUGUAAGCACCUCAGCACUUCUCAUAAUAAUAAUAAAUUCUUUCAUAUCCCUCUUAAAUCCUUUCAUCCGAUAUCCGGUGGCACUACCUAUACCUAUUGUAACAAAUAAGUCUUCAAUCAUAGAGAUAACAUGUUCUUUAGUUCGAGAAUUAAAAGAAGAAAAGGAGCAUGCCAAUCAUCUUUUUUAAACUCACCUAAGGUGGAAUGUUUCCCCUAUAGUGAUCACUAUAAUAGGUUUUAACAUCAGAUUUCAAUCGUCUUGGCCUAAAAAAACUUCAACACUUGUUGGAAUAUGUUUCCCAACAAUUGUAACAACGUUCGGCUAUGACUGAAACACCUCUCAUAUGAGCUAUUUGAAAUAACUUUUUCUCAAUUAAUAAACAUAAUAUUUCAAAGUCUAAGUGUGGAAUAAGGUCCCAACAUCAUUAUGUAAAUCGAUUUAGUAGUUUGAUAAUUUUAGAAAAACACGAGGGUGCAUCGGUUACAUCAAUAUACAAGUUAAGUCAAGAAGUUCUAAAUAACAUAAGUAGUAUUCUAAAUGUCUAAUGCAUCUCCCACCUCUAAUCUUUCUUAAACUUCCUAAUUUGAAUACAUAUCAAAAUAUGUACAUUAGGCUUGGAAAGACUAAUGAGCAUUAUCGGGGUUCUAUAUUAUUGAAUGAAAGGAACUUUCACUUUCCAUACACAAUGUAAAUCCCAAAAACAUUUUCAAUACAUAGAGUUAGUAUCAAUUUGUAUUUGGGGAAAUAAGCAUUUCAAAGACAAUAACACCACUUACAACACGAGGCAACUUAUCAUGUAAUGUCUGUUUUUCGAUAAGUUAUUUAUUAAUUUUAAUGGUUUAAUAUUGUGGGAUUUGGCUGGCUUCGUGAUACGACAAGGUGUUGGUCAUGGCGUGUGCCAUCUGUAUUAGUCGAGAUGCGACCUAAGUGGGUUUCAACGUGUGGCCACAAAAGCUUGAAACCCUAGGUAUCACUUUUUGGAGCAUAUUUAAAGGCUCUAACUUUUAGAGUUUCCUAAUUUCACCAGCCUCCAUAUCUUAAAGAACACUAAAAGCAAACCCUAGCCUUCUCUCAUCCCCUAGUGGUGUUUUAAUGCCUUGAGUGUGAAGUUUGAAGAAGGAGAAGAUGUCUUUACUGCUCUAGAAGCAAGAUCCAAAGAAGUUUCAACCUUCUCAUCAUCUUUUAGACCUUUGUAUGUUAUAAAGCUUCAAAAUUUAUGAUCAUUAUGUAUAGAUAUAGUGUUUUGGAGUUUGGGGAACUCUAAGGAUAUAGACUUAUUUGAAGAUCCUUUUUGGACACCUAGAGGUGAAAAUAUAUGAAAGACCCACACUUUCAUAAAUAUAAGCAUUAUUACUCCAAAACAUGCUGCAUGCAUAUUUAUAAACAAUAUUUUAAAUUAAUAGUUUGAUUACAAACGACUGGAUACAAACCGACUAAGUUUUAAGUAUAUUACAUAACUACCCAGGAUAUUAAAGUUUUAUACAAACGUAAACCCAAGUACAAAAGUAAUAGCGUAAACUAUUCUAAAUCUUCCGACAGUAUAUGACUAUACUGGUUACUUAUCUCCUGCAAUUGUUAAACAAUGAGAGGGUAAGCGGUGACACUUAGUGAGUUCAAUAAUAGAUACAAUAUAACGUUAUGCCACAUAUAUACUUCCAUAUGGCAGAAGCAAAGAGGAACAAGGAACAACAAAGGCAUAUGUGAAUCAUGCGACAAGAUUUCCAUAUCAAUCGAUGAUUUGAUUCAAUGAUAUAUAAUCAAUGAGACGUAAUAGUUUCAAUACUUGAUAUACAUCAAUAACGCUUUGGCCUAAAUGGCAUAGAAGACACAAUUUCUGAUUAAACAUUUUGGUAGAUUUCAGGCUUUUAGCCAUAUCUAACCUUCUACCAAUGCCAUAGAAUAGAGAUCAUUCUCAUACGAGACAUGCUCUACAUGGCCAGAGGCUACAUACCAGCCCUAUCUAACCUUCUGCCAAUGCCAUAGAAUAGAGAUCAUUCUCAUACGAGACAUGCUCUACAUGGCCAGAGGCUACAUAUCAGUACCACCGUGACUCUAAGUCCUUUCACUGAUCACAUGGUCAAAGGUAUAACUUUGCUACCAAUAUAGCAUGGAAUAACAACACGAGAUAAUAACACGGAAAAAGCACAUAUCACAUAUAACACAUAACAUACAAUUGUUCCUAUAUAUUGAACUCACCGUGAAAUAACCGGGGGGGGGGGGGGGGGGNUGUGAGGUGGGGGGGGGGGGGUGGGGGGGGGGGGGGGGGUUAAAGUAUAAAUUUGGGCAAUACUUCGACUCUAAAUAUGACUUUUUGUGACGAAAUCGGGGAUUUUUGCUGAAAACCGGCUUUACACGGGCAGAGUUUCGACUCGAAAUAUAAUUUUCUCGGGAACUUCGGAGUAUCGGGACUUGCUUCGGGUGUCGGGGAUGAUACCGCGACUUUAGGGGGGUUAAAAAUGGGCUAAAGAAGGUUUAGAGAGUAAGAGAUAUCAGAAUUAGCAAACAAAUCCCGAAGGCUUCGUUUUCUAUUUAUAGGGUGAAAUUUUGAUAUUCACGACAUGAACUAUGUAUGUUCACGUCGUGACUUCAAUCCUGGUCACCCCUAGGCUUGUUGUGUGUCUUCUAGGCUCGAAAUGUGUCGUUCAGCUAGUUCACAUCGUGAAUUCUAUGUUCACGUCGUGAACGCAAUCAGGUCUCGAAGUUUGUGCUCCGAACUUCAAAAAUCCAUAUCUUUCGCAAACGAGAUCCGUUUUUUACAUUCUUUACAUCCACGCGUAGGUGAAAUUAUGCUCUAGAACUUUCAUAUAGACUCCAUCGGCUAAUUUUGACUUUAUUUUUAAUAUUAUAUUUUUAACAGGUCGGGACAGGAAAAGUCCAUUAAUAAUUCAUAACUUCUUCAUCCGACGUUCGUUUUUGUCUGUCUUUUUACUGUUGUACUGCUAAUGAUGAGACCGUCGAUUCUCAUUUAGGUUGUGUCGGCUAAAAGUCACUCGAUCUUUAUUUCGAGUUUUUAGCUAUCUAACGCUAUUCUGAAACUUGAAAAAAUCAUAACUUCCUCAUACGAAGUCAGAUUUUGACGUUCUUUUUAUGAAAAUUUUCGGUUUAUCGAAUACUACGACUUUCAUUUAGAACAUAUAGGCUAAAAAUUAGUUUAUCAAAAACUCACUUUUUACAUCAUUUGGCGUCGUGCCGGUUCUGUCGCGGAUCUUCGAUUGGUCAUAACUUCUUCGUUAUAACUCGGACUUCGAUGAGGUUUUGGCCUAAAUGUUUCUAGCAAAAUUAUCUACAAAUUUCAGUAAUAAAAUUUUAUUUGUUUCAAAUUUUAUAUUUUUGUUAAAUUUCAAUAUUUGAUUUUUGAUUGGAAUCUCAUAAGACUUCCAAUACCUUCUGAGUGAUUCUAAACAUAGUUUUACUUUAAUUCUAGUAAAAACUAUCUGUUAGAACUCAAUACUCAAAACCAUAUAAUAUUUUAUUAUAUUAUUCACUUUUUAAAAUUACAUAACACGAUAACUGAACGUGUAUGUUACAAUAGAGUAUGCAUGAGCUCUCUUUGAACUAUGCAUGAAGCUUUAAGCCUUUUUGGGCUCAUGUUGGAUAUAGGAUUAGUGUUUGUCUUGUUAGAAUCUUGGAUGGGGAUAAAGUUGGAAGUUUUAUCCAUUGAGAACCUCAUUUGAAGGUUUCUAGAAAGUUAUGGUUUCUAUCUUAAAGGAUUAAACACUUAAUGGACUAAGUGUUUCUGCCCGGAAAGCGCAAUGCGGCCUAGGCAUGGUCACAGUGUGAAGGCUGGUUUGGCUUCAAUACUAUUUUAGACUUUGGUGGUCGUGACUCGACCUAAAGCUGGUUGCGGCGCGCCUAGCCGUUGACCAUUCAGUUUUUACCAUUUUGCCUUUUGGUUAAACUUUUAUGGAUAUGAGUAUUAGACUAAGGAUUGGCCUAUGUUUGGUAUUAGGCAGUUCGUGUUAGCGAUUUUGUUUCUAAAGAAUACUUUUGACAUUUUGGUUGCUAGAUUCAUGUGAGUUUUCUCAGUACCCUAUGUGUGACAUUAUAUGUCCUUUUGUGUGGUAGGAUGCAUAUGUGUAUGGAUAGUCUACUGAUAAAUGAUUACACUAGAAUAGUUUUUUGUUGUGGUAAUUGGAUGGUCAUAUGGGAAGAUAGUCGUGAGCCUUCAGGCCUAAUAGGAGGAUUUUUAGGAAUCUAAAGUUUAGUUGGGAUAAGGGCCCACUAAGGUGUUGAUUGUGAGUAAGCUGGGUGUCUAUACGUCAGCUAGGAUGUUGGUUGAGUGGCUACUGGCCCACUAAGGGUUUGACUGUGAGCUUAUUGUUGGUAUGCAUUGCAUGUAUGAUUGAACGUGUUGUAUGUCGGGAAACUCAAUAAGAUUUGUGCUUACAUUUUAAAUUUAAAUAUUUUUAGGUUGUUUUGGUAAGAAAGGAAGGGCGUAACACGACUUUACUCGCAUUGGUGUUUGACUAUGUUUUGAGACUUCCACUAAUUCUAUGACAUGCCUCUGAUUUGUUACUAUGUUGUUAUGAUAUUUCAACAAAUACAUUUUAUAUACUUUUUAAAAAGAUGGUUUUUGGUGGUCUAAUUCUUAUUUAUAUAACAAAAAUUUUAGUUGAAUAUUUGGGACGUUACAAGUUGUUAUCAAAGCUUUGGUUUGAGGUAUUUGGACGACAACGAGCGUGUAUAUGAAGUUAGACUAAGGUCCGCAAGAUUUUUCUAAAACUUCUUCAAAAAUAUUUUUUAUAAAAGAAGGAAAGAUGCAAUACAUACAUUCAUCUGGAACUUAAGAAGGAAAGUGGUUACCAAUAGGCCCAUAUUGUUUUGUAUGCUAUUUAUCCAGUUGACAGAUAUGCAUGCUAGAAUAUAGGCUAAGGAUAUGCUCUAAAAUGCAUGCUAGAUUGCCUGUUUGGGGAGGUGCCUUAAUUUCCUUAUAUGUUGGUUGUUAUUUUCCACUUGAAGUCUAUGUUAAUAUUGAUAUAUUGUUAAGUGAAUACUUUAGGGUUAUACUUAGUUAGAAUCAGAUAGGCUUAAAUUUCUUGAUUUGCGCUUAGUACAUGUUCCUUUUUUGGUUAUUGCCUUAGGGUAGGGUCAUUUCUUCAAAUUUCUAUCUCGUUCUUGACUACGUAUAACUGUGUAUUCAUAAGGCGACUCAUCGAUAGUAGCAAAAAAAUUGUUCGACAUGCGAGAGGUGGGGAUCCUAAUGAAUCUAGGAAGAUUAGUGGUAUGUACAUGUGUAGACAUAUAUGUGUACUGGCUGUAAGGGGCACUUGGAAACUUCGAUGCAAUUCUUGGAACAAGUACACAUAUGUGUGGAAAGUAAUACGGGCCUGUACUAUCGGGCUUGAAUACUUUAGGGUUAUACUUAGAUCAGAUAGGUUUAAAUUUCUUGAUUUGCGCUUAGUACAUGUUCCUUUUUUGGUUAUUGCCUUAGGGUAGGGUCAUUUCUUCAAAUUUCUAUCUCGUUCUUGACUACGUAUGACUGUGUAUUCAUAAGGCGACUCAUCGGUAGUAGCAAAAAAAAUUGUUCGGCAUGCGAGAGGUGGGGAUCCUAAUGAAUCUAGGAAGAUUAGUGGUAUGUACAUGUGUAGAAAUAUAUGUGUACUGGCUGUAAGGGGCACUUGGAAACUUCAAUGCAAUUCUUGGAACAAGUACACAUAUGUGUGGAAAGUAAUACGAGCCUGUACUAUCGGAAGCACAUGGUAUGUAUUGGAUCGAGAGGGGUCAUAAUGUUUAGAGGAGUUGGUAGAUAGGUAAUAGUAUAGGGAUAGUGUUAUGGUUAUGUUUGUGUUUACAUAAUGGUGGCUACUAGACAUGGAUAUGAUACUUCUGGAGCAGGUUUGAGUGAUGCAAACUCGUGUGAUUUGGUUGCUUCUGAGGUUUCUUGGGUCAUACUCGAGGAGUUACCAUAUAUGUUUUGUAGGAUAAAGGAUGAGUUGAUCACUAUAUAUGUUCAAUGAGCAUUAUGAGCCAGCGCAUGCAAUGGUAUCUGCUCUUAAAAUUUGGAGACAUUAUUUGCAUUGGUUAAGUAUAACUUCUACACAUAUAACAAGAGUUUGAAGUACCUUAUGAAUUAGCAAAAUUUGAAUAUGAGGUAACGGAAAUGGUUGGAUGUGGUGAAAGACUACAACUGUGAGGUACUUCAUCACCCGAGUAAAGCUAAUGUAUUUGCUGAUGCACUAAGUUGGAAAACGACUACUGUACCUCUCUAUGUAUUGUGUUUGAGGAUGAAAAUGGUAAAAUCUUUGUUAGAGAUGAUUGAAAGGGAAUAGACCGAGGCGGUCAAGGUUGAGAACCAGAAGAGAGAGAGUGGGUCAAGGUCCAAGUUUCUGCUUUGGUUAAAGAUAGUCGAGAUUUAUUGGCACAUUUUAUUUGGGUUUGGGUUAUGUUCAUUGGUGGGACUCAUCAUAUAUUGUUGGAAAAGGAACAUAAAUCUAAGUAUUUUGUCCAUCCUAGUGCGACCAAGAUGUAUAGAGACUUGGAAGAGGAUUACUAGUGGCCCUACAUGAAACAAGAUGUGACAUUCUAUGUUGAGAAAUUUUUAACUUUUUGGAUGGCCAAGGAUGAGCAUCAGAAUCUACAUGACAAGCUUCAACCAUUAAAGAUUCCACUGUGGAAGUGGGAGCAUAUUACUAUGGAUGUGAUCACUAUGUUAACAAAGACUACCAGGAAUAUGGAUGCUAUUUGGGUUGUUGAGGAUAUAUUGACCAAGCGUGCUCACUAUAUGAUGAUUUAGGAAAGUUUCUCAUUUGAGAAACUAGCUGAAAUUUAUGUCAAGGAGGUGAUUGUCCGUCAAGGUGUAUCAAUUUCAAUGAUUUCAAAUAGAGUCGUCAGGUUCAUUUCACAAUUUUGGAAGAGAUUUCAUGACGAUUUGGGUACCCAGUUACAUUUCAGCAUGACAUAUCAUUCUCAGAAGGAUGUCUAGAGUGAGAGGAUGAUACCAACAUUAGAGGAUAUCUUGUAGGCUUGUGCCAUUGACUUUGAUGGGAGUUGUGAUUCGUAUAUUCCAUUAGCAGAGUUCUCCUACAACAAUAAUUUCCAAUCGAGUAUUGGUAUGCCUCCAUUUGAGAUGUUGUAUGGGAGGACAUACAAGAACCUGGUAUGUUGGGGGAGACAGGUCAGAUAGUUAUGGGGAUCAGUGAUAUUAUGCUCAAGACUACCAUACUUAUUCAAAGAGUCUGUGAGAGACUGAAGACUACACAGAGCCGAUAGAAGAGUUAUGCUGAUAGGCGACGGUCUAAUUUGAAGUUUUCAGUUAGGGAUUAUAUUUUUCUUAAGGUGCCACCUUGGAAAGGGGUUACCCAGUUUCAGAAGCGGGGAAAGUUGGGCAUAAGGUAUAUUAGACGCUAUUGGGUCAUUAUACAUGUGGGGAAGGUGGCUUUUCGUUUGCAACUUCCGGAUGAGCUCAUUUAGACAACAUUUUUUAUGCUUCCUAGUUGAGGAAGUGUAUAUCAGACAAGACAACGGUGGUACCGUUGGAGGAUAUCCAUGUUGAUGAGAUAUUGAGUUAUAUGGAGAAGCCACUCACGGUAUUGGAAAGAAAUAUGAAGACCUUGCAAAACAAGGUGAUCAGGUUAGUGAAGGUGCAAUAGAGGCACAUGCAUAGUUCCGAGUGGACUUGGGAGCCCAAGAAAGAGAUUCACAGACACUAUCCAGAGUAGUUUGCGGAAGUGGAAUUCAGGGAAGAAAUACAAAUAAGUAGGGGAGAGUUGUAACAAUUGUUUCUUGGUAUGUAAUUUAUUUAUUUUAAUAGUUUAUGUACCGAUUGGUUCCGGUAUGAGUUUAUUCCUCCAAAUUGUUGAUUUUUCUUAUGGGACUUGGCGAGUUGAAAGCUUCAACUUGACGUGUUGAGCUGAAUUUGGCCGCAGGAAUUAAUUAACCAACAUGACGAUAUGAGGUGCCUCAACUCGGCAUGUUGGCGGAUAGGAAGGAAACCCUAAUUUUUAGGGUGUUGCACCCUAUUUAAAGGCCUUAAGUCCCUUGGCUGGCCUCCCUACCAGCUUUCUCUGUCCAGAAAACCCUAAAAGUGUGUAUCAUCAUCCUUGUGAGUGUGUGGGCUUGUGGAGGCCUUGAGUGUUGAUCUUUUUGUUCACUUUUGGAGAAGCUUUGAAGAUUGAAGGUGCAUAGCUUGGAGGGAAGACUUAGAUCAAGAAUCUCCCCACUUGUUGUAGUCUUUUGGAGGUAUCAAGUCUAUACCUUGCUUGUUAUUAUAUUAUAUCUCUUUGUUUUGGAGUUUUAUCUCUAUUUUGGGCUCAUGGUUGGAUUUUCCAAGAAGUUGAAUGUUCCAGGGCUUGUCAUGUUAGAUCUGCCCAUUUUAUGACCUUAUUUGGCUUAAAGUUGCAAGCUUUACUAGGCUCUUGGUCCCUUUCAUGAAAUAAGUUCCUUAUUUAGCCCUUCUUGAACCCUAGAGCUUCUUUUUAGCAAGAAUGGACGUAAAGUUGGAAACUUUACGUGAUUUUCCAGCCUUUGGAUGUUGGAUAUGCAUCUUGGGACUAUGUCAUUGAAGAUUGAGGACUUAAUGGGCCAAGCCUCACUCUAAUAAGUCUUGGGUUCGGGUUUGACUCAUUUUGGUGGUUCAUAAGGGUAAAGUUGGAAACUUUUCCCUUCCAGACAUCAUUUUGGUAGAGAUCUGUGAUUUGGAGCUCCUAGAUUCGAUGGAAACAACUUAAUGCAUUAAGCUCUUGGAUUUCGGGUUAACUCGGCGAGUUCAUUAGUAAACUCGACGAGUUGAUAAGAUUUUUCCCAAUCAUUGCAGAAAAUGGGGAAACACGACAAUUUAAAGAACAACUCGAUGUGUUGGGUCAACUUGGACCGUAGACUUUGACUUCUAACUUUAGGUUUUGACCAAGUUUAACCUAUAAGGGGUUUUGGGGCAUUUUGAGUGGUAUUUAAGGAAUUGUUUCUAUUUUAGGGCUUGUGUAGAGAUGAUAUUCAGAGUCAAGACCUAGUCAUCUAUCAUUCAACAUCCGAGGUGAGUAUUCUCACUACACUCAUGGGUUGAAGGCACCAAGGCAGGCCCAUUAUUUUAUAUGAGAUGCUAAGUAUUGGAGUAUGUAAUGGUUUGCUAUUUGAUCUAUGUAUGGACUUAUGUGAAGACCAUAGUGGGAUCCCAUGGCACUUGACAAGACCAUAGGGGGAGCCUAUGUCAUGGGGAUACAAUACCAUUGGGGUAGCCCAUUGCAUUCCAAUUGAAGACCAUAGAGGGAGUCCAUGGCAAACUUGUAUGUAUGUAUGCAUGACAUUAUGUGGUUAUGCGUUUUAUGUGUUUCGGGAAACUCACUAAGAGUAUGCUUACAAUUUUGUUGGAUGUUUCAGGUACUUCCAGCUCUAAGGGCAAGGGCCCAACUUGAUGGUGCGACAUGCAUCCUCCAGUAUUUCUGCAUUAGUUUUUGAUACUCUAAUUUUAAAAUGAUGUGGUUAUGUAAUGGGGUUUUGGAAAUAAUUGUGGUUGUAAUUUAUAGUUAAUUAAAUGAAAAUUUUUCUAUAAACAUUUGGUCUAUUACAGUUUAAUAUUAUGUGUUUUGGUUGACUUCGCUAUGCGACCAGGAGCUAGUUGCAACAUGUGCCAACUAUAUUAGUCAUGAAAGGACCUUAAGUGGGUCGUGAAGCAUGGCCACAACACAUCAAAACCCUAGUUCUCAGGUUUUGGACUCUAUUUAAAGGCUCUAAAUUCUAUGGUUUCCUCAUUUCACCAGCCUCUAUAACUUAUAGAACCCUAAAAGCAAACCCUAACUUCCUUUAAUCCCUUUAUGGCGUUAUAGUUCCUUGGGUGUGAAGUUUGAAGAAGGAGAAGGUGUCUUUAGUGCUAGAGAAGAAAUAUCCAUAGAUGUUUCAAAAUUAUCAUCAUCUUAUGGAUCUUUGUAAGUUACAAAGCUUCAACCUUUAUGAUUCCUAUUCAUAGAUAUAGUGUUUUGGAGUGUCUAUAUGUAUUUUGGUUUCAUUACUAAAUGUUCCUUGGAGUUUGGAAAACCCCAGGGUUAUAAAACUGUUUGAAGAUCAUUUAUAGUCACUAGGAGGUGAAAAGAGAGCAUGCAUGAUCUCUCUUUGAACCAUGUAAUAGUCAUUAACCCUUUUUGGGCUCCUUUUGGAUCCAGGGUUAGUGUUUGUCAAGUUUGAAGCUUGCUUAGGGAUAAAGUUAGAAACUUUAUCAAUUAAGAACCUCAUUUGAAGUUGUAUAGAAAGUUAUGGUUUAUGUUUUAAGGGAUUAAGAACUUAAUGCAAUAAGUAUUUGUACCCAGAAAGCAUGACGCGAAAAAGGCAUGGUCGCAACACAAAGGUUGGUCCGACUUUGUGACUAUUAUGGAUUUUAGUCGUUGCGACACGACCACGAACUGGUCGCAGUGCGCCCAUCCGUUGACAAUUGGCUCAUUGACCGAUUUGACUUUUGGUCAAACUUUGAUGGAUGCGAGUAUUAGACCGAGGAUUGGCCUCUAUUUGGUAUUAGGUGGCUCAUUCUAGCUGUUUUAUUUAUGGAAAGUACUUUUGAGAUUGUGGGUUCUAGAUUCAUGUGAGUUUCUCAAUAUACUAUGUGUGACCUUAUAUGUCCUUUGUUUCGUAGGAUGCCUCUGUUGAAAAGAGUGUCCAAAAUCAUUAAUUAUUGAUAAUAUUUCUAAUAAUACUAGGAUCCCUUUGAGCUUCCCUCAUGACCCACUUGAAAAAAAAAGAAUUUAGGAGGAAUUAGUUUAUUAUUUUUUCAUGGCUUGAUAAAUGAAUUAGAAAUUAUUUUAGAAUUAUUUGGGAAUUAAUUAAUUCAAAGGAUUGAAUGUUAGUUAAUUAAUGGUUAGUUAACUGGAAUAUUAUAGAAACCUUAAAGGGAUAGGGUAAAUUCCUUAAGAAUUAUCUACGAUUUGAGUUUUUUUGGGGAAAAGAAACUAAAGCCUAUAAAUAGGGUGUUAGGGGAUCACAACCUAAUUUCUCAUUCCCUUUGGAAAUUUUCGGCUCUCUCCCUCUUCUCUUUGAGGUGAUCGAUUUUCUUAACCCCUCUAGGGUUAGUAGAAGUUUUGUUCUAGCCUCUCUCAUAUUUUUUUUUUGCUCUAUGGUGUUCUUGGGUAUAAAAGAACAUAUGGAUUUUGGUUUGGGUCCUUUCAUCCAAGCAUGGUGGCAAGGAAAAGGUCUCAGGUAAAAAGAUCAUUAACAUCAAAAGAGGUAGGUACUUUCUGUCUCAUUCUUUUAGUAGUUGAAGUAAUUACAUGAAACUUUGAUGUUCUAGGUUGCAUGAACAAAUAGGAAUUAUAGUUAUCUUUUCGCUGCGCAUAAUAAUGUGUUUUAGAUGUAGUGUAACACUGUAAAUUUUCAAAUCAAAUUUUCAUUUUUAAAAUCACAUAAAUCCCUUUAUCACAUUUCUCAAAACCACAAUUGAUUAAACUAUCAAAACACAAAUCAACAAAUGUUUUAUAAUAUCCCAGAAUCCUCAAAACAUAAUCUUUAACUCGUGUGUACAAUCAAGCCGGCGCCUUCCCGCGAUCCUGAGAAGUACCUGAAACACAUAUCACACAACACGAUAAGCACGAAUCUUAGUGAGUUCCCCCAAAAUACUACAUACACAAAUAAUAAGCCACUCAUAGCUAUAGCUCAGUGUAGACCCUCUAGUCAUGUGUCUCAGUGAAGACCCUCUGAUCUCACAGCUCGGGUUGGACCCUCCAGUCUUGUAUCUUAGUGAAGACCCUUUGGUCCCACAACUCGGUUUGGACCCUCCGGUCCUAACUCAGUAAGCACAGAAUAAUAUAUAGCAUAAAUUACAAAGACAAAAAUGUAUAAUAUCACAUAACUCGGUAUAAGCACAUAGGACCCCCCAGUCCAUAACUCAAAUAAGACCCUCCGGUCACACAGUAUUACCACUCAGGUAAGUAUAGUGAGAAGAAUCACCUCGAAAGUAAGCAAGUAAGCCUCGUACCCCUCGAAUGGUCUAGACUCCGCCUACAUGUCAUAAUCAUCUCUAAUUAACACAUUAUAAUCUCAACUCUAAAAAGUUAGGAUAACCCCUUCUCUAACUCUUGGAAAGGGUGAAAGACCAUUUUACCGCUCCAUGGUCUCCAUAAUCCAUGUCUUGACCAAACCCUAAAAGUCAACGGAAGUAAAAACUCGAGUCAACAGUCUAUGUUGACCCAACUCGUCGAGUGUGUCUAUGCGACUCGUCGAGUUCCUUUGUUUUCUCUGAAGUGUCGGGAAAAUCCAACUCAACUCGUCAAGUUGUCCCACCAACUCGCCGAGUUGUAACACGUCCAGGAUAUCGGGGAAAACCCUAGCCAACUUGUCGAGUCGGCUCACCAACUCGUCAAGUCCCUUCAUUCCAUUUUCUCAUUCACACGAAUUUAAGCAGAACUAAGGCCUCAUACUCUAGAUCUAGCCUUCUAAGGCUGAAAUAUCACGUAAAGCUGCAAGCUUUAUGUCCAUGCAUGGCAUCUAAGGCUUAAAAUGCCAAAACAAGCUCUAUAGAGGGUUUAAUGCAUGGAAGCUUACCAAUAGCUUGAUAAAGCUCGGAUCUUUGGGCUCAUGGGACCUCAUAUUGUCCAGAUCUGGAGUCUCAACUCCUUGGCAAGCUCAAACAACUCAAGGACCAAAAGAUGGAUAAAAAAAGGCCCUAAACUCCUUAGAAAGAGAUCUAACAAAAGAAAUGAUCAAGGUGGUAGCUUUUUACCUCCAACAGAAGCUAGCACUGAAGAACACUGGAUCCAAAAGCCCCUUCUCGCUCCAAGCCUUGUUGCUCUUCAACAUGCUUCCAAAAGUGCACUAGAAUACCCAAAAUUAGCCUCUCUUUCUCUCAUACAAGGAUAUAGAUCGAUUAGGGUUUCUUUCAGAGAGAUACGGUGGUAAGGGAGGCGAAAAUGAAGGCUUAAGGUCCUUUAAAUAGGACACAAACCCUGAAAAUUAGGGUUUUCACACUCAGCUCCUACUCGUCGAGUUGGGGUCCUCCAACUUGUCGAGUGGACUCUAAAAAUCCUGUGGUCAUUAAACUCUCUACUCGGCGAGUUGGUGCCUCCAACUCGUCGAGUUGCUCUGACAACAUGAAUAAAAAUUAAUUAAAUAAUUUACCUGGGAUUUGGGAUGUUACAAUUCUCCCCUACUAGAAUCAGACUUCGCCCAUGAAGUCAUCCUCCGAAAACAACUCCGGGUACUGCUGCCGUAUCUCGCACUCUGGCUCCCAAGUCCACUUAGAUCUCUUCCGAUGCUGCCACUAAACCUGAACCAAGGGCACCUCUUUAUUCCUCAAGGCCUUCACAUUCCUAUCCAAGAUCGCUACCGACUUCUCAAUGUAGUUCAGGAGAUCAUGAACCUGAAUGUCCUCUAAAGGGACCACUGCCGUCUCAUCGGCUACACACUUCUUCAACUGGGACACGUGGAAGGUGUUAUGAAUCUGGCUCAACUCUGCAGGCAGUUCUAACCAAUAAGCUACAUUUCCUACUCGUGUGAUCACUCUAAAAGGACCGAUAUAUCUAUGACCCAACUUUCCCCCCUUCCUGAAUUGGAUCACCCCUUUCCAUGGGGAUACCUUCAGGAUCACAAAAACUCCGAACUGGAACUCUAGCUUGGAUCGUAGAUGGUCUGCGUAACUCUUCUGACGACUCUGAGCCGUCAGUAACCUCUGUCUGACCUGCUGGAUCUGCUCUGUCGUCUUGAGCACUAUCUCAGUGCUUCCUAUCACUCUUUGUCCUACCUCUCCCCAAUAGAUGGUAGCUUGGCACCUCCUCCCAUACAAAACCUUAAAAGGAGGCAUACCAAUACAAAAACAGUUACGCAUUUGGUUGUAAGUUAGACAUUUUAUUUAGUCUCCCACCUUAGAGUACUUACAAUUCACAAGAUAAACACGAAAAUUUGACAUAACAAGAUUACCCCCAACUAUUAGGUAGUACCUAUUCGUAAGCACUACAAGUUGAAUUUUGGGGAUGAAAUUCUUUCAAAGAGUGGAGAAUGUAACAAUUGCCAAAAUUGUCACUAAACGUCGAUUCCAAAACAUGACGAACAUCACAUAUAAAAAGAAAAAAUAGGUAAUAUUUGACAAUAUAUGACAUUUUCGUAUAAAAACAUAUAAGAAAAAAAUGUCAAAUCAUCCACAAACAAUAAAAAUAAGUGUGCAAAAAGUAGUGUUAUUUUAUAUUAACAAAAACAUAUUUUGAAAUUACACGUCUCCAUAAUUCUAAAAAUAUAAACUUCACAAAAAUCAGACUUCAUAUAGAGACAUUAUGAUUUUUCUAAAUUCUUAAUUUAAACCUAAAUACAAGAUCACGGGCAUAGAAAAUGCAAAAAAACGGAGUCCGAACGGGGACGUUAUGAUAUUUGUAAAAUCAUUUAGAGUACUCUCAUUAUAAAAAUAAUGGGCUAAAAUUAAUUCGGAAUUAGCCAAAACAAUCUAAAUGAAAGUUGUAGUACUUGUCGCUAGUUACACAUAGAUAUAUAGAACGUCGAAAAUGAAGCUCGUAUGCAAAAGUUAUGAAUUUUACAGAUGCAACGCGCAACACGAAUAGCCUUCGCAUCGCGUGGUCUGACACUCAGAUUCACGGCAAAUUUCACAGAUGUGCUCCCACAAGAAGCCGACACGUGUACUAUGGGAAUACAUGCAAACUAUUGCUUAUAUAAUUAUCACUCAUCUUAUUAUAAAUCAAUAUUUUAUAAGUAGUCGUUAUGCUACAUAAAUUUUGCAGAUAAUAUUAUGUCAAGUCGUUAUUGUGCCCAAAUAAUAUUAAUAGAUAGUUACUAUACAUUAUCAUUAAUCUGCCAAACUUUCAUAGAUAUCAUUGUAACUAGUUGUUACUCCACCUGACUUUUACGAAUAAGCAUUGUAACCGGUCGUUACUCUGCCCGUUUAUUCUUAGAGUAAAUAGAACUAUAUANNNNNNNNNNNNNNNNNNNNNNNNNNNNNNNNNNNNNNNNNNNNNNNNNNNNNNNNNNNNNNNNNNNNNNNNNNNNNNNNNNNNNNNNNNNNNNNNNNNNNNNNNNNNNNNNNNNNNNNNNNNNNNNNNNNNNNNNNNNNNNNNNNNNNNNNNNNNNNNNNNNNNNNNNNNNNNNNNNNNNNNNNNNNNNNNNNNNNNNNNNNNNNNNNNNNNNNNNNNNNNNNNNNNNNNNNNNNNNNNNNNNNNNNNNNNNNNNNNNNNNNNNNNNNNNNNNNNNNNNNNNNNNNNNNNNNNNNNNNNNNNNNNNNNNNNNNNNNNNNNNNNNNNNNNNNNNNNNNNNNNNNNNNNNNNNNNNNNNNNNNNNNNNNNNNNNNNNNNNNNNNNNNNNNNNNNNNNNNNNNNNNNNNNNNNNNNNNNNNNNNNNNNNNNNNNNNNNNNNNNNNNNNNNNNNNNNNNNNNNNNNNNNNNNNNNNNNNNNNNNNNNNNNNNNNNNNUUUGUAUAUUAGGCAGUUAUUAUAUAUAUAUAUAUAUAUAUAUAUAUAUAUAUAUAUAUAAAAAAACACUAGAAUCAUGUUUAUACUUUAAUGGGUAAACAAAAUAGAUGGUAAAUGAGACAAUAAUUCAUCACUUUAGCUAAUUAGUUUUAGCUAAAACCCCCAACUUGUAAUCGUUAAUCUUAAGUGGGCGGGAGAGUUAUGUAUAUAUUUAUACGGGAUAGACACUCCCACCUGCGGUUACUAGCUUCAACCACGACGGUCAAGUCGAAAGCGGGGAUAACUGUCUAAGAUUUUACAACAUCCGAUGAAGCGUCGUGUAGGGAUAUAAUAUUACGUCAAAUAGCUUGAAAAUGGGAACUCAUUAUGACAUUGUCCAAAAGCGUUAUAGGAAGUAAUAAUCAUAAAUUCCCUAAUGAUGGAACACUUAAUAACGAUAAUAAUAUACAUAUAUGCGAUAUUUAUACUACCGGUGACAACCAAAGAACGAAAGGGUAAAAUCAACUUCUGAGUUAAAAGCAUAUACUAAUCAUAUAGGUAGCCAUAAAUACCAAUAUACAUUUUAAAACACAAUUGUCAGUACUAAGUACCCUUUUAUAAAAGAUACCCUUGGUUAAAAGUGUGUCAACAUUGAAGUUAAAAAUACUUAAAAUUACUAAAUUAGUUAGUAUAAAUAGUAUUUUCAAAACAUAAUAUGUCAAACCUGUGAGCUCACCAACAUUAUGUUGAUGUUUUUUAAAACCGCAUGUAUUCUUAGGAAACCAAGAGAUUAAAGUUUGCACUCCCUGAAGCAACUAGUGAAUAAUGGGACUACUAGAAGUUGUUAUCCGUAUCAUAUGUUGUUAUGCCUAACUUUUAAGGCUCUAAUUGUUUAUAAAUUCUAGUACUUCAAAAGAUUUUUCAAUGUAAUAAUUAAUUCAUAAUGGAAGUGAUAUUUAUAUAUGUUAUACAUUGUUUUGUAUUGUUCAAUGCAUGUUCGAUACCUAUAAUCCAACGUCGAACGUCGCACAACCCGGCAUAUUUGCAGCCGUCUGGGGGUGUGACAAAUUUGAAUGUCACUGCAAAGCUCCUACAAUACCAUAGGGAUUCUACGAAUCACCACCUUAAAAAUACCUAGGUUUAUCGUUCACACAAGUUUUUGUUUGUUUGAAAGCUUUGAGCUCCGAUGGUCGAUAAUAGCCUAAUACGACUGAACCAAUGGCGGUAACAUUUUUUAUGAAGUUGAUUUGUAGGUCCCAAAAAACUAGAGAAAUAUAGACAUAGAGAGACGCAUGAGUCUUUGGUGUCAAUUUAUUGAUGGCAUAUCCCAAACACCUCUUAUCUUCAUAGAAUUUUGGUAUCGGAUCUGCUAAUUGAUUGAGAAAACAAGGGGUGGGUCUCGAUUUAUCUCUCUUCUUUGCUACCAAAUUACAAACAAGGAGACCCCCAAAAACCUAGUUCUUUCGUAUUUUUACAAAAACCUAGUUCUUUCGUAUUUUUACAAAAACCUAGUUCUUUCGUAUUUUUACAAAAGCCUUGUUUAUCACAUUUGAAGAUACUCCCUUUUGGAUUUGUAUAAGCUGAACAAAAAACAAGAUAAAGGUUGUGUUCUUAAUUUUGAGACAAAAACCAUGGGAAUUUCUUAAUCUUGAGACCAAAAACCACCGAAAUUUUUUGAUUUUGGACCUUCUGUGUAAUUCGAAAUUUUUUUGGACCCUAUGUACAGUUUUUUUUGCAAACCACAAUGACCAAAUUUGAAGUUUUCUUAAAAAAAAACAUAGUUUAUUUUCUGGCAUAUAUUAUCUCUUGUGGUAACGGUUUCAAUGUGGAGCUUUGUUCAUAGCAACUACUCUCAAUCCCUUUACAAUUUCAAAAGCAGGUUUGCUUCAGCAGUUUCAUCUCAGGCCCACAUGAACCCCACAAAGAUAGAGGCAAGACAAACCACAUGCAGUUUUAUAACAUUAUCAAAGUUGUUCAUUAUUAUACAAAAUAAUAUCUUCAGAUAUUUACAAGAAGAAAUACCUUGUUUUGCAUAAGAUAAUAACCAAAAGUAUAAACAACGGUUCAAAAACAAUCAGUUUCUUUUACUCUUAACUAAAUCCGGAGAUCAUAAGUAGGUUAUUAAUUCACAUUCGGGCAGAUAAUUACAAUCAUCUUGAGACUUCUGUUUAUGAAUGCAUGGCUGUAUAUAUGUCAUCUAAAACCUUUAAACAUGAUGAUAACCAAUCAAACUGUACAUUAACAUGUGCACUUAAUAUUAUAUAGUGUCCACUUUAUUUUUUGACGUGGACUACUUCAUCUUUUAUCAUGUACUUCAUAUAUAUAUAAUGUAAUGUAUACUCAACUAAAGUGCAUUCUAUGCUAUAUAAUGUGCAUAUUUUAGAUAUUUAACGUAUUCUGUGGUUAAUGUAUAUAUGAUAAUAUGAACAUAGCACAUAUCGUGGCUAUGAAGGCUGGUAUAAGAGAUUGGUUUUUGUGAGUAGAGUGAGUGGUCCACUUACGGACAAUAAAUAUACACAUUAUUCACAACCAAUUAAAGCUUUAUGACCCCUCCAUUUAAGUGCGUAUAGUGACCAUUGAGGGAGUGGUACCAUCAAUAUACAUUAAUUGUUCUUUUUGUUUUAAUGCCAGUUUUUCCAAAAAGAAAAUCCAGACAAUAUAUUUAGGUGUAAAGUAAAAUGUUGUUUCUUUACUAUUAAUGAAAAUCCAGUAUUUACAUCGAAGUAAAAAACAAAUAAGCUAUGAUAUUCGAAAGCCGAACAUUAUUUUCAAACGAGUUAUAUAAAAACAGAUAUUAAGUGAUCAUAAAUUAUAUUUUUCUUAUAAAUUCGAACGUACAUAAAAACGAUUAUUUAAAUUAUUUGAAAAGUUUUGCAAUAUACUAAAAGAGAAAUUUAGUAGUUAAUAUAUUCAACCAAUGAAUAAAUUUAUGUUUGAACAACCAACACCACUAUUUAAUAUUGUUUAAGAUUAUAUAUAUANNNNNNNNNNNNNNNNNNNNNNNNNNNNNNNNNNNNNNNNNNNNNNNNNNNNNNNNNNNNAGGUUCAAAUGUUUUUGACAACUAUUGUGUGCAUAAAUGCACCAAUAGGAAUUCAAGAAAAAAUAAAUACUUAAAUAAUCAAGAUAAGGCUAGAUAUGUAAUUUUGCAUAUAAAGUAAAUAAUAACCAAAAUUAAAUCCCUUGAUUUAUGGAUCAAAUCUCUUAAAUGAGACCACCGAUUGCCCCUUUUCUUUAAAAUAAUCGUCUACAACCUACAGAUCGCUACCAACUUCUCCUCUGUCGCCGUCUCUGUAUAUAAGGAACGAUCGAAUGAGAGCAAUCAAAAAUCAAGGAUACUAGUGAGGGUCAAACAGAUCCGCAAGGAGGGCUGAGAAAGGGACUUCGAUCCUCAUCAUCGACUUCAUUAGAUCGAGAAGGCAUCAGGCGAUUGAGGGAAGUCAAAUGGUGGUCCAGUGGUUCAGAAAUCGUGAUGGGAGGGAGGUGGAUAGGACGGCUGCAAAUUGAGGACGGACUGUUGAUCCUCGGCCAUCCAUCGUGGCUUCCCAUCUCGUUGUCAGCGAAAUAAGUUGGAAGAGAGAAGUAAGGCAGAUCAGUAGCUAGUAUGGGUGUUUGGCUUUGAACCUUUUGGUAUGCAUUCUCGUGGGCCAGUCUUUUGGGGCUUGCCUUGCACUUUCUGUUGCUGCACGCAAUCCUAAGAUUGAUAUUCUCUUAGUUUUGGCCAACUCAGGUGUGUGUGUGUGUGUGUUUCAACUGAUCAAAAUUUUCUUCUUUCCACCAUUACCAUAUGCGGUUAACAGUGGGUCACAGUUUAGUCCAUUGAUACCCUUGUUAGAAGCCAUGCCAAAGGAACUUGGUGCCAGCCUGCAUGAUAUGCUUAAUCUGAUCACAAGUAAUUUCUUGAAAGCUAUAUAUGUUUUUUUAGGGUCAUAAAAAGAUAAAGAUUGUGUAAAAAAUUAGUUAUUUUUCUUUUACCUACAAGCAUGGCUACACAACAAAGAGAUACAAGGCUCUCUGAGGCUCUUGUAGCAAUGUUCUCCGACCUUCCUAUAAGCUUUAAAUAAAACUUAACAGAUUUUGGCCGGUCUUCCUCUUAUUAUAUAUAUUGGAUAUAAUUAUUAACUUUAAGUGUUAGUUUUUUUAGAUAAUGAUAAUAGCUCUUUUUGUGCUAUAUUCAUGUGUAAUUGUGUUUGUGAAACAAAAAACAAGAAAUUUGAGAUGAACAAGAAUUGUGUUUACUAUGAUGAAAUACGUACAAGCCAAAAUUGGAAUGUAAAAACAGUCUGUACAUCUAUAAUAACAAAUGGGUCAAAACUAUGUUUUUGGCUAUUGCCUUAUUUCCAUAAAUCAAAUAUGUUGCUGGAAAUUAUGUUUAUAAGAAAACUAUUGCAAGUAAAUCAAAUAUGGUUUUUCGCUUGUUUAAUGAUAAUGCCUAACAAGUAUUUGUUGAAAUGCCUGAAAGAGAAUUUAAAUAAUUUAACCUUGUGGUAUGCAUUCUGUAAGAAUGACUAGCAACACAUGUUUUAUGUAAUUGUUUAAAAAGAUAAUUAAUUUGUCUGUGUAUUAUUUUGGUUCAAUUUGUGAUUUUUAGUUCCAAUUUCUAUUGUCCCUCGUUAUUAUAUAUUUGAAAUCUAAAAUUAUAUUAGCAGUAAAUACAAUACUUUUGAAUGUAUUCUAUGUAUUCUAUCAGAAUGUAUCUACCAGAAUAAAAUCGAUGUAUUUUGCCAGAAUGUAUUAUAUGUAUUCUGUCAUAUUUUAUGUAUUCUACCAGAAUAUAUUAAGUGAUAGUUAAUUGCAAGGAACAUGUUUUUAACAAUUAUUGGUUUUUGUUGUAUUUGUGAUAGGAAUGGAUGGAAGAAGGCGUUGAAGACCUAAUAGGAAUAACUUGAAGAAUAAAUAAAGUUUGAUCAUACUCACAAUUUAAGAAUAUUGUUAUUUUUUAAGAUUUUUAAUCUUUUUUGUUGAUAUUCUUUUAGAAUAUGUAUAAUUAUAUUAAAAUGUAUAAGGAUUUUAGUCUGUAAGAAUAUGUAUGAAUUUGUUUUUAAGUUCGGAUGUAUAAGAAUAUAUUAGAAUGUUGUUAUUUUUCAACAUCUGAUUCAAGAAUUUUGUUUUUCUUCAAUAAAUAUUUUAUUAGAAUAAAAUUCUGAAAAAACAUCAUUCUAACAGAAAUAUAUUUACUAGUUUAUGGUUAAAAUUCUAUCAUUCUGAUAGAAUAAAAUCAGAAUUUUAAUUUUAAAUUAAUUUAAAAUAUUCAGAUUUUUAAAAAUAAAGGAAUUAAUUAUCCCUAAAAAUCCGAAAAUUUCCUUUUUUAAUAUAGGCUAAUUGACUAAAAUGCCCUUAUGCUUAAAUUUGUGUGAUUAUAUGGUACAUGUUAUCCUAUUUUACUUAGGGCUGAACAUGGUACGAUACCAAUUGAUUUUUACUCAAACCAUGUACCAUACCAACUAUAGUUGGUAUAAUUUUUUUGCUACUAGUACCGUACCAACUAUACUUGGUAACAUCUUGUUUUGCUACCAACAAGUUUGGUUGGUACAAAUUGGUAAUGGUAUAUUACCAACUUUGAUCUAAUUUUCAAUUGUAAUACUUAAAGACCAGUCAUGAUAUGAGACACUUUUCUCGUCUAGUAAUAUAAAUUAGUAAACUAACUAUUCUAGUUGCUAAAAAAUUUUAAUAAGCAACUUUUCAGUUUUUUUAAUCUAAUGUGGUAAUAACUAUUGACUAAGUCUAAUGUCUAAUAUCAUAUUUUUAAAAUCAUAAACAGUAAACACUUGACAUUUAAAAAUACGAUUUCGACUAGAUAUAUAUACAUAUAUAUGAAUUGGUUGGUACGGUAAUACCCUGGUAUAUAAAAUUUAAUACCAGUACCAUACCAAGUUUACUGAAUUGGUACGGUACUACCAGCCAAACAUGUUGGCUACCAAAUAUAUUAGUAACCAACUUUCUUGGUUCGAUUGGUAACAUGUUGGUUGGUUCUCCAUGGUACAUAUUUGAUAGCCCUAAUUUUACUAUCAUAGACCCUCAGGUCAUGACUUUUGAUUAUAUUUCAUCCNNNNNNNNNNNNNNNNNNNNNNNNNNNNNNNNNNNNNNNNNNNNNNNNNNNNNNNNNNNNNNNNNNNNNNNNNNNNNNNNNNNNNNNNNNNNNNNNNNNNNNNNNNNNNNNNNNNNNNNNNNNNNNNNNNNNNNNNNNNNNNNNNNNNNNNNNNNNNNNNNNNNNNNNNNNNNNNNNNNNNNNNNNNNNNNNNNNNNNNNNNNNNNNNNNNNNNNNNNNNNNNNNNNNNNNNNNNNNNNNNNNNNNNNNNNNNNNNNNNNNNNNNNNNNNNNNNNNNNNNNNNNNNNNNNNNNNNNNNNNNNNNNNNNNNNNNNNNNNNNNNNNNNNNNNNNNNNNNUAUAUAUAUAUAUAUAUAUAUAUAUUUAGAGAGAAAAAAAAUAUUUAAUCAAAAACACCAUAAACUAUUGAAAAAUCGAGAAAAGAACUCAAGUGUUAAAUGAUAUUGAUAUAUAAUAUGAAAACACAAUUAUUACAAAGAGAGAUGAAACUAGACUUUUUUCAGAAACACCAAAUUUUCCAACGGCGUGAUCAAGAACAAUAACGGACAAACCAAAAUUCAUGGUCUUCUAAUAUAUUGUACCUGACAGAUAAAGGUGAACUGUAGCGACCCGGAUUUUCUAACGUCAAACCUAAAGCAUUAUCAUAGUUAUUUCUAAAAAUUUGCAUAAUUCUAUUAACUGAUAAAAAUAAAAACAUUUUAUAUCUUAGACAACAAUCACGGAUUCACAAUAAAUUAUCAACAUAAAAGAACAAUAAGGAAAUACAACUAAGAUAACAACCUUGUCUAAGUCCUUGUACUCAUGUCUUCCGUUCUAGAACCACGGUUGAUGUAACAUGAACCUACAAAACAUGAAAUAUAUCUACAACAUAAAACAAAAAUAUCCGGUGAGUUCUAUUCUUUCUAUGUUCAUGUUCAUCUACUCAUUCCAUCUUUCAUAUUCUAUCCUUUCUUGAUCUCGUUUAUCUCAUGCUCUAAAUUUUAAACGCUUAUUCUCAUGGCAUAGACUGCCAAUCUUUCUUAUCAUCACAUUUAUCUCUUUUCUUUUAUAUCUUAUGAUACCUUAGCAUUCUACUCUCUCAUUCUCACACUCUACACUCUACUUUUCUUCUCCAAUAGCACAUACUGCUAUUCUUCCCACUCAUCUAUCUCUUUUAUCUUUUUUGCCUCUUAACAAUUUGAUCUCAUGCUCUCCACAUAUUGUAUCGUUGCUUAACCUCUGUCUCUUCUAUUCUCUACUCUUAAUCUUCCCAUCUCCCUCCAUACUCUAUCUCAUCUCCUCUUUCCUCUACUCUUUUCUAUAAUAUAUGUAUACUCUUCUCUUGCUCUUAUUGCUUAAUCUUAUACUUCUCUUCUUGAUCGCUCACGAAUCCUUUGUCCUUCUCUUUCUGUCUUGAAUCCCUUCACGGAUUCCUUACUCUUUAUCCCUCACAAAUUAUCUCUAACUUCUUGAAAGAACGCCAUUACCUUAUUCCACUUGUGGAACCUUUUAUCUAUCUUUUCUAAACAUACACAAUCUUUAAUUCCCGUAGGAAUCAUCUAUCUACAUCCCUAAAUGGAUCAUAUGUCUAUGUUCCCUAAUGAACCAUUAUCACAUUCCUAUAGGAAUCAUUCUCUAUAUUCUCAAAGGAAACUUUACUUUUUAUUCCCGAAGGAAUCCCUAUCACUUGUCCCCAAAGGAACAUCUAUCUCCUACCCUCGAAAGAUCCAUCUUUCUUUACAUCGCUCUAUUUAUUAUACGACUCAUCACAUAACAUAUGUCCCAUGGAAAUUAUAUAUCUUUCUGUCUUUAAGAGAUCUUCUAAUAAACGUUUAGGACUUAACUCAUUAAGUGCAUAUUCUUCAUCUAUGUUUAUUAACAUAAAGGUAUUCUACACAAUACCAUCCAUGUCUAGACAUAGCUACACACAUAUUUGAUUAUACUACGUAUAAACAUUCUCUAUCUCUAUCUGAAUCUCUUAGGUUUCUACAAAUAAUACUUCUCAUCAUCUAGUCAUACAUAGGAUUAUAAUACAUAAAAUCACAUUCUUUCUUUAUCUACAGUAAAGGGUAAUCCUCAUAACACUUUUGUUCUUUCUCUAUAUAUCUUUACAUAGCUUGGCUACACACACAUCCUCAGAUACAUGAUCUUAAGUGUAUGACCACAAGUACAUAAUCUUANUAUAUAUAUAUAUAACAAAAAAAAAAAAGAGUGAGAGUUAUAACUCACCAUAUUAGUUAGUGAUGACUAAUACCCUUCUUGGUUCCUUUCUUCUGUUGAUCUAUCUUAGUUUAUACUCUUGAUCAAGGCCUAUUCACACAACAUAUAAAGUUCCUUAAAACUUGUCUUAGCUUAUUAAGAUCUUAUCUACUUCUAAAUGUCAAAAUGAUCACUUAAUAGAUCAUAAUUCUAACAUUUCAGUCUCUACUUCUAAAUUCAGUACAAUCAAUGAACUAAGCAUCUCAUACUACUUAAUUCAUCAUAAUUUAACAUCUAAUGCAUCGAUUAAAAUAAUUGAUUGUUUGGGGCUUCAAACCCUAACUUCACACAUACAAAUUUCACCAUUGAAAUCACACAUAAAUGUAACAUCUGAAUCUAAAGGUACAUUUUAUUUUAUUAAAGUUUGGCUUUUGACAGUCGCCGCAACACGGGGAAGGAUCGCCACGGCAUGGCGAGGCAUUUUUGGUCGCGAGUUCUUUAGAUUUGCAACGGUAUGGUAGGCAUAGGCCACGACGUGUCCGCUUUUGGUGACUUAAACACUAAUUUUCCAGAUUUUGAAGCCUAUUUAAAGGAAUGAGGAAGCUAGUGUUUGUUCAUCCUCAGCCCCCACGACCCUCCUUAGCUCUGAAGAAACCCUAAUUCCUUUUCAUCCAUUAUUGAAGCUUACUUUGGUGUUUUUGGGGGAUUUUGAAGGAAAGAGAAAGAAGGAGUAUGCCAAGGAUCAACAAGCAAGUCCCUAUUUCUCUUCUUAUCACGUUUCUGGACCUUUGUAACUGUCCAAGAAUGCAACUUUAUGUUGCUUGGUUGCUAAAUAUUGAGUGUUUUCCCAUUCUCUUCUUUUUCUUGUUAGUUGGGAUGGUGAGAUCCGAUAAAGGUUGCAACCUUAUGAAUCUAUGGGUUAUUUGGAGUAAUUAAUGGUUUGGAUAUGAAGUAUGGUUGAUUGAUUGAACCAUGCAUGGGAUUUUGGUCAUAAUCCUCAUUUUUUUCCUAAUAUGAGCUCAGACAAUGCAUUAGACCUUCAUGUCUGUAAAGCACCAACUUUUAGGUUAUUUUUUCUGUUGGAAACUCUUUUGGAGUUGAUGGAAUUAGAAUUUUCGAGAUUAAGUGCUUAAUGAUUAUGGCCAUGUCAUGUUUUGCCUUUAUUGGACCUAAGGUUUAAGAUCUUGAUCUAUUUAAGAGUCAUAAGGGAUAAAGUUGGAAACUUUAUCCAUCUAGACCAUAUAACCGACCAGAUCUAAGCAUUGGAGCUCUUGGAAUCGAAGGAAACGGUUAAUCCAUUAAAGUGUUUUGAACCUAGUGCCCACGAUGUGGCCCUAGGUUGCCACGAUGUGGCGACUGGGUACUUAGCGUCUGUAGUGUCAUUUGUGGGUUGUUAUGUGGUCAAGUAUAUCCACAAUGUGGCAAGUAAGUUAAACUUAACUUGGACUGUUGACUUUUGGUUUAAGAUUACUUUUGGUCAAACUCCUAGUUUUGGUAGGAGAGUUAAGAGUUUAGCUUGUAUGGCUAUCUAGGUGGUGUAUAGCAUUUGAAUUCUCAACAGCGAGAGUGGUAGUAGUUGAUUAUCAUCUGAGAGGUGAGUCUUCUCAUUGUACUUGUGGGUUGAAGGGACCAAUGUUGGCCCAUAUAAUUGUCUUAUGUAGAAUGCUAGUUGUCUUUGUGACUCUGGCAAGAAUGAUUGGGUUGAAAUAAUACCCUAGGGAUGGGCCCAUUAUGGUAUGUGUGGGUUGAAAUAUACCCCAGGGUUGGGCCUAUUAUUAUAUGCUUGGGUUGAAAUAUACCCUAGGGAUGGGCCCAGGACUAAAAUGUUGGUUGGUAUAUACCCUAGGGUUGGGCGCAUUGAUUAGUAUGGUGUGUGGUAUUUUGGGAAACUCACUAAGCUCUGUGCUUAAGGUUUUGUAGUUUAAUAUUUUUAGGUACUACCAGUUUGAAAAGGAAGGGCAUGGCAUGAUCACACAACAUCCCUCUCGUGAUUCCACAUUUAUGACUAUUUUACUCUGAUGAUUUUGAUACAAUGUAUUGAGAUUAAUUUUGAGACACCUGAUUUAUGAAUUGAUGAUUGUUAAAAUAAACAAUUUAUCACUAUUUUUGGAAUGUUACAAGUUGGUAUCAAAACCUAGGUUUGAGGGAUUCAGGAACAUUCUCAAGUGUGUCAGAACUCAAAAUGAGGAAUUGAUAAUGUUUUCAAAAGAAAAAUGAGUUUCUAAAAAGGUUUUACUAAGAAAAUGGAGAUGAUGCGUGCAAUCAUCCGAGCUUAAGUAAGGCGCUGUUUGUUUGGGUCUUAAUGCCUCUUAAAAAGAGACACGUCUGAAUUUAUAACAUUCAUAUCGUUUGGUUGCAACUUAAUUUAUCAUCUAAACUGCAAAAAGAGAUCUGAGCGAAUCAGAAGUAAACCUAAGUCUGAAUUUUUUUUGUUUGACACACUUCCUAAUAUGCCCCGACCUAAACAUGCUUUCCCUCUUCUCCUCCGCAUCACUUGCUUCAUCCGCCUUCUCAAGUUCUCCAUAUUGUUCACAUCUUCGACCAUGUCCCUCCAGGUCACCGCCGUCGCCAACCCUUGAGCCAGCUCCACCUAGUUCCCCCGUCAAUCCUUACACCCUUCUCCGAUAAAUAUGUCGCCGCCAGUUUCGCUGCCUCCGCCAGCGACUCUGAUCUGGGAUUGCAGGUAACCUUUACUUUUCUUUUUCUCAUGAAAAUCGAUUUUUAUACAUUGAUUUGUUCUUUUUUUUUUCCCUGAAUUCGAUUAUCGGCUGGCCAUGAUUCAUAUGGUCUGACCACUUUAUCAGUAUACCUGGUUUGAUUUUGGGGAUAAUUAUUAUUUUAUUUCCUAAAUUGGAGUACAUUCUCUCUGAUCUGGGAUUGCAGGUAACCUUUACUUUUCUUUUUCUCAUGAAAAUCGAUUUUUAUACAUUGAUUUGUUCUUUUUUUUUUCCCUGAAUUCGAUUAUCGGCUGGCCAUGAUUCAUAUGGUCUGACCACUUUAUCAGUAUACCUGGUUUGAUUUUGGGGAUAAUUAUUAUUUUAUUUCCUAAAUUGGAGUACAUUCUGUUCAAAAUCUAUGUUGGAUGAAAUUUUUUUAACGGAAGGCCUAUAUGUGAAGCAUUUGCACAAAUAUAACAACAACCCAACAUCUAUGAUGUUCAUGUCAAGUAGUUUGAUGAGGUUUGUAUUGAUAAACACAAAUUAGGAAGGUGAUAAAGUUUUCUUUUAAUGGUGUUUUGUUAACACUUGAUACUUCUUUUAUAUAGGAUCCAUUAAGGUUAGAUGUUGUUAAAAGCUUUUCAUAUCAUGGCUUUCAUCUUCGUUUGGAACCAUGGUCUCAGGUUGUUGCGACCCCUUACCCCAUGUGUGUUGUGUGGUAUGUUUUGUAAUGCAUUUUAUGUUAAAAAUUUGAUUUUGUAUGACAUAAAAGCAGUUUUUUAUACAUAGAGUGUUAAUAAAUGAUAUAUUUUUUUAUUGGGUAUUUAGGUGAAAUGGAUGAAGAUUUUGCAAGCUUAUUUUUCGGAAGUUGUCAAAGUUGGUUGUCAUUUAUGUCUCAAACAUUUGGAUAUAUAUAUAUAUAUAUNAAGCUCAAAUUAAAGUAUACCCCAUCUUAAAAGAUCAAAGCUCAAAAGUCGGUGGGAAAAUUUUUAACCUUCAAUGUCAAGUAUGUUAUAUUUUAACUUUGAAAUCCUUGGGACAUAAAGAAAAUGAUUGUUAUUUUUGUAAAUUUAUCUCAAAAGAUCAUUACAAAUUAUUGAAUAUAAAUUUGAUUUAUGUUAAUUUGGAUUUUAUAUAGUGUUUACAUUUCUUUUAUUAUUAUUCAACAAAAAAUAAUAUAAAAGGGUAAAAUGGUCAUUUUCAUAAUUCAUCACAAUAAUUCAGAUGUUCCAACGAAACAAUAUUUGAUAAUUCAUAUCUUAAAAAAUCAGACCCUCUUAGAAAUGUAGACCUCUUAAAAAUUCAGAUCUUAAAUAUUCAUAUUUUGCCAAAAAGCCCCUAAGUAAUUCCCAAAAUACUCAUACCAAUGUAUUAUGACUAGUAUCCAUGUUAUGUGAGUUUCAUGCUAGAGUAUGGCUAAGGAUACCUUCAAGAGUCGUAUGCUAGAAUUGCAUGAUUUUUGUGAUGCCUUAUAAGCUAUAGGGAUUGGAUGUUAUGUAUUGUUUGGGAGUUAUAUCGGCUCAGUUAAUUGCUAAGUGUAUGCUUUAAAAAUUGUAUACGACUAGGAUCAUAUAGCCCUAGAAUGAUUGGUUUAGCCUUAUUUCCUAUUCCUUGUUUGGUUGUGGGCUUAGGGUAGAAUCAUUGAUUCGAUAGUCAAUUUGGUCCCAUUUUAUGUAUAAUUUGCAUGCAUAAGGAAACCAACAGUGUUGGUUGCGGUUCAUAGUUUUCUAGGGCGGUGAGUAGAGGAUUCCUAGGAGAGCGUAGGGAGUGCCCAAGUAGGAUUUGUAUGUUGCUUAGCAUAGGGAUUGUGUGUUUAUGUGUUUAGUAGGGUGACUUACAGGAUUCGUGAUGGUUCUUGAGGAAAUUCCAGAUAGGUAUGGAUGGUAGUAUUGGGCCCGUACUACUGAAAACAAAGGAUCUAUACUCGACUCAAGGAUGGUCUUGGAAGUUCUAAGGAUCCUGUAGAGUGGGAGUUCCCUUGAGUUUAUCACAUCAGAUAUUACUCGAGGAGCAGCUUUUGGUUCUAGUUCUGGCUCUGGUGCAGAGCCGAUUGAUGAGCAGCUUUGCGAGUUUAUCACAUCAGAGAUUACUCGUGGUAUUAUAGAGGCAACCCUUGUGUUUUUCGGUACCAUAAAGGAGGGGAUUAUGGAGAUUUUGGAUGAGUGUCUUGGAGCCUUUUGGGUGGAGAUCGUGCCAGGAAAGUUAGGAGCGCGGAAUCCAUCUUUCAAGGAGUUGAAGGCCUGUGGAGCUCCAGAGUUCAUUGGGGCUAAGGACCUCAUUGCUAGCCGUCGAUGGAUUGUUGACAUGGAGAAUUCUCAACGUACGAGCUUCUACCCUGAGAGGGCGAAGGUGGGGUUUGCAUCCUGCCUUUUGAGAGAUAGAUCCUGUUACUAAUGCGAGGAGGUCAAUCGUGCAUUUGGAUCUACGACUAUGGUGGCCAUUACUUAGAAAGAUUUUAUGACUAGAUACUAGGAGGAAUUUGAACCGACUAUUGAGGUGCAGUAGAUGGAGAGGGAUUUCUAGGACCUUCGCCAGACUAUUGAGAUUGUGGUGGGGAUCACUGCUAAAUUCUGAGAGAGGUGUUUGUUGGUUCUAUAAUAUGUUGCAGAUAAAGAAAUGAAGAAGACGAGAUAUCAUGAUAUGUUGAUAGAUGAUAUAAGAGUGUUCAUGAGCUUUUCAGGGUGCAAGACCCUAAAUGAGAUGAUUACUAGAGCCCGAGAAUGAGAAAUUGAGUUGGAGCUUCGAGCGAAGUGUGACAACUCGAAACUUAUCCCGUUUCCGUUACGCGAUUCUGUUAAUAAAAAUUCAAAAUUUGUUAACUUUUCUGUCAAACUCUUUGGUUUAUUAAAAUAAUCUAGUUAUAUUUAAUUUAAAUAUUUAUGAUUCGGAAUCAAAAAUCAAACAUUUUUGGUCUAAAUGGGAUUACGAUCGUAAAUGUGUUUACGGCCGUAAACUAGUUUACGACCGUAAACCCUGUUUACGGUCAGUGACGAGUGGACCCCAUUUGUCACCUUAUAAAUACGAUACCCCCACUCUCCUUAGAACAUUUUCUUCCCACAUUCUCUCCUCUUCUCUCUCUAAGUUCUUCAACCGUAAACUCACAAACACGCUUUUAGACUUCAGGAAACGUCGGAGAACACCUUUUGGAGCACUUUGGAGCGUCUGGAAUCACUUCUCGCAUCGAAAUCUGCAUUCAAAACCUCGUUUUUCGAGUUUACGGUCCGAGCUUCAAAGAUCGUAAACUCAGUUCUUGAGUUUACGGCCGUAAACUCAGCCACCUGCUGAAACCGUAAACUCAUUUCAGAAACCGUAAACCCAUCUUCAGAGACCGUAAACUCGAGUUCUAAGGCUGAAAACCCAUUUCUUCGAUUCAAGCAAUUCUUGGUAACAUUCCUCAACCGAAUUCAAGUGUUCUUAUGACACUUUAUUUAUCAAAAUCGCUAAUUUAGAUACAUAUACGUAUUUAUUUGAUAAUAGGAUUUCGUUAAGUGUCACGUGCAACAACUCGGGAACCUUCUUUUCAGUCAACAACUCGACGCAACAACUGUGAGUUCAUACCCCUACAUUUUUCCGCAUUUUUAAGGUUUUCAGAGGGGGAAUACAAGCUAAACAUAAAUGUUUUCUUAUAAGCUAAACAUAAAUGUUUUCUGAAAUAUACAUAAAACUUAUGCAAAUUUCAUACUUUAUUUCCGUUUUAUACUAUGUCGAGCAUAAGGGACGUUUUCGCUAAAAUUGCAUAGUUUUUAUGGAUACGCUAUUCGCUACGUUAUACAUGCAAACUAUAAUGGGUAUAUAGUUUGGGAUUUCUCUAAAAAUUUAUCAAGCGUAGAAACUUUCUCUACUAAACAUAUGCACCGGAACAGAAACCGUUUACAGUUUAUAUCACUAUUUUAUCAUGAUUUUCAUAACUGUAACUUAUCACUAUACGCGGUAUACAUUCGGAUUUUCACUACGGUAGAACGCUACUGCAUUACGUGUAAACUAGAUUGUACGAUACUAUGAGGUGAUACUUCACUACUGUACCCUUAGGUGUACAGGGAUAAAUCCUACCACUGUAUAACCAGAGUCUCCUGGAGGGAGAGCGUGAGAUUUGUCAAUAGAUCUAUUCGGGACUGACAAUCCCACAUCUGGACUGCUAGCUACAGCUAGGCAGGCACGCUUGAGAUGUACAAAUGUCAUUUAGCAUCAACUCCUGAAGAACGUUGGAAAGGUCACUAGUCAUAUCAAGCAUAGUUAUACGACUCACAUUAUGUAUAAAUCAACGAUAGUUUACCAACCUGGUUUUCUUCAGUAGUUUUAUUUAUACCAAAUAGAACUAAACACAUUAUGCAUACUGGACGAGCCAGUUUUUUUUCAAAACCGAAUCAUUUAUGCUACGGUUUUACAUUUAAAUACCCAUACUUCAUGAUUAGCUUUAGCUAGCCACAUGAAGUAGUAUUUUGCAUAUCUCUACAAUUUUCAGAAACAAACAUUCAUGGUUGUAUACGAAAUCGAUCUCACUACGUUUUUCACUAAAGAAAAUAUCGGAUUUCCUUGAAACUACAUAAUCAUUUUGGCUCGCUCAUCAACAAGUUUUCAUUACAAAUUACUGCUUAUGAACUCACCAGCUUUAUGCUGAUAUUUUUCAAACUGCUUGUAUUCUCAGGAAAUCAGUGGACAGGUACUUGCUGGAUUUUCGAGGAACUGAAGCAUUACGAGUUUUUAAGUUUUUUUUAAUGCAAAACUAUUGGUUGUGUUACUAUGAUUGCUAUUAUUCAUUGGUUGUGAUGCUAUACAUGACGUCCUCCGCCCCGGAACGUUUCCGCCAUCGGUUACAGGGUGUGACACGAAGCGCAAGCCGAAGCAGGUUCAGACAGCAAUGGGUUAGGUGAAGAGGCCCAAGGUAUCUGAUUCACAGCCUAGUGGCUAGUAGGGCUUGAUCUGUUGUGGCAAGUUCGGAAAACCGCACAGUGGGGCAUGUCGAGUAGCGGGAUCAGGUUAUUUUAGAUGUGGACAGACUGGGCAUUUGAGUAGUGAUUGCCCUCGAGUGCACUAAUUUUCUUUCAUUGCAAUCAGACUAAACUUAAAAAGGCUAAUUAUUUGAGGCUGAUGGGAGGAGCAGUGGAUGAGCGUGAACCAUCCAGCUUGAGGAUUACUGAUGGCCGCCAGGGCAAGGCGGAGGCACCUGAGGUGAAGAGUAGGGAAUUCCAAUUGACUACUGAUGAGGCUCGAGCAGCAUUAGAUGUGGUUACGGGUAUGUAUCUUUAUCAUAUAUUUUAUUGCUUUGCUCAUUUAUGUUUAUGUUUUAUCUGAUCAUGUAUACAAAAUUUGUUAGUCAAUGGUAUGAUUUCUCAUGUUCUAUUCAAUUUGGGUGCUACCCGAUCUUUUGUAUCUCGUGCGCAUAACAAGAAGUUUAGUGAUGCUCCUGAGAUUUUGGAUUAUCCAUUGGAGUUGGAGAUCAUGGGUGAUCAUUUUGUGAGUUUUUCAAGGGUUCAUCGAGGAUGUGUUCUCUACAUGUUGAGCAAGAGUUAUUCGAUUCAUUUGGUUUCAAUUCCUCUGCGAGGGUCGAAGGUUAUUGUGGGGAUGGAUUGGUUGGCCCCAAUGAGGCCAUGAUUGAUUGUGAGAACUAGUUAGUGAGGGUUGAAUCCCAAGUAGGGUAUAACUGGUUAUUCAUGGCGAGGGUGUUCAACGUGGAUCGACUCUCUAUUCAGAUGUGAGAACUAGGAGAUAUCUCUAGAAGGGUUGUUAUGCAUUUUGGGCCUAUGUGAUGGAUACUCGAGUUGAGGGAACGACAGCCGUGGGUGAUGUACCCAUUGUACAGGAGUUUCCCGAUGUGCUUCUUAAGGACUUACCUAGAGUACCCCUCCAAGAUGCAGGUCGAGUUCUGGAUUGAUUAGGUUCCCGGAGUGGCUCCGAUAGUCAUGGCACCGUAUCGUUUAGAACCUCCGGAGAUCCAGGAGUUGUCUACACAGCUGCAGGAGCUGCUAGACAAGGGUUUUAUCAGAACGAGUAAUUCGCCAUGAGGAGCAUCGAUCCUGUUCGUGAAAAAGAAGGACGGUUCACACAGGAUGUGCAUUGACUAUCAGGAGUUAAAUAAGUUAACGAUGAAGAACCUUUAUUCGUUCCUGAGGAUCAACGAUAUAUUUGACCAACAUCACGGUGCAUAUUGGUUCUCUAAGAUUGAUUUAUGAUUGGGUUACCAUCAGAUGAGAUUCAGAGACGAGGAUGUGCAUAAGACAACCUUUAGGACUUGUUAUGGUCAUUACGAGUUUGUGGUGAUACCAUUCGGGCUCACGAACGCACCAGCAACGUUCAUGGAUCUGAUGAACUGGGUGUGUAGAACUAUGUUGCAUUAGUUGGUGAUCAUGUUUAUUGACGAUAUUCUGGUCUACUCCAAGACCAAGGAACAACACGAGGAUCAUUUACGGGAGGUAUUGGAGACCCUAAGGAGGGAGAGGCUUUAUGUCAAAUUCUCUAAGUGCGAGGUCUGGUUACACGAGGUGCAGUUCUUGGGGCACAUCGUUAACCAAAAACGUAUAUUGAUCAAUUCAGACAAGAUUGGGGUGGUGAUGAUGUGCGAGGUUCCGAGGACGCCAUCUGAUAAUCGUAGUUUUCUUGGCCUGGUAGAUUAUUAUCGGAGAUUUAUCCCGAACUUCUCCUAGAUUGUAGUGCCAUUGACCUGCUUGAUGAAGAAGAGUGUCACUUUCUGAUGGGGGACUGAUAAGUAGGUAACUUUCGAGAAGCUGAGAAACAGAUUGUGCAAGGCUCCAAUUCUCACUCUUCCUGAGGACACGGAUGAUUUCGUGGUCUAUUAUGGCACAUCGAUUUCGGGAUUAGGUGUAGUGCUAAUGCAAAGAGAUCACAUGAUUGCUUACGCUUUGCGACAACUGAAGCCUUAUGUGGCAAAUUACCAUACACACGAUCUGGAGUUGGGGUUGUGGUUUUUUCCCUGAAGAUUUGGAGGCAUUACUUGUAUCGGGUCAAGUGCAUUAUCUAUACUAACCACAAGAGCCUAAGAUACAUGAUAGAUCAUUUGAAUCUUAAUAUGGGGCAAAAAAGGUGGUUGGAAGUGGUGAAGGACUAUGACUAUGAGAUUUUGUAUUGCCCAGGGAAGGCUAGUGUUGUGGAAGACUGCUUGAGUCGUUAGGCCGUGAGUACGCAUAUCAGAGAUUUAUGUUUGAGGAUGGUUAUUGUUUCUCCUCUGUUAGAUAUUAUCAAGAAAGCUCGGGUAGAAGGGUUGAAUAAGGAAAAUUUGAACAAUGAGCAAAUCAAGGGUUAAAUUCCUUUAUUUGUCAAGGAUAUUCGCGGAUUACCAACUCAGUGUGGUAAGGUUUGGGUCCUGGUUGCUGGUCAACUUAGACAGACACUAAUGGAGGAGGCUUAUAAAUCAAAGUUCUAGAUCCAUCUGGGGGCCACGAAGAUGCAUAGGGAUUUGAGGUUGAGUUAUUGGUGGCCCUGUAUGAACAAGGAUGUAGCAUGUUUUGCGAAGCAGUGAUUGACUUUUCGGAAAGUCAAGGCCAAACAUGAGAGACCCCAUGGCAAGAUGCAACCAUUACCUAUUCCCGUGUGGAAAUGAGAGGAGAUCACCAUGGAUUUUAUCACGAAGUUACCGAGGACGACACGUGGGAUUGACUCUAUCUAGUUCAUCGUUGAUAGAUUGAGGAAGAGUGUUCAUUUCAUACCGAUCGCUAAGAGUAUAUCUACUGAGAAGCUGGUCGAAAUUUACAUCCGGGAGGUGGUGGUUCGGCACGAGGUGCUAGGUUUGGUGGUUUCAGAUCGAGAUGUUCGCUUCACCUCCAGGUUUGAUGGAAAUUACAUGAGGUUUUGGGUACUUAGCUACAUUUCAGUAGAACAUAUCUCCCCCAGAUCGACGGACAAAGUGAGAGGACUAUUCAGAUGCUCGAGGAUAUGGUCUGGGCGUGUGUUCUUAAUUUUGGAUGGAGUUAGGAUACUUAUCUUCCUUUAGCCGAGUUCUCAUACAACAAUAGCUAUCAUACAAGGAUUAAUCGACCUCUCUUCAGAAUAAGUUAUGAGAGGAAGUUUUGGACCCUGGUGUGUUAGGGAGAGGUCAUACGUCAGAUGAUGGGGAGUACUGAGGUAGUACUCAAGACCACCGAGUUAAUUCAAUUGGUUUGCGGUCGGCCGUUGACCGUGCAAAAUCACCAGAAGAUUUCUGUUGACCGGCGACGAAAAGACCUCGAGUUCCUGGUGGGAGGUUAUGUGCUUCUGAAGGUGUCUCCAUGGAAAUGUGUCAUCCGAUUCUGGAAGCGGGGAAAGUUGGGCCUCCGAUAUAUUGGUCCCUUCAGGAUUAUCGCCCGGGUGGGCAAGGUUGUGUACCGGUUGGGUGUUCAGAUCUGCUCAACCAGAUCCAAAACACAUUCCAUGUCUAUUAGUUAUGAAAGUGUGAAGCUAAUGCUUCCACAAUGGUUCCUUUGGAUGAUAUUCAGGUCAAUAAGCGUCUGAACUAUGUAGAGAGACCGAUCGUUAUCGUUGAGAAAAAGAAUAAUCCCUUGCACAACAAGGUGGAGGGCUUAGUUAAGGUGUAAUAGAAGCACCAAGGGGUUUAGAGUGGAUUUGGGAGCCUGGGGAGGAUAUGAGGGAGCACUAUCGGAAGUUAUUUGCAGCAGCGGACUUUAAGGACGAAGUCUUAUUCAAGUGGGGGAGACUUGUAACAUCCGAAUCUAAGGGUACAUUUUAUUUUAAAUAUUCUUAUCUACUGAUCUAUUCAAUGCUGGAAUCCGACCCGCUAUUAAUGUGGGGAUCUCUGUUUCCAGAGUGGGGUCUGCAGCUCAAAUUAAAGCUAUGAAACAAGUAGCCGGUAAAUUAAAAUUGGAACUGGCACAAUUCGCAGAAUUAGAAGCUUUUGCACAAUUUGCUUCUGAUCUCGAUAAAGCUACUCAGAAUCAGGAGCGACCUCUCAUCAUCUUACUUUCGGCUCUUGGAGUAAGGGGGGGAAGGGCUGAGUGCCGGUCCGCAGAUCCAUUCUUCUAUACAAUAAAUCCCCAUCUCGUAGCACCACCACGACACCGAUUCCUCGACAAAACCCCCGAUUUCCCAAGAGUGCGGCUGCCUCCAUUAUGUUGUUGCUAGCAAAUACCACUAUUUUUGGUUAUGGCUCUCCCAAAUCGUUCCCGCAGGAGAUCUAGACCCUUCUUUUUCUGAUCCUUCGAUAAAAAGAUUCAUUCUCUUCAUAAAAAAUAGGAAGUAGAACCAAUAAAACCAAUAAAGAUGUCGUUUUCCAUUCAUACCUGGGGUAUGGGGUUUCAAGUCUUUUUCCAGUCAAAAUUGACUAAUAGGCAAUCCGUCUACAACAAACAAGUGGGAGAGGCAGGAUUCGAACCUACGUAGAAAAACUUCAACAGAUUUACAGUCUGUCGCUUUUGAUCACUCGACCACUUUCCCCUUCCCGGGCCGAGGCCCCCCUUCGUAGCUUCUGGCGAAGCUGCGAGUUCAUGAACAAGUGAAUGAACAAGCCACGUUCAUCCCAACAAACCCAUGAUGAACAUAGAGGAACCCGAUGAGGGAAGUGGGACAAUGUUCAGACCUUGGCUGUCACAACAAGCAACCAAUUAGUUCCAGUCCCAAGGGUGGGUAAAACGAGGCCUCGACGGAUGGGAACUCCUACUCUGAUAGGGUCCCGCGGCUUCAAUUAAUUUCAUUUUGAUUAUAGGGAAAGAAAAAGCAACGAGCUUCCAUUCUUAAUUUGAAUCAUUACCCAAUCUAAUUAGACGUUAAAAAAAAUAUUAGUUCCCAAUACGGGAAGGCAUUCUCCCAGGAAUGUAUUCUUGAUUUUUUAAUGAAUCCUAAAUGUUACCAUUCUCCAUUCCAUAAUGGAGAUGUGUGUGUAUAAGAAACAGUAUAUUGAUAAAAAAUUUCCCAAAUCAAAAGAGAGAUUGGGUUGAAAAAAAGUAAAGGAUUUCUAAUCAUCUUGUUAUCCUAUAACGAAAACGAACAUAAAUAUUGAAAUUGAAAUGGAAAAAGAGAGGCUAGAGAAUCUGUUGAUAAGUUUAUCUGUAUCCGAGGUAUCUAUUCGGUUUGUACUAUAAUACCUUGUUUUGACUGUAUCGCACUAUGUAUCAUUUGAUAACCCCCAAAAUCCUCUACCUUUCAUUUAAAUAGAAUUUCAAAUGGAGAAAUUCCAAAGCUAUUUAGGGCUAGAUAGAUCUCAACAACACCACUUCUUAUAUCCACUUAUCUUUCAGGAGUAUAUUUAUGUACUUGCUCAUGAUCAUGGUUUAACUAGAUCGAUUUUGUUGGAAAAUGCAGGUUAUGACAAUAAAUCCAGCUUACUAAUUGUGAAACGUUUAAUCAAUCGAAUGUAUCAACAGAAUCAUUUGAUUCUUUCGGUUAAUAAUUCUAAACAGACUCCAUUUUUGGGGCACAACAAGAAUUUUUAUUCGCAAGUAAUGUCCGAGGUCUCUUCAAUCAUUAUGGAAAUUCCAUUGUCUCUGCGAUUAAUAUCUUACCUAGAAAGGAAAGGGGUAGUCAAAUCCGAUAAUUUACGAUCAAUUCAUUCAAUAUUUUCUUUUUUAGAGGACAACUUUUCACAUUUAAAUUAUGUAUUAGAUAUACUAAUACCUUACCCAGCCCAUCUGGAAAUCUUGGUUCAGGCUCUUCGCUAUUGGAUAAAAGAUGCUUCCUCUUUGCAUUUAUUAAGAUUCUUUCUCCAUGAGUGUCAUAAUUGAGAUAGUCUGAUUACUUCAAAUUCAAAGAAUGCCAGUUCUUCUUUUUCGGCUUUCAGGGACUAGGUAGGGUGGAUUACAGUGCUAGGGG